rnacentral:lncRNA from 1 species
AGUUGUCGAAGGCCUGGCUGGUGGUUUCGUGGUCGUAAGGGAAGGAGGAGGAGAAGAGGAGAGGCCAGGUGUGGUGGCUAGGGUUUUUGUUUUGACAAAAAGGGGAAGCGUGUCUCACUCUCCCUUUUCUCAUAUAUUUGUUAUUUUUUAUUUAUUUAUUUUUUUUGUCAAUUUUUUUUUUAAUUCAAUGUGGACUUACUCCUAUUGUGUGGCUGCCUUCUUUUUUUUAAAAAAAAUAUUUAGCCAUAAUAUUAAUUUGUCAUGGUUUCAUAUUUUAAAAUUCUUAAUUUUGUAAUUUUUUUGUUCUAUUUACAAAACUAAAACGUAAUUUUAAUAUUUACUUUUGUUAUUGAUGAUAAAUAUUUGAAUUAUUCUUACUAAAAAAUAUUUAACAAAUAUUUAUCUUUUUAUUUAAUCAAUGAUGAUUGAACUUAAUAAUACAUUUUUUUAGUAACUUAAAAAUACAUUUUUACAAACUAAAUAAUCACACUAUAUUAAUAUGUAUUAAAUUCAUUGUACUCUAAUCUUUUAUUUUUUUAAAAAUUCCAGGGAGCGUAUCAUUAUUAAUUACUACCUUGAGGUACAACACUCAUAGUCGAUUUAAAAUACCUCUAGAUGUUUUUGAAGAUAGUACGAGCUUAAUCAAGUAAAAUACUCAGCUUGCUCAAUUAAUAAUUCAAAUAGAUUUGAUUAUUUGGAAUGAAACACCUAUGACUAAAAGGUUGGCAUUUGAAUCCCUUGAUAGAACACUAAAAGACAUUGUUGGUUUCUUCAAGAUCUUUAUGUUUUCUAAAAGUAUGAUCGUUGACACUUCAUCAUCUGCUCAACUUAAUUUAUUGGCAUCUGAAUUCAACAAAUGGAUAUUGCAAAUGAUAAUAUAUAUAACUGAACAAGAGUUCAUGUAUCCGGUGAAGUUCUUGAAUUCUUUAAAUUUCAAUAAUACCCAAACCAUUGUUGCACCUUAAAGUAGGAAUGUCAAUUAUGCUACUCAGGAACAUCAAUCCAACCCUAGGAAUGUGCAAUGGAAUAAAACUAAUUAUUGUACAUCUAGGAGAAUAGAAAAUAGAGUCGCAAAUACUUCAGGAAGUAACACUGGUGCAAAAGUGCUUAUAACACAUAUAGUUUUUACCACAAAUAAUUCUAAAUGAUAUUUUAUGCUAAGAAGAAACAAUUUUCAAUAAAGUUUGUUACACCAUGACAAUUAACAAAAGCCAAAAUCAGUCAUUGAACUAUGGGAGAUUAUAUUUGCCAAGACAUAUAUGCUCUCAUGACCAAUUAUAUUUGCGUUGUUUAAAGUAAGAUUACCAAAGGGAUUGAAAUACUUAUUGUUGAGAAAGAUGAUACAUAUGCGUAAUAUACGAAAAAAUUUAGUGUACAAUGAAGUUUUUGAUGAACUUUCAUUUAAUAUUCUUACCUUUAUACAAAUUAAAAUAUCACAAUUUAAAAUUACAACUUAAAACAAAUCUGUGCAGCGCAUAGGUAAAAGAACCCAUACUUGAAUGCAUUGUACCAAACAUCACAUUUUCUUUGUAAUAAAUAUAUUACACAAUAAAAUUAACUUAUUGCUUAAAUUAAAUAUUUCAAAGUAAAUUAGCAAUUUUUUAUGUCAUUGGAUAAAUAAAUUUUUAAGUUGUUAAGAUUAUUUCUAUGCUAAUAAUUAUAUAAUUUGAGUACUAUUAAUUAUUUACACAAAAAAUAACUCUAAUUAUAUUUAUUGAAAUGUCUUAAUUAACACAAUUUUUUUAUAUUUAUAAUUAAAAUUAUUUUAAAUUUUAUUUAUUUAAACUAUAAUAAUUUAUAUAUAAUGUUCUAUAAUAUUGUAAGUAAACCCGUGCAACGCACGGGUAUAAUAUCUAGUAAAUAUGUAUUUCACAAUUUUCUCAUCUUUUAUUUAAGGAAAAUAAUAUUAACAAGGUUACUAAUGUUAAAUUAGUCAUGUCCUUAAAUGAUAACUCAACUUGUAAGAGCUACAGACAUAUGUGUUGAGGAGAGAAAUGUUCCAUGAUCAAUCUAGUGGGUGUAAUUUAUCUUUCUGAUAUAUAAAUAAAAUGGUCGAAUUGGUUUUUGAAUUUGUAAGCGAGUUUGAUUUUACUACCUCUGAAGAGUGGCGGUAAAAAACCGUCACUAAUUGUAAAAAUGACAGUCAUUAAACGUCAUUUUUCUCAGAUAGACUAAAAUCAAAUUCUUUUUCAAAUUCAGUGACUAAUUUGACCAUUAACACUAUUAACAACUAUUGAAUGACUGACUGUCUUCAUCAUGUUAUUAUGUUGUUGUUAGUAAAUUUUUUUUUGUUUUUUGUUUUGAAGCUUCUAAAUCAUUCUCACAAGAGGUUUGACUUCUAUUUUUUGUGUUCCUUUGAUAAAAGGCUUAAAUGCACUUUUGGACCCUCAUGUUUUAACUUUUUGCGAUUGUCAACCCCAUUUUUUUUUCUACGAAUGGGAACCCUAUUCUUUCAAAACGCUGCACCGUUUACCCUUCCGUCCAAAUCCGUAAAAAACUUGACGGAACACGCUGAUAUGGCCUUCCACGUGGAUAAAAGGGGAUUUAAAAAAAAUGACUUAAAUGCACUUGUGGACCCUCAUGUUUACAUUUUUUGCGAUUGUUGACCCUGAUCUUAUUUUUAGUAUGAAUGGAGACCCUAAUCUUUCAAAACGUUGCACCGUUUACCCUUCAGUCGGAAGGCUAGGUAAGUGGGUUCCAUCAAGUUUUUUAUGGAUUUGGACGGAAGGGUAAACGGUGCAACAUUUUGAAAGAUUAUGGUCUCCAUUCGUAGAAAAAUAAGAUCAGGGUCAACAAUCGCAAAAAAUAUAAACUUGGGGGUCCAAAAGUGCAUUUAAGCCCUGAUAAAAAGAUUAGGUGCAUUCUUUUUUUCAACAUUUUCUUAUUGAUAGAUUAGAAUUUAUGUUAGUUAAGAAGAGAUAUGAGUCUCAUUUUUUAUAUAGUGGAACUCAUGAAUUUGGACCAAUAUAAUUUGUCUGGUGUUAAAGUUCAACCAACGAGUGAAAGGGUAUUAAAAAUAAAGUGUUAAAGUGAAUGCUAUUAUCAUUCUUCUUCAUCUACUAAUGUAUUUUAUACGAGAUCUUGAAAAAUGAGAUUCUCCUUAGUUAAAUUAUUUAUUUUCUAAAAUUUGUCAAGUCUUUAAAGGCUACAUAUUAAGAGUAAUGAUGUGUUGGACAUACACACCAAAAAAACGUUGCAUAAAUCGUUACCUGAGUGUCACAUUGUUAUCAAUGUGAUAAUCGUAUAUGUGGUCCUUUGACCUGAAGUCAUUAUUAUUAUGUCAAUAUCAAAAUUUUGAAUUCGAGACAAUUAGAAGAAGAGGCAUGUGAUCAGAGGAUAAAGGGAUAAAAUGGUCAUUUUGAAGCUUACUUCUGAAAGAAAUCAAGCAAUGUUCAGACUUAGAUCCUCGGAGAUAUGGUAUAUUGUGCAAACUUCGACAAAGAUGAAAGCAUAACUAGGCUAAAUUAUGAUGUAUCAUGAUGGAAAUUCAGAAAAACCUUAGAUAUGAGGUCAAAGGCUCAUCUAAGAUACAUGAGAAUUCGAGAAAAGGUCUAGUUAAAGAGAUAGAGAAGACUCACACUUAGGAUAAGUUUUUCUCAAGUCCCAUAUAAUUAGUUAAUAUUGAAAGUUGAAUUCGAGGUAGAGGAACGAACAUGGAAUUUAAAGACUGAACCUAAGAAUGCCACGAUUGCAAAGCACAACCCCACGAUCACAUAGUCGCACACAUCAUAAGCCACGAACCCACAUUCUUUGCAGUUACGAAACUUAAAGGUUUAAGGGACGACUCGAGAUAGUAUGAAGAAUUUGAAGGUGAGAUGGAAGCUUUAGGGUUGUACUGGAUGAAUAACUUAGAUUAAACAAUUUCGUUUACUUUGAAAGGGUUUGAUAUCUAAUAUUAAACACUCUAAAAAUCUAUGUCUACUAUAUACGACACCAGCCAUACAUAGUUCAUGUAAAAAAUCUCAUUCCGCCUUUUUCAACUUUCUUUGUCAAUCGAAUUUGCAUUUUAGUUCAUUUUCUUCAUCAGUUAUUACUUUUUCUUUUGUUAACUUUUUGCUAUUCUCAAUUUCAACAUCACUUUGGUGUUGAACUAUUUGUUUGAACUUUGAGAUAUUGGUUAGCCGGAAUCAAGAUAUUCUAUCAUUUCGAAGUGUUCUCAAAGCUAGACCUAGCACCCACUCAACGCAUUUUACAUAGCUUGUAAACUACAGAACCUAAGGACCCACACCACAGGACGUAAUCCAAGUCCCAGAUUGCUCGUUGGGUCCAUUUAUUUGAAUGUGUAAUUUUCAAGGUAAACAGAUUCCUACAUGAGUAAUUAUAUGUUUUAAUGUCGUUAAACAUUACAUGUUACAAGGUAUAAAGCCGAUAAUUGAGUUUAGUAUGAAUUAUGCGAAGGAAUGUUAGUAAUGUAGAUGAGAUUUGUCUCUCAUAUUGAACACGAGUAAAUGUCUAUAGGCCAUUUGAUAGAGUUAACUUUGAAAUGCAUGGUCGGUGUUAGAAAGGGUCCAUAUGAGAUAUUUAUUUAUAGGAAUUUUCUCGGGUAUCAAGGAACAUAUAUUGAAUGUAAAUCGAUGGCACGUGAAUGCAUUGAGUUCAAUUAGAUAUAUGAACAAAGAGAUCAAUUAUAUGAAAUAAAAUUGUCACAUGAUAGGUUAUGUCAAAAUAAAGGCAUUCUUGAUACUUAAGUCAUAAUGAUGUAUUUUUAAAUACCACUCAUAAAUAUGUGAUAUUAAAUAUUUCUAAUCACUCUCAAGUGGAAGUGUGAGAUCGUUGAAAUAUGCACUAGGAGCUUGUUAUUAUUUACACCUGAAUAAGCAAGAAAACAUAUAGGACCAUAUGUAUAGAACUAUCCCACCGGAAAGUAUUAUAUUUUCUUAUUGGCCAUGUUCAUUGAAUAAGCCCAACUUCCUUAAGCAAUAGUGUUAAUUAAGGUUAGCCAUAUUGGGAGUGCUACAUUAAAUCUACCCCUUGCGUGCUUAUAAAUAUAGCAUAAAAUGUUCAAAACUGAGUUAGGCAAUUCAUUCAUACUUUCGUGUCUUCACUUGCACAAGAAUGUGCCAGGGUUUCUAGUUAGAGAGUAUAUGUGGAAUAUAGAUACGAGGUUGAUACUGCUUCAAACACCCAUGCCGCUAAGGUAUUCCUUAAUUUGUAUUCGCUUUUUAACUUUGAACCAUUAUAGUAAUAAGUAGGAAUUUAAGUAAGAUAGAAAUAACGAUGGGAUUGUAUAUCUGAGGGGCGAUGGUGUUCUCGCUUAAAAUAAUUUUAUCAAACUAUUUUACACAGUUAGAUAAGAAGGUUCUAUUUGAGUUAAAUUUGAAAUUUAUAACUUAGGUUUCUCAUCAUUAAAAUAAGGGAGAUUGUUAAGUCUAAAAGACAAGUACCUAAAAAUCACUUGGUAAGUUCUAAAGAUAAUAAGAAUAACGUUAUAAAUAUUUGAAUGAACAUGACUAAAGAUUGAGCUUUUAAAUUUCAAGAAGUACGACUUAAUGUUUGGUCAAACAAGGACAUCAUCUGCCUAGACUUGAGGAUAUCACUUACCAUUUACUAACAUUGUACGUGAGAUAUUAAAGGCAUCGCCUGUCACCAAGCAGGGCCGGCCCUGGGCCUGUGCAAGCAGGCCCACAGCCCAGGGCCUCCAAAAUGAAGGGGCCUCAAAAAAAAAAUUGAAUACUUUUUACAGCGUUUUUCUUAAAAAAGCGCUGUAAAUAGUCCAUCUUUUACAGCGCUUCAUACCGCUGUAUACUAUUUUACAGCGGUUAGAGGUCCGAAGCGCUGUAAAAGGCCUUUUUUUGGUUUAGUAUACCUAUUAAACUUUCUCUAAAAAAAAAUUUAGGGGUCCAUUUUUAUUAUUAACCCAGGGCCUCCAAAAUGUCGGGACCGGCCCUGUCACCAAGUGAAGACAAUGCCUAAGAGCAUCUCCAAUGGGGGUUGCUUAAAUCCCGUUAAACAACAACAACCAAACCUCCAUUUCUUCUCAAGUCUUGAUCUCCCACCACAAGAAGAGGAGCAAUAACCCGAAUUUUUUAGAAAAAAAAUCCAGAUUUUCAAAUCAAACCCGUCAACAUUAAGAUCCAUAACCAAAGCCAGAAAUCUCACCCAAACCCAGAAGAGACGNUUCUACUUGGGUUGCUUAAAUCCUAUGUGUCAGUCUGGACCCACCGAAAUAGUUUUUAAGCAACCCAACUAGCAACUAUGUAUUGGAGAUGCUUUAAGGUGACACUUGUCUUAGUAUGAAAAGGUGAGUUUUGUCUUAUCCCACAUUUCUUAAAUAGAAUGUCUACCUUUGCAAAGUCAAAACUGAAGCUUAUGCAAAAAAUGGAAUGCUCAUACAUAACCUUCGCCCAAGGUUACCAUUUUUUUGUCUAUUUUAUAGCAAAGGUCAAACAAAAGUUGAAGUGAAGAUUUAUUGAUUACACAAACAGUCCUUUAAAUUUAAUGUAGUACUUUCAUAUCAUUUAAAGAGUGAAACCCAAACCCUAAUAGUUAAAUUCAAGGGUCUAUAUAAAAAGAGAAGAUUGAAGACCAUAAAAAGUGCUUAUUCAUAAUUUAUGAGCAAACAAUCUUUUCAGGUUUUCACUUCCCUCAUUUGUCUUAAAGCCUAGCUAUAUGUAUACUUAAGGUCAAACACUUAGAGAAAACGCAAGCGUGUCAAAGUGCUUACAUCAUAAACACUAUCAAUUCUUAAGGAGAACACUUGACAGUUACUCACAUAUAUUACCAAUGAGAAUAAUACUUGAAGAGUGUGUUGCUACACUCUUGAACACAUUCAAUAUGAUUGAUCUAAUUUUUUAAAAUUCAACAAAUUUCUCCCACUUUAAAGAAAAAAUUGUUUUGAUUUUUUAUUAAAUUAAACCAAUUACAUUGACGGUUUGUUUGGUAGAGUACUUAUAGGAGAGAGAGAUAUUAACGAUGGAGUUGGUGAAGAGAGAUUGAAUUCAUACUCGUUUGGUUGACGCAAGAUGAUGAUAGAAAGAAUUGAAAUGGUGGGACCAUAAUGAUUUUUUCAAUCUUUUCCUUUUGUGCAGAGUUGAGAGUUGUCUAACACAUUCACGUGUCUUCCACGUUUAACGACACAUUUAACUAUAUUGUUAAGUUAAAAAAAAAACAUGUCUUUAUGUGGGAUAAAUUGAUUUUUUAACAUAAUUUUUUUCUCUUUCAUCCACCUCAUUUUUUCACUUUCCUUUCUCGUUUAUCCCUAUCAUAUUAAAUAAACUAUAAAAUUUACUCUAUUUUCUUAUCUCUGUCACUCUACUCAUCUUCUUUAUUUUCUCUUUCUCUCCUAAACCAAACAUACCGUGAGUGUGUUGAAGAGAAUGUGUUGCUAGCCUUUUUAACUUCUCUAAUCUUCAAAAUUUAACCCCAAUUGGAAAAACCAAGUUGGUAGAAUAGUUUGAUAUCAUUUCUCAGCAUGAUAAGAAACUGAAUAAGCGUGUCACAUAUUCAGGAUUUAGUUAGAUACUUGGCAUUGCGAUUAAGAAACAAGGAUCUAUAAAUAAAAUGUUAGUCUAGUUGCUAGUGUAGAAGUUAAUGCCGGCAAAGGGCUUAUCAUUUUGUUAAACAUUGAUUAGUGGAAGAGAAGAUAUUACUACCUCUUUCAUAAUUAAUUAGUCUACCGGCUAGUUUUUGUUUUGUUGCCUAAAAUCUUUCACUAUUUGUCAUUUCUACUUUCGAUUAUGACAGAGAAUAUUCUCAACUGAUGUUGCAAGUUAAAAAUGGAAUCAAAGCAAAGAAGCGUAUCAGACCUUCAACACGUUUCCUAUUUUGUACCAUGAUUUGAAUCCGGUUGUCCCUCAUUUACUGAACAAUGAUGCUUAAUCAUAGGCAAAAUUUGAUAACUCAUAGCUGUAUAUACAUUCUUAUAAGACCAUUGGUUUGUGGCAAGCUUCCUAUUUAUUAAAAGCUUACAGGAAACAUAUAAAAGCAUAGAAGUAGAUGCCAAAUGUCGAAAUCUAUUUCAUUUACUGUCCCAGAACACUUGCCGCAUAGUUUGAUGAUUUAUUAAAGUAUUUAUUGCUUCAGCAGUUCAGCUAUUUAGCCACACAAAAAAUAUCUACUGCAGUACUGCUUCAGCUACAUAAGAGCAUCUCCAAUGGAGUCCUUAUUUUGAGACUUUAAAAUAAGAUUCGAAUCUUAUUUUAAAGUCUCAAAAUAAGUUCCUACCAUUGAAGAUGCUCUAAGAUAAUGAUAUAUGACUUACUCGAAUGCUUGUGGAGGAUACUUUAUUAGACCAAAAAAUUUUAGAUAAUGAGAGUCAUGAUGAGAAGUAGGUUUCAUUGGCCUAAGCCAGUAAAGAAUCUAGACUCUGAAGCUUUAUUUUGUUUUGUCACUGCUUCAUUGACUUGGGACAUACUAAAGUGAAGAUGUGGGGACAAAGGACAGAAAGAAACUAAGGACUUCCUUCCUCUUAACGUUCCAAGAACUUAAUUAUGCUGAAAGAAAGGAAGUUGAUUCAGCUGGGCUUUAUUCCUUUCUCUCUAGUAUAUGUAGGGGGAGCUAUGACAUUGCUUUUAAAAUUAGAACUACAUCAGCCAUCUCUUCUUUGCCCCAGACCUGAAGUUCUUUAUCUUCAUUUUAUUUUCUGCAACUCACCAUGAGUAGCAUUAGCAAGUUGGGGGCAAUGCAACAACUGAUGAGAAGUGGAAAAACCAUGCCUGCAAAUGCAAUUUCUGAUGACAGCAUUUUGGUGAAGAAAAUAGUUUCAGAGCAUAAUCCUGAGGGAAUAGAAUAUGAAGUCAAGCCACUUCUCCAUAUUGUUGAGGACAUUCUUAAACGUUCCACCUUUGUCUCUGAAGGCGCUCCAACGGUAUGAUGCAAAUAGCUCAAAAACAUAGUACAUACAUAAGCAAUUGUAGUUUUGUUUUGAUUAAAAUGUAGAUUUGGCUGAGAUUACUAUCUUGUGGUUAACAUGUACUUUAUUUCAGGGUGCUCUUGCACAUGUUGACCAUGUCGAAGACAGAAAUCACUUUCCUGCCCACUCAAGCAUGUUGGAGGCUCUGUCUGUAAAGAUUGAUCGCAUUUCCUGUGAGGUAAUAGAAAAAUAACAUAGAACAUAGGUAAUCUAGACCAGAAUAUUCACAUCUUUGCUCUGUCUAAUUACAGAAACAUUGUGAUACUUCAUACCUUUGGACCAGCUGAUCUUCUCAAUCUAAUCAUUGAAACAUUGUGAUACCACAACUGAUAACAUGGCCUGCUAUAACUUAUAAAAAAGUUAACAUAUUUAGAGAUAUCGAGUUCUGAAUUUGUAAAAAGGAUAUCAGAAUAUCAACUGCAUGCUUACUUUUCCAUCAAUAUAACAAAUUAACAAUAUCAAUGCCAACAUGAAAUUUCAGAUUUCGUACAAGACUCUUAGUGGUGUAGAUGCACACUCCACAUCAGUUGCAAUAUUUGACAUGCUUACAAUCUACCAGUGGGAUGUGAAGUUGGUGCUGGCUUUAGCUUCUUUUGCUCUGACCUACGGUGAAUUCUGGCUGCUUGCCAAUAUUCACGAUACAAACCAACUCGCCAAAUCAAUGGCAAUUUUGAAGCAAUUGCCUGGUAUCAUGGAGCAUGUGAGCUCGCUGAAACCACGGUUUGAUACCCUUAAUGAUCUGAUUAGUGUGAUAUUAGAUGUGACCAGGUGCGUUGUAGAGUUCAAUGAUCUGCCAACUAAAUACAUCACACAAGACAUAUCAGCCUAUACCACUGCCUAUAAUCAUAUCCCUAUUGCUGCUUACUGGUGUGUUAGAAGUAUUGUGGCUUGCGCUGCUCAGAUCACUAGCCUCACUACACUUGGUUAUGAGUAUGUUUCUCCAGUCAUUUCUCAAAAUUUUCAUGUUUGUAAUUGUAACACACAUGCACUAAAGGUCAGAAUUUUAAAAUUCAUGAAUAAGUUACAGAGUAUCAUUACACCUAGCUGGUAAAUGGCAGGGAUUAAUGUGGCACACAAAUAAUAUAUCAACCUUGUUUCAGGAUCUUCACGUCCACUGAUGCAUGGGAGCUUUCCACGUUGGCUUUCAAGCUCAGAAACAUAGUAGAUCAUCUCAGGAAACUACUGGGAAGCUGCCACAAACACAUUGGUAAGCCACUUAAAUAUAUAUUCAAAUGGAAUAUAUGUAUGUGUAUGUGCACCUAUGUAUGUAAUGUGAAUAUUAGUAGAGCUAGAGAGGUAAGAUGAACUGAUCUUGACCAUUUAAUUAUAUAUUGAUAGUCAAGAUUGAUUUAAUCAAAUAUGAUAUUGAUUAUUCAUUUAUGCUGUAUAGUCACGAUUAAUGCCACUCAUGAGAGAAUGUUCAUGCUCUUACCAGUUAUGCUUUCUAAAUAUAUUGACACAGAGAUAGAUAGAUAUACUGAAAUGCUCUGAAUAAUUUAAGAUCACCAUUCAAUGUAGAGAAAAGGAUGGAUGUUGAAGCUUACGAUAUGCUACGUGAUUUAUUUUCGAGAGCCCACGUUGACAACAUGAAGGUUCUCAAGGCUCUGAUUUAUGCACAGGAAGAUAUUCUGCCUCUAUAUGAUGGUGUUUCCAAGAAAAGGGUUUGAUUUUCUGACAUAGUAAACCUACAUGAUGUAUUACUAUUAUUAUAAGUUAGUGAUGCUAAUGCUGAUACAAUUCAUGCAAACAAACAGGCUAGCCUGGAGCCGCUGAGAAGGAAGAAUGUUUUACUUCUAUUUUCAGGCCUGGAGUUCUCCACUGAUGAGUUUCUGAUUCUUGAACAAAUCUACAAUGAAUCAAAAGUUCAUACACCAAGAAUGGAGAGUAGAUAUGAGUUAGUUUGGAUCCCAAUUGUGGAUCCAAACUCUGAAUGGACAGCACAAAAGGAAAGUCAGUUUGAGGGCCUGCGAGUGACCUCGCCAUGGUACUCUGUGCAUCAUCCUUCAUUGAUAAGCAAGGCUGUCAUCUGGUUUGUCCAGAGUGAAUGGAAGUACAAGAAUAAGCCUAUUAUUGUGGUUUUGGACCCUCAAGGGAGGGUUUCUUGCCCUAAUGCUAUUCACAUGAUGUGGAUUUGGGGAAGCGCUGCCUUUCCGUUUACAAGUGCUAGAGAAGAAGCUCUGUGGAAGGAAGAGACCUGGAGACUUGAAUUGUUAGUGAAUGGCAUUGACUCAGAAAUAUUGAACUGGGUAAUCAUCUCAUCUGUUCUAGCAAUCAAAGACUUACUUAAUUAUGUAUUUCAGUAUGCUCUAACCACUAUUUAGUUACCAUAUUUAGACUAGCCUCAACCCAAAAGCACAGUGCAGCUAUUUUAGAUAAUUGUGCAGUUAAAACCAUCACAUAUGGACCAUUUAGUUCACAUGACUAGAUAGGAUACCUCAAAUUACAUAAUAGAAUGACACACAAUAGAUCUUCAAGAGUCUGCAUUUCCUUAAGCCCAACCCCCACCCCCCCAUUUCCAUUUAAAAUGAGUAGAUACCUCUCCCUCUCAAUCUCUCCUUCUAUUGAUAGGUAACAUGCCUGAUUUCUAAUAGGCACCUAACAUAUUCACAUCUGUCCCAGUUUUCCACAAUACAAAGAAUCACUGUGAUGUAAUUACAUCUUGGACUGCAGCCACAUGAUUAAGGAUAUUAACCUCGCACUUUAUUAGAUACAUAUCAAAAUACAUAGGAUUUGCACCUCCAUAUGCCCAUAGGUCCUAGUUUCUCUCAAGAUGACUAGAUACCUCUCUCACUCAAUUUCUUCUAUAUAUAGGCAACAAGUCUUUUUCUUCUAAAUAGCCAAGCAGACCAAACUAACUAUCUCACUACCAGACACCUAAUUAACAGACACUCCCCCAUUCACAUUUGUCCACAAAUUUUCAAAAUUUAAAGAAUCAUCACUUUAUCACAAUCGUGCCAGCAACCAUAAUUUAAAAGCAGAGGCAAUUUCACAUGCCCAAGGUUUUAAAUUACCGUGAUUGCAGCCAUUGAUCCACAACAUCGUGAUUUUGUAGCAUGUUUGGAUCGACUUCUCUUACACGAGAAUUGAUAUCAAUUCUGAAACUCAGAAGCUACCGUCUUCGGAAUCAACCGUAUAAGGGUUUCCAAGUAAUCUCUACAGCUGCAAUUGUGGUCAAAUCAAUCCCAAUUGUCCAUAAUUCCCCCCAAUGUAUCAUAAUCACCACCAUCAACUGCAAAUUUAAAAAGUUGUUCAUUCCAUUUUGCAAACUAAUCAAUUCUAAAAUUUCAAUUUCAUGAACAGAUCAAGGAAGGAAAGUACAUUUUCCUAUACGGCGGCAACGACGCCGAAUGGGUGAAAAAAUUCGUGAAAGAAGCCCGGAGAGUAGCACAGGCAACCCAAAUCCCCUUAGAAAUGGUCUACGUCGGAAAAAGCAACAAACGGGAACAAGUCCAGAAGGUGAUCGAAACCAUCGCCCGCGAGAAGCUCAACACACACUGCUGGUCAGAACAAAGCAUGAUCUGGUUCUUCUGGACCCGUCUCCAAAGCAGCUUCUCAGCUACGACAAGCUCGGAGGGUGGAUCGUGCUGGCGAGAGGGUCGCAGAUUGUGGUGAACGGGCACGCGUCUACGGGGUUGCAGACGCUGGUGGAGUAUGACUUGAUGUGGAAGGAUCCGGCGGAGAAGGAGGGGUUUGAGGCGGCGUUUAAGGACCAUUAGGAACAAGUCCAGAAGGUGAUCGAAACCAUCGCCCGCGAGAAGCUCAACACACACUGCUGGUCAGAACAAAGCAUGAUCUGGUUCUUCUGGACCCGUCUCCAAAGCAUGCUGUUCUCCAAGAUCCAGCUGAAGCAAUCAGACACAACGCAACACGACCACGUGAUGCAGGAGAUCAAGAAGCUUCUCAGCUACGACAAGCUCGGAGGGUGGAUCGUGCUGGCGAGAGGGUCGCAGAUUGUGGUGAACGGGCACGCGUCUACGGGGUUGCAGACGCUGGAGCUGCACACGGUGGCGAACCCGUGUUGUAGAUUUGAAUUCUCGCAUUCGAUGGGGAGGAUACCGGAGAGGCUCACGUGCCCGGAGUGCCACCGCCAUAUGCAUGUGUUGACGACGUUUCAGUGCUGCCAUGAUGAGGAUAUUGAGCAGGAUUUUUUUGUUAGCAGUGUUGCUCCUCCUACUUCCACCAUUUGAGUUGGGUUGCUCCUUUUCUAUGCUGCUGCUUCCACCCUGCAAUUGUGUUUUUCUUAUCAUAAUAAAAUGUUGAAGAGGUUGGUUGAAUUAUCAUGUAACUUGUUUUUCUGUAUUUGGCUCUUGUCUAUGAAAGCUAUUGGCAUUAAGAUUGUGGAUAUGCCUAGUCUUUUGAAUCAUCAUCAAUAAAGAUUUUUUUUUUUUUGAAAAUAUCAAUUAAAGUUACACCUAAUACAAAAUUGAGUUAAAGUUUUUAAUCUCCAUGGGUGAGUUUUGAUUUAGUCUCUCAUCGUAGAAGUAAUGUUGCAAAUAGGGGUGGGAAUAGAGCAAACCGUUCGUAGGGGCCCAUGGCCUAGCCUACCACAGGCACAGGCCAGACCAGACCAAAUUGGUAAAUAGGCAAGACUUAAGCUUUUUGAAAAGCCUAUUUAGUUAAAAAGGCUAGACUCAGGCCAUUUAAAAGGUCUUUUAAGCCUUAUAGACUAGCCUAUUUAAGUAAAAAUGAUUAGUAUUUUUCUGCUACAAUGUAAAUAUGAUUAGUAUAAAUAUAUUUUACCAUUGAUGAUGUCUAUAUAUUAGAAAUUUAUCAUAAUAUCUUGAUAUUAUAUACUUGAUAUUAUAUACUUAUUGACAUUUUUAUAUAUUUAAGCAAAUUGACUUAUUUAAUGACUCAAAGUUAUAAGUCUAUUUUGAAAUACAUAUAUAACGUAUUUAAAUACCUUAAUAUAAAGUGUGAUUUUAUACUGACUCUCCGACUCUAAGAAACCAACAUAAUCUCUCGUUUAGUUUCAUCUCUACCUAAUAGCUUAUAAUAUUAUGAGUCUGAUUGUUGAAAAAAUUAUUUUAGUAUAAUUUAACCCGUUAGUUUAUAAGUUUGAUAGCUUAUGUACAAAUAAGUUUGUUAGCAAACGUAAAACUCUUGUUAUGAAACAUGCCUUUAAAUAGGCUGCCAGGCCAGGCCAGGCUUUCGAGAAGGCCAGGUCAGGCUCGAAAAAAAACCUUUGACAGGCCACAGGCCAGACUCAGGUCUUAAGAUUUUAAACAGGUUAGGCCUAUUCACGCAAAACCUACCUAGGCUCAGCCUAUUCCCACCCCUAGUUGCAAAAACCAAAAGCAUUAAUGCAUUUAGAAAAAAAAGGGUUUUAUUGGUUACUGCUCGUCCUGAACCGCAGUUUGGUGCUCUAAGAUCCCGCCAUCGUUAGUUUGGUUUUCUUGGUUACUUAAACAUUGGUUCCUUGACAAUAGAUUUUGGUUUUGCUACAUUGGCUUGUUGAUCGAGCUUUCGUGUCGUAAUGUGGUGGCUUGAAUUGUGCUAUUGGAUUUGUCACAUAAGUGCCCUAAUGUAGGGGGUUGUUCAUACACCCGCUUACCUUGUCCUCCUCUUACACUUGUGAAUUAUUGGUGUGCACAUGGUUGAGAUAGCUCUCAUACAACUUUAGUACCUUUAGGCAUUGACUUCGUCAGAUUAUUUUCCCCAACAAACAUAGCAUUAUGGGGACUAUAGUACAAUAAAGACAGAUUGAGGCUCUUUGGGGGCUCAAAUCUUUGAGCCGAUUGUACAUAACCAUAUUGCAGAUCCAUGUUACAAGUAGUUUAAAUAGCGACUAUAAGUUCACCUAAAACUGAUCAGCAAAAUCAUGUUUCAAGUCUUUUAAAUAAUGACUAUAAAUCUAAGUAGUUCAAUAUAGUUUGAUGUAUGCUUAGUUUAUAAGAAGGAAAAAUCACGUAUGGCUUAGGUUUGUUGAUUCUUUUUGCGCGUUCACGUAUCUAUUGACUAUAGUAUGAUUCUUAGAAUUUGCAUGACAAUUAGAAGUUGAUGUAAAUCUAGUUUAUGAGAGUAACCACCUUCACAUCAGUCAUCGAAAGACUUAUCUUAGACUAGGUUAAGGUUUUCUAAGUGACAAUAGGAGAUGCUCACCCUUAGAGAUGAAUAUCUUGAGUAAGGAAUGAGAUCCAAACCGAAUGACUAGUCGAGAUCUUCACCACUAUCAUGAGUAGGGACCGAUUCAUAGUCGGCCAAACAGUAAAUGAGGCCUAAAGCAAAAUUUAAAAGUGAGGUUUUUUUACUUAAAAAAAUGUACGUGAUUUUCUUUUUAUUUAAAUUUUUUUUCGAGUUUUUUUCAGAUCAAAUUUCCGGCGGACUGCUAUGCAUAUCCCCUAAGCCGGUAUUGCCCCCAAGGUUUACGCAACCGAUGAUCUAACUUGUGCACUCAAGGUAGAGCACCUUGAAACUUUCGCAGAUCAAUUGCCUAGAAAUAUCAGGUAGGAAAAUGAUGAAAGAUUAUAGCAAAACAUUACAAAAUGUAUGAGAGGAUGUUUUGUGUUCAGUACCUAGGAGGCUAUAACCUUUGCUGCCAUCACCUUAUAUAAUAUAACAGAGAAUGAAAAUUGGAAAUCAAAUACAAUUUUUUUAAACUUAUAAUAUUACCAUAAGUCAUCAAAUACACCAUCAAUGCAAAACGUUUUUUUUUUGAAACUAAUGCAUAACGUUAAUAUCAUCGAUGACCAUGAGAAGUGGAAAUCAACACAAUUAAGGGGUCAACAAAUUGUGUUUGUCGAGUAGGUGAAAAAGGAAAGAAGCGUAAUUCUGAUUAAUAUACUAUAAAUGCUUGGUUUUUUGGGGUCUUUUUGACUUAGUAAAAAAAAUUUGGACCUAAAGUCCUUACUUGGGUGGCUUUGGCCUUGGGCCGACCCUAGACUGAUUAUGGUUUCUUGAGUGACGAUCAAAGUAUCUAUCAAACUAGGAUAUGAACUUCUUGGGUUACGAAUAGAGCUUGAGAAUGUCUCAUCGAGUAGGUUUGUGCUAUAAUACUCCUUUUACGAUCACUAAGACUUAAGACAUUAAGGCUAGGAUUUCAACGGGAAGAUUUCUUGACUAAGGCAUUCGUAACUAAUAGUUCUUGGAAAAUCUGAUUUCUCAUUUUUCUAAUUGGGGAUGGUUUCCAAGAUAAUUUCGAUACUUCACCACUGUUGAAUGUUGAUCAAUGCCAUUUUGUUCUUUCUUGUUUAGAUGAUCAGAAAGUUGCAGACUCUUGCUUCUGAUGAAUGAAAUGGUGGAUGGGGUUGUCUCAAUAAGGCACUUUUCAUCUGAAUCACUGUUCUAAAUAGUAGAAACAUCAUCUAUUUGUUAUUCAAUGUUGCAGAAUUUUGAUGUUCAUUGCAGCUAAAAAAAUUAUUGUGCAUAGUCAAGUGAUCAUAAAAGAAUGUUAUAAUCUUUCAAUGUGUUGAAAUUGACACAAACUUCAGGAAGUUUCCAAUAAGAUUUAUAACAUGCUGAUGCUAGUAUGAGUAUCCAUAGGGAUAUUUCACUAUCAUGUAAAGUCUAGCAACUCUCUAGAAUGUACUAAUGAUAAAUAAUGUUUACCGACAUUAUGAAGUUGGUUAUGAUGAGCCUAUAAAAGGGUAUAGGGUUUAGCCUCUCUUUCUUCAUAAUUGGGUGUGUUAAUCAUUAAUUUAGUAGAAACUGUGGUAUGUACCUACAUGAUGGAAUUAUGCACUAGUAGACAGCCAUUGCUUUUUUGUUGUUUCUGAUUCCUAAUUUAUUUUUUAUUGUCAGUUAUUCUUGUUACAUAGGGGAGCUAUGAAUAUCCUAAACUUGCUGACAGGUGAACUUCUUUUGUUUAUUUACAACUCAGGAUUUCUAUUCAGAGGGAAACAAACUCAUUUGGAGUUAGAAUUAGCACAAGGUACCCUUCUCUCUCUUAGCUAUGGUUGUAUUGUCUCCCGCCUAUUUCUUUUUGUAUUGUCCUUGUCUUUAAGGUAGCUAAUGUCAAUGCAUUUGAAUUGAUUGGCCUUAUUUAAUUAGUCAAAAUUUAGCAGAAAUUUGUUUCCAUGGAAUACUGAGAAGUUAGAUACAUUUAUAUUUCUUCUAUUCAUUGUUGUUUUAUAUCAUUUCAUUAUAUUGUGAAUUCUGGAUACGAUUAAUUCAUGUUUUUCUUUCAGGGAGAGAAACUGGGAAAUCGUCUUCAAGCUUCAGCAUGCUGCAAACACUUGACUGCCUGUGCUUUCAAUAAUUGGGAGGGUACUGUGGACCACUUUGCCUUCGAAGUGAAGCUCGUAUAAGUAUGUAAACUAUCCUAUGGAAAAUGAUCUAUGAUUUUUGAGCAAUUACUAAUUGACAAAAUAUAGAAGCUAAUCUAUGAUAUUAACUUGUGUGAUCAGAUUCUUUGCCAUCUUUAAAUUUUGCAAUCUACUUUUUCUUACAUGAAUUAGUAAUAUUUAUCCUAUGAUUUUGAUGCUUUAUGCUAAAUUUAUUCUUUUGUUUUCUGUUAAUUAAUUACUACUAGAAUUGGAUAGGGUAAGUGUUCUUUUUAAAUGUGGUACUUAUUUUGGCAAUAAGAAGAGCGAUUCUUGGGGAUCUGUAACUCCCAAAUCUGAGAAGUAAAUGAAGUAUCUCAGCUAAGGAAGGUUAAAAAGCACACUAAAUAGUGUCGGGUACAAGGGGUUGCUUAAAAACGCCGCUGAAUGCUUGCAGUUGAAAGUAACUGCAUGAUUUUUGAAACCACUGGUAAUUAACUUCAGAGGUUAGAAACCACACUAAACGUAGAAAAACAUGUGUUGUCUGUAUUAAUGUAUUAGGUUCACCUCAUAUUAGAUGUAUUAGGUUCACCUCGUAAUAACAUACAGUAAGAAAUGUACUGAUUGACUUAGAUCAGCAACUUUGUGCUAUAAUACUCCUUUUACGAUCACUAAGACUUAAGACAUUAAGGCUAGGAUUUCAACGGGAAGAUUUCUUGACUAAGGCAUUCGUAACUAAUAGUUCAUAUCAGUAUCUUAAAAGUUAUUACACCUUAUAUGAUUUUGUAAAAACUCAAACUUUGCCUAGUUUUUUAAUGGUUAUUUAGUUUUAAUAAAAAGUAGAAGAUUUUAAAAGACACAAAAAUGAUAAAAAUCUAAAAAUAUACAAAAUAGUUUAUUUCACUCAAGGUUUUCUUAAAUUUUAUUUUAUUCGUGCUUAAUUAAUCUUUUGAGUUGAAGUUUAGAUAUUGAUCAUUAUCUAAUAAAAAAAGGAAGCAAAUGAAGCCGCGCACACAAAAAUAGAAAAUGGCCCAGUUGUCAAAGGAAAAACAAAAAUUAUCAACUAAAGGCGCAAGUAAGAGAGACCAACUCUACCCGAGUUCCCCUUCCUAAAUAAGAAAAAUCCUAUUCCUAAGGGGAGAAGACUGGGCAGCCAACAAACUCGCUCUCCCAUUGAAACAUUCCCUCACUCUCCUAAAAAAGAGGCAUCAGCCUUUCUCUCCUUCUCUCAUCCAUAAAUUCGCCUCUCACCCACCUUACAAAAUCCUGACUCUCAUGGCUUAUACCGUCACUUCUUCUCCUUCUUCCCCAACUGCAUGCCACGUGACCAACCACCACGCUGCCAUCGUCCGCGCCACUAUAUCAGAAUCACCUUUGAUCAGGUCAUCUCUUACUGUGUCUGCUUCACAUGUUUUUUUGUGUGUCCUUACUUGUUUUUUUUUUUUGAAACUUUCCUUACUUGUUAUUAAUUAGUCACGUUGAUUUUGCUUGCUGGACCAACUAAUGAAUAAUGAUAAUGAUAUAAUGAAUAAGGAAUGAACAAUUGAUAAAAUCAAAUGGAAAAUUGAUGAGUCAUGAUUCUUAUUGAUUGAGUCGUGAAGUAUUACCCCUUUUAUUUGACAAUAUUCCUUGAUUGAGUAGUUAUAGUUAUGAUUAUGACCUUAUGGGUGUUUUGCUUCUUUAAAUUAUGAUCACUUCUUUUUCUGUUAAUUUUGAUCAAAUAAAAAAUUAAAUGCACUUGAUACGGUGGCGUUUAAUGCCUUGCCUUGCUUUGUUGUUCUUUAAUUAGUAAUUACAAUAUCCAUGCACUUCUAUCUUUUGCAAAUGGGUUUAGAUACUUAUUGGUUUUGUAGCUGAGUAGAACACAUUGAAUUAUCUACGCAUGUUUUAUGUUAGUUAAAUUUAUUGCUCUUUUUAGUUCUACCUUAAUGAUUACUUUUUUUAAAACUAAAAUUAGUGAUAAUCAUUAAGAAUUCAUUUGGUUUUUGGUUUUGAUGUGCUUAGCAUGAUCGAGGCUUUCUCAGUGUCUGGAUCGGACAUUGAAAUUGAAAUAUUAGCCUUCGAUAUACACAUACAUAUUGUUGCCAUUCAAUAUUCACAAUGUUGUUUAGCGUGGGUUAUACUUAUACAUGAACAUGCUUACAUGCAUGCUGUAAGAUGGCAGGCUUGUUGAGGUUCAUAGAAUAUACACAUAUAUUCUGUGCACAUCUUUGUCUACAACUCGUCUUUUUAGAGGAUUUUUCAUCGAUCUUCCUCCAUAUGUGAAGAAUCGUCCUUUCAAAUAGAACAAAAUAAUUAAAUGGGUUAUUAAGAAAAAUUAAAUAUAAUAUAGAACUACAAAUCACGGGUCAUAAAGAAAUUUAUGGGCUAUUUAAUUAUUGUUUUGUAAAUAAUUUCUUAGUUUUUUAAAAAGGAAGACACACUAUUUUUUUUAAAAAAUGGCACUAAAAAAAUAAUUAUUUUAAAUAUUAAAAACUAAAUCCAAAACAUCUUAGGAAUACUUUCUGUUUUAGUUUCUAGUUUUCAAUUCACAUGAAUUGAACUUUGUAAAAUAACAUUAUCAAAGAUGUUUUUUUUAAAAAAUAUUUGAAAAGAGUUUUUUUAAAUUGUUUAUGGAAAUAGUUUAUAUUCAUAAAACUGAGAAAAUAAUUAAAUGAGCUCUUAGUUUCUGUGGAAGAAGAAAACAUGUGGGAUGAUGGGAAGUCAUAGUGGCGAAGCCCGCUCCAUAGUUUAAAUACAAAUGUGCUCUAAAAUAGAUCUUAUUGUAACUGUUAUACUCAUAUGAAUUAAUGUCCCAAAAGUUUUUCCAUUAAGAAUCCUGGAUAUGUUAUAUUUUGCACCAGUAGAGUCAUAUGUGUCGGUACUAAUAAAUGGAAAGUUUCUGCCAUCAUAGAAAUUAUUCCAAUUUGGAACAACAGCAUAUGAGAAUAGAAAAAAUUCAAUCAGUACGUUAACUAUAGUUGACCCAGGAGCAACAAGAGGACUAUAAUUAAGGUAUUGAUUGGAUUUUUCUUGGUCUCAUGUGUUAUUGUUCCAAUUGCUUAUUGGAAUAAUUUCUAUGAUGACAGAAAAUUUCCCUUUAUUAGUACCGACACAUAUGACUCCAGUGGUGCAGAAUAUAACAUGUCCAUGAUUUGUAAUGGACUUCUGAGAUUAAUUUGGAUGAAUACAACAGUUACAAUAAGAUCUAUUUGAGCAACACAUUUGUAUUUAACUAUGGAGCGGAUGAUACGCUAUCCGCAAGUAUACGGUACGCUCGAAGAAAUAAAAAAGAUUGUCUAGCCACAGGGAUUGGGGAAACACCAAUUCACACAAGCAAGAGUUGUUAAUUAGAACACAAGGAAGUAAAGACAAUUUAUAAAUUUAAUUGGUAGAGAGCUUAGUUUUCAGAGUCAAAGAAAAAAUUAUGUUAACAGCAAGCACUUGAGUUUAGCUUCACCAAAACAAGUUAUGCUUUAGAUAAAAGAGCUAGAGUAUAUGAAAUUUCAUGGAGUCCAUUCUACGGUUGAUCUAGCCUAGUUCUUUAAGUGUUGAUUCCUCAAGUCAGGUACGACUUUCAAUUAAAUUCCUUUGAGCCAAUUGCACAUAAUCAUAUUGCAAAUCCAUGUUACAAGUAGUUUUUUGGGUGCUCUAACACACAAGCACAUAAUUUCAGCCCUGCUAAUCAAUCAAUUCAAAGUCAGUUGUAUAUUUACAAGAAUAAGAAAGACUUCAAAAAGGUUAUAACUUUGGCUAAGGCAUAGGUAGUGGACUAGGCAAGUCCUAACAAGCGAAGGACCCUUUAUAAGACGGAUCACCCAUCUUAACAAUGGGCUCAGGCUUAUUGAUUUAUUAGCAUUUGGAAUUGUGUCUUGAAUGUAAGGCCCAAUUCCUCACUCUCCUUAGGGUUUCAGGCCCCUCCCACUACAAAAGGGGGGUCAUUUAUUGUACUGCCGACUUUUUACUCAUUCUAUGAUAUAGUACAAUUUACCAUGAUCAUAGUUUUGUAGCAUGUUUGGAUAGUCUUCUUUUUCAUCAAUUUUGAAAUCUAAGAGCUACUCACAUCACAUAAGCUUCUCCACAUAAUUAAUUCUGGCAUCAAAAUCAACUGUAAAAGGAUUUCCAAGUGAUCUACAGCUGCAAUUGUGGUUACAUCAAAUCCCAAUUGUCCAUAAUCCCCCCCCUCCUCGAAUGUGUCAUAUAUAAGCUCCACCAUCAACUGCAAAUUUAAAAUGUUGUUUAAGCCAUUUGAUAAUAUUUGGACAGAAAUGAGUAGAAAAUUAUUCAAGAAAAUAGUUGAAAAUGGGUAGAAGGUUGUGUAAUGUCGUGGGAAAUGGAUGCUAAGGCACUAGUUAGAGAGGAAGUGGCUUUAUUAGUUUGCAGUGAUUCAAUUACAAAGUCUGAAGGCCUAUUUAUAGGCUCUUCAUAACCGACUAUACAAUGUCGCUAAACAUUUUUAAUUAUUUACAUACUUCUAGAUAGUUUCUAGACUUUACAAGAGAUUUUAAUGUCUAGAUUUUUCUAAUCCUAUAUGAUGGUGUCAUGUAGAAAUUUCUAGAAAUUUGCAGCAAUUUUAACACUCCUCCUUGAUGCAAAUUUCUCCAACUCCAAGCAUGUUACGCAGCUCUUCAAAUCUUGGUCUCGGUAACGCCUUUGUGAAUAUAUCUGCGAUUUGAUCUUCAGUCCUACAGUACUUGAGUUGUAUCUCUUUUGUUGUCUCAGCUUCUCUGAUGAAGUGAUAUUUGAUUGCUAUGUGCUUUGUUCUGCUGUGAUGCACCGGAUUCUUCACCAUAUCAAUAGCUGAUUUGUUGUCACAAUAGAGUAUAGUAGGCCCAUCUUGUUUUUCUCCCAUAUCUUCAAGUAUUCUCCGUAGCUAUAUCGCUUGACUUGUUGCUUCAGCCGCUGCCCCAUACUCUNNNNNNNNNNNNNNNNNNNNNNNNNNNNNNNNNNNNNNNNNNNNNNNNNNNNNNNNNNNNNNNNNNNNNNNNNNNNNNNNNNNNNNNNNNNNNNNNNNNNNNNNNNNNNNNNNNNNNNNNNNNNNNNNNNNNNNNNNNNNNNNNNNNNNNNNNNNNNNNNNNNNNNNNNNNNNNNNNNNNNNNNNNNNNNNNNNNNNNNNNNNNNNNNNNNNNNNNNNNNNNNNNNNNNNNNNNNNNNNNNNNNNNNNNNNNNNNNNNNNNNNNNNNNNNNNNNNNNNNNNNNNNNNNNNNNNNNUAUAUUUCUUUUGUGAGAUAAAUAUUCCAUCAUUUCUCUGACUUACCUCUAUACCGAGGAAGUAAUUCAUCAAGCCAAGAUCAGUCAUCUCGAAGGUCUUCAUCAUGUCUUCUUUGAACUCCAUCAUCAUUUUAAUAUUGUUUCCUGUGUAGAUAAGAUCAUCUACGUACAAGGAGAGUAAGAGAGUAUGCGCUCCUCCUGAAUACUCGAUCGAUGAAGUACUGAUCAAUCCGACUAUACCAUGCUCGAGGAGCUUGCUUCAAGCCAUAGAGAGCUUUUCUAAGUCUUAGCACUUUGCUUUCAUUUCCUUCGCACACGAACCCUUGUGGUUGCUCCACAUAGAUCUCUUCUUCGAGUACACCAUUGAGGAUGGCUGAUUUGACAUCUAGUUGAUGAAUGCUCCAACCUUUUUGUGCUGCAAGAGCUAUUAGAGCUCUUAUCGUAUCAAGAUGAGCUACUGGUGCAAAUGUCUCAUUAUAGUCGAUGCCAGGUUGUUGUGAGUAACCUUUCACUACUAGCCUCACCUUGUGCUUCUGUAUAGUGCCAUCAGGGUUGAGCUUUGUCUUGUAGACCCACUUAACCCCAAUGAUGUCUUUUCCAUGUGGGCAAUCUACUAACUCCCAUGUGUUGUUUUUCUCUAUCAUCUUUAUUUCUUCUUCCAUUGCCUUGACCCAUACUUCUUGCUUUGAUGCUUCUUCAAAGCUUUCAGGCUCAAGUAUGGCCAAGUUGCAGGUUUCAUAUACAUCCACUAAAGAUCUUACUCUUAUGGGAGUAGACUCUGGUGAUGAAUCUUGUUGNNNNNNNNNNNNNNNNNNNNNNNNNNNNNNNNNNNNNNNNNNNNNNNNNNNNNNNNNNNNNNNNNNNNNNNNNNNNNNNNNNNNNNNNNNNNNNNNNNNNNNNNNNNNNNNNNNNNNNNNNNNNNNNNNNNNNNNNNNNNNNNNNNNNNNNNNNNNNNNNNNNNNNNNNNNNNNNNNNNNNNNNNNNNNNNNNNNNNNNNNNNNNNNNNNNNNNNNNNNNNNNNNNNNNNNNNNNNNNNNNNNNNNNNNNNNNNNNNNNNNNNNNNNNNNNNNNNNNNNNNNNNNNNNNNNNNNNNNNNNNNNNNNNNNNNNNNNNNNNNNNNNNNNNNNNNNNNNNNNNNNNNNNNNNNNNNNNNNNNNNNNNNNNNNNNNNNNNNNNNNNNNNNNNNNNNNNNNNNNNNNNNNNNNNNNNNNNNNNNNNNNNNNNNNNNNNNNNNNNNNNNNNNNNNNNNNNNNNNNNNNNNNNNNNNNNNNNNNNNNNNNNNNNNNNNNNNNNNNNNNNNNNNNNNNNNNNNNNNNNNNNNNNNNNNNNNNNNNNNNNNNNNNNNNNNNNNNNNNNNNNNNNNNNNNNNNNNNNNNNNNNNNNNNNNNNNNNNNNNNNNNNNNNNNNNNNNNNNNNNNNNNNNNNNNNNNNNNNNNNNNNNNNNNNNNNNNNNNNNNNNNNNNNNNNNNNNNNNNNNNNNNNNNNNNNNNNNNNNNNNNNNNNNNNNNNNNNNNNNNNNNNNNNNNNNNNNNNNNNNNNNNNNNNNNNNNNNNNNNNNNNNNNNNNNNNNNNNNNNNNNNNNNNNNNNNNNNNNNNNNNNNNNNNNNNNNNNNNNNNNNNNNNNNNNNNNNNNNNNNNNNNNNNNNNNNNNNNNNNNNNNNNNNNNNNNNNNNNNNNNNNNNNNNNNNNNNNNNNNNNNNNNNNNNNNNNNNNNNNNNNNNNNNNNNNNNNNNNNNNNNNNNNNNNNNNNNNNNNNNNNNNNNNNNNNNNNNNNNNNNNNNNNNNNNNNNNNNNNNNCUAGAAAAUUCAAUAUGUUCUGCUCUUUGACUUCAGCUCGGCUCUUCCUGGAUGAUACAAAAGACUGCGGUGCCCAACCUGCACAUUCAUUCAUAAAGUUAACACUCACCACUUGCAAAAACUAAAAUGCAUAGCAGGAGCAUUAUAAUUCCCUGAUGAACUUAUACCUUCCUUUGAGCCCACUGUAUUAUAGUAACAAACCAUCUUUGCUUUUCCCUGGUUAAACUAACCCUGGUUAAACUAUUUCUUUGCUUUUCGUAGGCCAAACCAUUGAAUGAUUUUUGCUAAUUGAUUUACUAAUACUGUGUAGACAUAUGACCAUAGUUGAAAUAUCUACACCGUAUAGAAGAAAAUAUCUUCACUGAUAAGAUGGUGUUGUUGUAUGAUGUUCGGUACAGUUAGCAUAUUAGCUACUUAUAUAUUUAUCAUAUUAAUAAACUACCUUCUCAAGCACAUUAAUCUCUAUCAAAUGAAAGUAAAUGACAGUACAAAACUUCCUUUGGUUUUUAGUUAUCCCUCGAUGAAACUUGAGACUCUUAAAAUCUAAUUUAUGCAUGUAAACAAAAAAGAUGCAAGAAAAUAGGCAGCAGAAAGGAGAAGACGCAAAAGAGAUAGCACCAAAAAUGUUACUCACCUGUAAUCUUUAUCAAUAUCCCAAAAGCUCCUUGCUGCAAUUUUUGAUAUCGCAGAAGGCAUAAUUGGGAAAAUAAAAUUUGGGAGGACCCAAAAGCUCAUGUCUGAUGUCAAGAAAGAGAGAUUGGUUAAAAUCCUAAACAUAAGUUUUCUAAAAUGUCAUAUGAAUUAAUUCCAAUAGAGCAUGAUCAGUGCAUAUGAGUACCCUUUAAAUAGUAUAAGGGGAAUCUAGUCCAUCACUAAUUGUAGUGAAGAGCCAGUAAGACAUUUAAGUAAUAAACUCACUCAUUAUAUAAAUAAACCAAAAGUAAAUAAAACAAAAAAUUAAGGAUAUCUUAACUAUAUAGCAAUUGAAAUUUCAAGUGGAGUGUAGACUGGAAAUUGAACUACCCAACAAAUUGAUAAAACUUAUCUAUGUAGCAUCUUCAGUUUCAAACACAUCCCAAUGGAGGCUCUAAAAUAAUUUCCUAACAUGUAUUAUGAAUUUUGAGGAACUGACCCUACAAAGAACCAAAGGAAUGUUGUGCCUCUUGAUAUUAACCGUUUCAUGGCUUAUAACCAACAAUAGCAAUUGAAUAUAACAGAAUCAAGGUAAAGAGAAUUAUUGUAUCUUCAUAUGGGAACCCUCAGUCCACCUUAUUAGAUUCCCAGGUGCACUUGCUUUGUUUGCUUCACUGGGAAUGAGAACGUAAAACCCAGCCAAGAUAUGUCUUCCUCGGGGUGGAUGAAAACCUUUAGGUUCUGAAUCAACAAACUUUGCAAGAGCUGCUACUACAAAAUCAAAUGGUCCCUAAAAUAAACCGAAUGAAUGUAUAUCAGAGUGUAGGCAAGCUUAAUACUCUGAUAGAUUUUCCCUUAACAAACUUACCUUUGGAGUACCGGUGAUGGGGUUCAAGUCAAAACUGCAGCAGAAAAUAGAGGCUAAUCGGUGUUGGGUUUUGGGUACUUCGCCAUUGACUUUGCUACAUGUUGGUGGUAUUUGUCUAUGUAUGUAUGUAUCUGGUUGCAUCCGAAAUCAAAUCAGGUGGUGAUGCAAGGAACCUGCAAAUCAUGCCAAAAUCAAACAAUAAUUCCACACUUCAACUUGUUCAAUUUUUGGGAGAAUUUUCAGUGCUCAAAUUUAAUUUAAUGAUAUGCAUUAAUUAAUUGGAUGUUGAAGAUUUCAACACGCGAGUCUUCUUCUCCUUCUAAUUUUGUAUUUUUAAAUCAAUUUCUUAAACGAAUUUAUGAUGUAAAAUCCAACGAAUAAUGUUGAAACCACCAUGAAACUAUAGAGCAGCAAAAGAAAUAUUGUAGAAGAGAUGAAACCAAUGAGCAUAAAAUUCGUACCUGAUGAAAUGCCCUAAAUUAUUCUUGUAAGCAGUAUGAGAGAUGCCAUUGAGAGAACAACCAUGAGAGAUGCGAUUAAAGGUCGAAGGAAUUGGAAGGUCUAGGGGAUGAAAUCAAUGAUCGUGAGACUGGAAGGUCGAGGGUGGAUAUGCGAUGUUUGCAUCAGAGUAGGCUAUGAGAGAUGCGAUUGAAGCGAAGAAUGGUUAGAAUAUGGAUGAGAGGGGAAAAAAGGGAAAUCUGGAAGCCCUUUAGGUUUCGAUUCAAGGGCUUAUGAAUCUGUAAAUCGCAGACGAAACGCGUUUAGAAUAAAUGAGAUUAAGGAGAGAUGAGUGAAGGAUAAGGAGAAAGGUNNNNNNNNNNNNNNNNNNNNNNNNNNNNNNNNNNNNNNNNNNNNNNNNNNNNNNNNNNNNNNNNNNNNNNNNNNNGGGUAUCUAUUACCAUUGGAGUACAUAUUCAAUCACAAGCCAAUCUACACAAGCAGUGUAACGCCCUAAUUUCUCAACCGAGGAGUCACAUUAGGAACCUAUCAAAGUCUAAAGAGAAAGGAUAUAUUUUUUUUCUUGAAAGACAACUAAACACUUCAACCAUGUAAAGUGGUGUAGAUGAUGUGACAUAUGAGGAAUUAUAAAAAAUGAAGUGUAGAUAUUUUAGUGAAUAUGAUGAAUGUAAAUGCUCUAAGAGCAUCUCCAAUUAGAGUGUCUCUUGCCUAAGACACUUGAAGAUGAGUGUCUCACACCAUUGGAGUAAAUGAGAUCUCCAUGCUGUCAAAAAUUAGUGUCUACAGCCACACACACUGUCUCUUCAAAUUGUGCACAAAAAAUAAAAAAGUUAUUAUUAUUAUAUUGAAGUAAAAGUGGUUUGAUGUUGAUUGUAGGGUCAACUAGAGAAACUAAGAGUUGUUGAGUUGAAGUAAAAAAUUAGUAAAAUGGUUUAGAUAAUGUGACAUUAUAAAAAAUUGUAAAAAAUAAUAUAAAAUGAAGUGUAGACGCAUUAGUGAAUAUGAUAUAUAAAGAUGCUCUACGGCCUUAGUUUUUUUUUAUCCUUCAUGGUUGUAUGUCCUGUGGGAACCGUGAGUUGACAGCCUAAACAUGGCAUAAUAGAACAGAAAGCAUUAUUUCUAGCAAAUUGGGCCCCACCUGCGAACCUUGCGGCUUGGGAUUCUGAGACUGAAGACAAUUGGAGCCGUUGAUGGGCCUGGAUUACCCAAAACGAGGUUCUUUGUUCAAAAAUUCCCCAACAGAGAUUCUCCCUAAUCUAAUUAAACAAAAGGAGAGAAAGUUCUAUGAUGAUGAAUUCAUAGUUAAGUAACAUGGCACAUUAAACACACCCCACUGUGCUUUACACAGGACAUUCCUGCACCCGUGUCAAUUUUGAGGUCCCAUUGGUCCAACAAAAACACACAAUGCCGAAAGGGAUUCUCGUUCCUUAGAUGGGAAAUCAUGGUGAUGAAGCAGGCCUGAGUUGUUUGACAUCAACAUGGGACAACCUGUUAUUGCUCCAUGAAAUCAUUUAACUAAUUGAUACUCUGCACUUUUAUGUGUCUUUUACUCCACCCCCUCCUGCCCUUUACUCAUUGGCUUGCCUCUAUGCUCUCCACUCCUACAAAUAAUUAACAAUCACCCUAAUCACAUUCAACAGGAUCACUGAAACAAAUAACAAUAUCAGUAAUACUUUUUAUUUAUUCAUAGAGAUUCAUUAAAACCAAGAUUUUUGAAUAACUUUUUUUUUAUGUAAGAUUUGAAUAUCAUUUCAAAUCCUUUAAAAAAAUUACCAUUUUCAAAAUAAUGCUAAACUUAAUAAAAUGGGUCGUUGGUAUGAUAUUUUAACAUUUUAUUCCUUAAGCAUAUAGUUAAAGGUUUGAUUUCCAUCUCUUACAAAUGAAAAAACACAUUAGUCUUACAAUACAUUAGUUGAGAGAGUAAAAUGCUGAAUUUUUUAGAAAAAAUGUAAACCAUUUAAUAUUAUUGAAAUCAUUUAGUAAUAAAAACGAUUUAAUACUAUUUAUUUAGCAUUUAAUACUUUUUGUCGUAUAUAAAAACAGACACCAGUGGCUGUGUGAGGAGAAAAGAAAACUUGAGGCCAAGAGGACAGCACGUGGAAAUAAGAAACAGACAACUAAUUAAUACUGAUAGAUGUGAAUGCGAAUAAUAAGGAGUUGCUCAAUAAAUAAAAAAUUAUUAAUAAGGUGUAGUACAACUAAUUGAUAAAUAGUUGAACUCUUUAAAUAUAUAGUUCUGUGUUGAGAAACAUUUAUUGAGAGAAGCCUAUCGAUUUAAUGGGAUCUCAGAGCCUUGAAAAUUAGCCUAAUGGUUGCCGGCGCCGUGGGGAUAUUAGGGAAAAAAAAUUAAAAUAUUAAAUAAAUAAAAUAAAAUUGUAAGAAAAUAAAACCCCUCCACACUUGAAAUGCAAGAGCAGCAUCAUCCAUAGAAAAACAAAAAAGAAGCACAAGCACCGCCACAGAUAGAAGAGGGAAUGUGAAGUGAGUGAGUGAGUUCAGAAGAAGAAGAAGAAGAAAGGUGAAGUGUGUGUGUGAGAGAGAGAAAUGGGUGGAGUUACCUCAUCCAUGGCUGCAAAAUUGGCCUUCUUCCCUCCGAACCCGCCGUCGUACAAGCUCGUGAAGGAAGAAGCAACGGAGCUGUUGCUCAUGGACGCGUUCCCGCACCGUGAAAACGUUGAAGUUCUCAAGUUCCCCAACCGCCGCGGCACCGAGAUCGUCGCCGUCUAUGUUCGCCACCCGAUGGCCAAAUCAACCAUCCUUUACUCCCAUGGAAAUGCCGCUGACAUUGGCCAGAUGUACGAGCUCUUCGUUGAGCUCAGCAUCCACUUGCGUGUUAAUCUCAUGGGGUAUUUCAAAUUUCCACCUUUUUACUUUUUUUUCAAAAAAAAUUUUGAAUUUUAUUGAAUUACUAUUUUGUGUGUGUUUGAGUUUUUAGUUGAAUUUGGUUGUUGAUUUUUGUGUAUGGUUUUGACUUAGUCCUGUAGGAAUCUCAACUGUCCUGUUUGGCUAGGAUUUACUGGGUUCUGAUGUUGAUGGGAAUGUUGGGAUCAGGAAUUUUCUUAUUUUCACUAGCUUUGUUAGAUUUGAUUUGUCAAAGAUGGGGUCUUGUUUGGUCAUCAAGGGGGUGCUAAAUUUAUGAUAUGAAGGCUUUUGAGCCAUGUAUUUAUUUUGUGUGGUUCUUACGCGAUUAGAAGAUAAUGAUUUGAAGGUGGGAGUUUAGUAUUCCAUCAUUUUCAUUUUUGCAAUAUGCUCAGCAUAUCAUUAAAUAUGAUUAUAUUGAAGAUGGAAUUUAACUAGUUGUGAGGGAUUUGAAGUGGCCAUUUACAUUUUAGGAUGUUUCAAUUGCAGGACAACACAGCUUAACCCUUUUUCUUUCUCUUACUCUUGGAUAGGUUUGUCUUUUCUCCUAAACACUAAACAGAAACCUCAGGAAACACUAGUAAAUUACUAUUAAAAGGAAGGAAAUGAGAGCAUCAAGUUGGUAAAAUAACGCGCAGUUCGUUCCAGUAAUUGAUACAUAACAUCAGGUUAAACUCAAUGACAGGAUUUUGUUCUGCAGAGAAGUGCUUAUGGAUUUUUGGUCUGCAGUGUGACCAGAGCUUAUGGUUUAGCUCUUAUAUUAAGAAACCAUUCUGCUUUUAUAAUCGGUAUUGAAAGCUUCUAAACUUCACAGAUUGCCCCAUCAUCAAGCACUUGACUUCAACUUCAUAAACAGUCGGAUAGAUACAUUCAAUUUUGGGCUUACAGUAACACCUUAAAUGCCCAGUGAAAGAUGAAAUAGUAAAUUUUGGUGGAUUACCAACACCUUGAUAUACUAAAGAGGUGCAUCCAAACAUUUAGAGUUCAGAUGCCACUAUAUCAUGUUUACAUCUUGCCCCCUAACUUCAGUCUUAUUUUCUCUCUCAGAUGUUUUUUUUUUACGGGCUAAUAUGCAUUAGAAAAAUUUAAUUUAGGCACAAUUACAUGGUUGCAAGAUUACCAAUCAUUAUUUAGACUGUACUUUUACCCUCAUAUUUUAGAUUUAAUCUAAAGGACCACACGAUAGUGAAAAUCAUAGAAGAUACUUGAAGUCCUCUUGCUUAUCAAUCAUAUGAUUGUUGUGUUGUGUUGUUUUAAAGAAAAAGUUCUUAAGUUUGAUGUCAAUGAUUUUUUCAAGCAUCUUGUUUCCAUGUAUGCAGAUACGAUUACUCUGGCUAUGGACAGUCAUCAGGGAAGGUAACUGCUCUGUACAAUUCUUUCUGGUUUAUUCAAUUCUUUUGUUCUUAGCAGGCAGAAAUAUCAUGAAAAACUUAUAUGAAUAUUUUUUGCAGCCAAGUGAGCAUAAUACUUACGCUGACAUUGAAGCUGUAUAUAAGUAUCUUGAAGAGAACUAUGGUGCCAAACAGGAAGACAUAAUCCUUUACGGUCAAUCUGUUGGAAGUGGUCCUACUUUAGAUCUUGCUGCCCGGUUACCCCGACUUAGGGCUGUUGUUCUCCAUAGUCCUAUACUAUCAGGGUUGAGAGUCAUGUACCCUGUAAAAAGGUCUUACUGGUUUGACAUUUAUAAGGUUAGAUUUUUCAUUGUCAUAUAUGUUAAAUGUUAUUUAAUUUCAGAAUUAUGUAUAUGAGCUUAUGACCUGAACUUAGUUCUAUGUUAUUGUUGUGCAGAACAUUGAUAAAAUUCCAUUGGUGAAGUGUCCAGUGCUAGUAAUUCAUGUAAGUAUUCCUCUUUGUUGUGCUGGAUUUACCACUAUUAUUUUGUCAUUUGUGGUUGUUGUAAACCUAUAACUGGUAUCCAGUGAACAAUUUCUGUAAUGGUUGUCGUAAUUAAUUCAAUGCACAUUUUGGAGAUCAAAGUGAUAAAUAGAAUCUAUUUUGCACAAACAACCUCCAUAUUGUUAUUUAAUAUCUGCAUUUUUAGUGCUGUCAUUUGUGAUGAAAAUCAUGAUAUGGUUGAUAAAUGGAUAAUUUUUUUCAUAGCAUGAGCUAGGUAAGGUAACACAAGAAGUAUGAGUCUGUGUGUCGUGGCUGAUUAUCAGCCAUUGUUGCUGAUAUCAACUUUUUCAAAAUUGAAUUCUUGUGAAUAUUUUAACAUGGCUUAGUAAAUAUUGCUUUUCAGUAGCUAUUUUUUUGGGUGCAAAGCGUUUUCAUAAUUCAUAUAGCUCUACUAAUUUGCCAUCGUUCCCAUAUAUACCUUCUUCAGGGUACUGCUGAUGAGGUUGUUGAUUGCUCUCAUGGUAAGCAGUUAUGGGAGCUAUGUCAACAGAAAUAUGAACCUUUAUGGAUCAAAGGAGGAAACCACUGUAAUUUGGAGCUCUAUCCAGAAUACCUUCGACAUCUCAGAAAAUUCAUAUCAACAGUAGAAAAGUCACCAUCCCAAAGAGUGAGUUUUAGGAGAAGCGUAGAUAGAGUUGAACAAUCCAGAGGAAGCACUGAUUGCUUUGAAACACCUAGGAAGAGUACUGAAAAGAGGGACAAACCAAGGAAAAGCACCGAGAGGAUAGAGAAACUGAAAUUUCAUGAAUACAAAUUCAACAAUGCCGAAAAAUUAGAGAAGUUAAGAGUCCAAUUUGACCAAACGGAGAGGUCGCGAAGAAGCGUGGAGUAUAGUGAUAAAUCCAGAAGCAUUGAGUUCCAAGAUAAAUCUAGGAGAAGUGUUGAUGUUCAGUUUGAGAGGCCUCGGAAGAGCAUUGAUUGGCUGGACAGAAUUCGAGCUAGCUGAACCUCUUGAAGGAUGUGCAGUAUUGGAACUGGGUUUGAUACAUGGGAAGGAAAGAUACAAAGAUACGAGUUACUUACAAUGCGUUUAACUUAUGGUUAAUGGUUUGCAGAAUGCAUAUAUUGCUCUUGCAGUUUCGUACUUUCAUUACAAUGUUAGUUUGAAAUUGGAUAUGUUCCGUUCAGACUAAUAUUCUUGGUUUUUAUUUAUUAUUUCCAAUUGAUGUGACCCUAACCUUGUUUUAGUCUCAAGAAAGUAAAUGAACCUCAUGUCAAAGAUGGCCAUUACUAUGAUUGAUUAAAAUUCAUAGAAUCGGAUAUCUUUAUUUUUUUUUCCUUGCAUUUCCUAUCCCCGCGUGUUCUUCUUUCAACUUCUUUUCCUACAUUACUUGUUUACAGGGUUUCAUUUCGACUUAAUUUUGCCAAAGAAGCAAAUUUGCAUCACUUGUUCCAUUACUAAGGUUACCAAAAUGCUGGGAAAUUAAGUCCCAAAUUAAUGUAUGUGUUAGGAUUGGAAAAUCCUGACAGCCAAUCGAUAUAAAGGAAGAGGAGAAGAGAUAAUUUUUUUGGUACUUUUUAGUUGGUUCCCUACCAACUUAAUAUUUCCCAAAAAACAUACUCUAACCUAUUGAGAGAGGUCUUAUUUAUAAUAGACUCCUAAGAAAUACCCCUAAAAAAACCCUAAGAAAUAAAGAUUAAUUACUAAAAUAAAAGAUAAUUCCUAAAAUAAAAUAUAAACUUAAUCUAAAAGAUAACCCAACCUUAAAAUAAAAGAUUGCUUAAGAAAGAAUCUAAAACUUAAAAGAUAAAAUAAAAUAAACCUAAACCGGUAAUAGUUUGAUCCUAACAAUACUUCCCCAAAAAUCAACCUUGUGUUCAAGGUUGGACACUAGCAUAGUAGAUAAAAUCUUCUCCUCCCGGAUCCCAUUUAAUAGCUUUGUUAGUGGAGAUUGUUGAUAUCUCUACUUGUCUGUGACGUGUUUGCUUCCAGUAUGCUCUCAUGAGGCUAAUAUGUGUGCUGACAGACGAACUUCGUUGGAAUGCGCUUUCAGUUUGGUCUCCGACAUUGGUCUUUGCCCUCGGCUUAGCUAAGCUGCUUGCAUCGGACCGAAAUUGUUGUGCUAUUCCUAUUUAGCUGUCUUUUUGUUUUUAUGUUUCAUUUCUUCAAAAAAAAAAUUAUGCAAAAAAAGAACUUAACUAAAAGUUUAUAUAGAAAAGCACUAAAAUUGGGUUGAGGAGGUUCAAAUUUCAUUGUUAUUAUUAUUAUUAUUCAAAAAUAAUCAUAUAGUGAAGAUAAAAACAUAAUUCAAUAUUUUUUAAUUUAGCUCCUAUACUUUUUUUUUUACAUCGGAAAGAUUAAUUACACGCUCUAAGGAUCGAUCUCUGGACCUACCCUCAGGGUCGGGUCAGGGGUAAAGCCAUCCAAGCAAGAGCUAUAGGCCUCCAAUUUUUUUUUUAAUGGCCUCAAUUUCUUUUAAGUAAAAAAUGCCUCAAAAAACCAAAGAUUAAUACUAAGCUAAAAAUGUAUCACUUUAAAGUUUGCUUUAUACCUUAUUUAAUGUCGGGUCGGCCCUGCCUAUCUUCCCAACUCAUAUGUUUUUAACUCUUACCACUUAAGCUAUAAUUCGAUUUUUUUUAUAAGCGACCUAUAAUUCGAUGACAAUUUAGCUACUUUACUGAAUUAUUCUAAUCGCAACCUAAUUCUUUUAUUUUUGAGUUUUGGGUAAAUAUAAAAUAAAAAACGAUGGAAUUGUUUUUAACUCAUACAAAACAAAGCAGAUUAAUUUGAUGAGAGAGUUGAGUUGUUUUUAACUCAUAAAAAUCAAAGCAAGAGGAAAAAGUCCUAGCUUUCAUCGAUCGGAAUUUGAAAAUGCCCCUGUCGUGAGAUUGAAGUAAAGCCUCAUGUUUCGCACUCAAUCCUGCUUCCUCAAUAUGUAAAUACUAUAACUCAUGUUGUUGUUAAUGUUUUUGUUGUUCAUGGUUGUGAUGUUACUACUUACUACUUAUUUUGCUGUGAAAGUCAAACUCGCAACAUCCAAAAGAUUGAUUGAAAUCAAUUGAUUGUUCAAAGUUUUGAUCUUUGAUGGUGGAAAAUUUCUGGGCACCCUUUGAAUUUUAUUUUCCUGGCAACCAAGCCGGUGAUACUGGCGGGUUGGGGAUUGGAUGGUUUGGUGAUUGGAUUGGAUUGAAUUUGAGACAUGGAGAAUCCUUGCAAAUCAAAGGAAGAAAUUGCGAAUGAUGCUAUCAAGCAGGCUUUGAGGGCGUUGCGGAAGCGCCAUUUGAACGAAGAAGGAGCUCAUGCGCUUGCAUUCGCUGCUCUUUCUGGACCUAUCGCUUCCCAGGUCCCAUUUCUGUCAUAUCAUUCAUGUUUUGUUAUCAAUUUGAUCAUAAUGGGUAUUUAGCUUAAAAAAUUUUAAGACCCUUUUUGCAAUCCCUAAUUCUUUCUUAUAAAUGCCAUUGGAACUUUGAUUGCAGUAGAAUAGUUCUUGUGUCAACCAGGCUUGUUAAUAGCGUGCUAUAGCGGCGCAAUAGCCUAUAGCGUAGCACCCUGAGGAUUCACCGCUAUUUGCCGCUAUAGCGCUUGAAAUAGCGGUUUUUUGGGCUUGCCGCUACACUACACUAUCCGCCAUUAACAACCCUCCUGUCAACAUAUUUCUCACUACUACUACUGUUGUGUCCUGUGUUAUAAUAAUUUUGGGUGCUGCUUAUUGUUGUUACUUGUUAGCAUUAAUUGUUGGUUUUUUGAUCAUGGUGUGUAAGUAAUGAUUCAAAUGUUUUCCUGAGUUAAAUGUUGUAUUUGUGUGCUUGAAGGGCUCUGAAUGGAAAGAGAAAGCAGAGAGUCUGGAAGUGGAACUUCAACAAUGCUACAAAGCUCAAUCUCGAGUAUCUGAGCAGCUAGUUGUCGAAAUAGCUGAAUCCAGAGCGUUGAAAUCUUUGAUUCAAGAGAAAGAAACUGCAAUGGUUGAUCUACAAAAGGAGUUGGCUGAAGUGAGGUUGCUUAAAAUUCCCCUUUAUGCUUUAAUUUUAAAUCUCAUGAACUAUUUUUCUUAGUCUCAUGUGCUGCUUAUGAUUUGCAACUCCAGGGAUGAUUGCUCUCAUUUAAAAAUGGAUUUAGAAGAAAAAACGAAAGCUCUUGAAUUGAUUAUUAGCGAGAACGCGGAACUUAAAGCACAAUUGGAGCAGAUUACUAUUAGAGCCAAGAAUGCUGAAGCUGAAAAUAAGACAUUGGUGGAUCGCUUCAUGUUAGAAAAAAUGAAGGAUGCUGAGCGCUUAAAUGAGGUACAUUAUAUUAUCAUUCACCGUAUGAACUUUUGAAAUUAGGUACAUAUUUUUGUGAGAAUGGGUAGGAUAUAGCUUAUUGGAUUAUAAUUUAUUUCAGGCACUGCUAAUUUGAUAUUGAUGUCUGUUACUUGACUAUGCUAUAGAAGACUAAUAUUGCAUCUAGUUUGAACUUGUUUCCUGAUUGAUUGAAAUUUGAACUGUAUGUGAUAGAGUUGAAUCAUUGUGUAAAAUAGGUAUUACAGAGUAACUUAAGUUUCUCACAUGUAGCAUUUACAUAAAACUGUGAUUCUAUUAAUCUAAGUAGCUGCUAGGAUUCUAAAUGUGUCCUUGUAUUGAGUUGUAUUGCUAAUUCAACUAAAGUAUUUCCUAUCAAUCAAGGUUAACCAAUUGUACGAUGACAUGAUCAAGCGGCUAAAGGCCAGUGGUUUAGAAAAACUUGCAAGACAGCAGGUAGACGGCAUAGUUCGCCAAAGUGAAGAAGGUGCUGACUUCUUUUCUGAGACAACCGUCCCUUCUACAUGCAAAUACAGACUCCAGGCACAUGAAGGUGGUUGUGCUUCCUUAUUGUUUGAGUCAAAUUCUAGUAAAUUGAUUACCGGGGGACAGGAUCGAUUACUUAAAAUAUGGGACACAAAUACAGGAUCCUUAAGUUCCACUCUACAUGGCUGCUUAGGUUCUGUAUUAGAUCUCACAAUCACCCAUGAUAAUCAAUCUGUUAUUGCUGCAAGCAGCUCAAACAAUUUAUAUGCAUGGGAUCUCAACUCAGGUCGAGUCCGUCACACCCUUACCGGCCACAAAGAUAAAGUCUGUGCUGUCGAUGUCAGCAAGAUUUCAAGCCGGCAAGUUGUCAGCGCAGCUUAUGAUCGGACUAUAAAAGUUUGGGACUUGCUGAAAGGCUAUUGCAUUAACACAAUCAUCUUUCACAGCAACUGCAAUGCGCUUUGCUUCAGCAUGGAUGGACAGACCAUAUUUUCUGGGCAUGUUGAUGGAAAUCUUCGAUUGUGGGAUAUUAAAACUGGAAAACUACUCAGCCAGGUUGGGGCACACUCACUUGCUAUUACAUCAGUUUCUCUUUCUCGCAAUGGAAAUGUUGUAUUGACUAGUGGAAGGGACAAUUUGCACAAUUUGUUUGAUGUGCGAUCUCUGGAAGUUAGUGGCACACUAAGAGGCACUGGAAAUAGAGUGGCUUCUAAUUGGAGUCGCUCUUGUAUUAGUCCUGAUGAUAAACAUGUUUCUUCUGGAUCUUCUGAUGGAUCUGUCUAUGUUUGGUCAACAUCUACAGUUGAUAUAGUUAGCACUCUGAAGGAGCAUGCUUCUUCUGUCCUGUGUUGUGCUUGGAGUGGCCUUGGAAAACCUCUAGCUUCAGCUGACAAGAAUGGGGUUGUUUGUAUCUGGACCUAAAAGGGAAAAGCUGGUGCUAUAAAGCUCCUGCAUUGUGGAUCUAUUGUAGGAAGUCUUACCUUUCAUGUUUGCUAGAAGCCAAUUCCAUGGUUCUAACCUGUGACCGCAAAGUCACUUGGCAGCAACCUUACCGCUGUGUCGAGGCUCGCCCUAUGUAUCUAGACCUAAUGGAAUUUUAUUUCUUUGAAUACACUAGCAGGUAUGGAGUGAGUAUAUCAAUGCUCAUUUGCUCAGGUUCAGAUUCGCUAGUUGAUUUCCUCUACUAAAUUCUUAAACACUUGCACUUUCUGAUUUUUCCCUUACACCAUACAGGAUAUACCACUCAAAUUAGGGACAGUGUAGAACUGCAGAUAUUUAUUUUAACAGAAAAUUAUUUGAGCUAUUCUCUACAACAAGUUGUGAUGAAUCAAGUCUCUGACAGCCUGUAAUUAAUGUAAAAUGGUUGACAAUUAAUUGAUUGGAUUGUAUUUUAGUCUGCUAAUGCUGUUGUAUAACUGCACUUUUGCUUACUGCUACAUUUUUCAUUACACAUGCUAUGUUCAAAUAUCUUUUCACACGGCUAACUGCAUUGUCAAAAAUGAGUAACUCAUGAAGAAGUCAUUCUGAUUAUUCUUCUUAAUCAACUGAUACAACAGUGGUAGCUAUAUAUAGCUACACCUACACGAUUACAACUCUAAUGAAUGAAGAUUAAAUAGGAAAUCGUUACAAGAUGAAACUAAUAACUGAAAACUAACUGCUAACUAGCAGUGUGAACUACAACAGAAAAAUGAACUACAAACUGUUUGUACUAACAAUUAACCAACUUAAGCACUAACUCAAGUGUUAACUACUUAGUUUUACAGCCCCUCUCAAGCUGAGCUUGAUAGAUAUUGAUCAUGUUCAGCUUGGCUAUAAGACUAUGGUACCGAGUUGGAUCUAAAGCCUUGAUAGAUGGCCACAAGGAGGAGUGGUUAUUAGCCAUGCAAGAAGAAAUGCAAUCCUUGCAUGAGAACCAGACUUAUGAGUUGGUAGGGUGACCGAAAGGUAAAAGAGAACUCAAAAUCAAAUGGGUGUACAAGUUGAACACUGAGGAGGAUAGCUCAUGACCCAGGUGUAAGGCGAGAUUACUCGUGAAAGACUUAAGUUAAAAGAAUCGUAAGGCAGACUGAAGUUUUGGUGGAGUAGCCAGACUUUGCAGCAAAUACUACUAUUAGGAUUUGAGGCUUGAAUCAUUUUGUUGACACUGUAGAUAUCUUCCGUCCAGGACUGUUUAGCUAUUUCUAGCACUUUUAGUAGUAUUUCAACUUUGAAGAUAGAUCUUGCUGCAAAUAAUGUAGCUCGCAUUUUAGCUUUUUCUUUAGCUGCUUAUUUCUCAGAAGGAAGAUGGUGUACAAAUGACCCAUUUAGAGUAGAAGAGGCUUGUGUAAUGGGUAUUUUGGCUGAUUAAUUAUAUUUAGGUAUUGGUUUUCAGAAGAAAAAAACAUAUCACUACAAAUGUAUAAAACUACCUAUGUGAAUAGUAAUCUUACACGGUACCGAAACCAAUAGUUAUAACAUCAUUGUUGGGCACCAGAGUUACAGAAUAAUAUCAGACAAUAAAAAUUAGAGUCGAGAUGAAUAAACAAACAAGAUGUAAGGUGUUGGUCUAGCUGUAAGCAAGUUAGAUAUUACAAGGGUGAGAAUACAACUUUGAUCCCUAAGACAGACAUUUAUUGGGAGGGCUAAACAGGUUGAGACGCUAUCAAAGCGAUAAAAAAAGAAGUCAAGAUGAAUACAAAUUACCAGACAAACUUUCACUGCCGAAUUUUUCUUUUAGGGGUUACAUUGAUUAGUGGAAAAGGAGUGAUCCAUACUUUCAGGUGUUAUCCAGUUUGUCUUACAUUGUGUUGAGGGCACACAUGAGCCAUGCCCAAUUUCUUCUAUGAAUUUGGACUUGAAAGUGGACUGCACAAUGAAAAAAUUUGGAAGACAAAAAAAACCAUGCACUUCAUUUAACCCUUGUACGUUAUGAGAUGUGAUAUGUGAAGAAUAGCUCAAAUUGAUAAGAGUCGAGGGACGUGCAGAUCAACCUCUGCAAAGUAUGAAACUUCCUUCCUAAAAAAAAUUGGCUGAUAAAAAAAGGUGAUAUGCAAUAAAGUAAGCUCGUGUAAGGUGUGUUUGACUAAAGAACUUAAUUUUUUGGUUACAUGAGUAAAGAACUUAAUUAAGAACUCAUAGCAAUUAAACAAUUAAGUGUUUGUUGUAUAAGUAAUGUUAAUAAUAUAUAAAGCACAUCCACCAAAGUGGGUCAUAUAGUCACUUAAAUGACACAUGUUUUUAUUUUAUUGGUUGUCACUCAUAAAUUUCCAAAUGUCUUAUUAUGAUUGGUCCAAAUUGAUGAAUUAUUAUUGGUCUAAAAUGAUGACUCAAUAAAUCAAUAAAGUCAACAUUUAAUUCAUUCAAUUAAUAUAUUUUGAAAUUUAAAAUGUUUAAUAAUUGGAAAAAUUGACAAAAUAUAAAAAUCCCUUUUCCAAAAUUUUAAAAUUUAAAAUUGAAGUUUUUAGAAAAAAAACGUAAUCAUUAUGCAAAUAUUGCAAGAUAUAUAUGAUUUUCUUCUAUUUUUUGUUGUUGUAAUUAACCGUUACAAAUUAAAAAAAGUCAAAAGAAAGCAUCAUUAAGCAAUACUUUUAGAGAUUAAUGGAUAUGCACUGUUAGUGUAAAGAAGUUUUACACUGACGUCCAAUUACAUUAUGCCACAUAAGGCUAAGUAGUUACAAAUCUUUUUAAUUUUAAUUAGUAAAUUAAUAAAUUGCUGAUGUGACGGAAAUCAAUUGGGUGCAUGUGUAAAACAAGUUUACACUGUCAGUGCAUCUCCUAUUUUCUCAUACUUUUAUGGAUAGUAUUUAUUUUUAUCACGUAAAUGGUACCAUAAGAUAUAUGUUUUUAAUCUUAAUCUUAAUCUUAAUAAUAUAUAAAGCUCAUCCAUCAAAGUGGGUCACAUUGUAACUUAAUAUCCAUAUGUUUUGAUUCUAUUGGUUGUUGCUAUUAAAUUUCCAAAUGACAUCGUCUGAUUGGUCCACAUUAUUCAAUUUUCAUUGGUCGAAUUUAAUGAGUCAAUAAAUCAAUAAAUUAAUUAAUUAAUAAAUCAAUAAAAUACCAGCCUGUUUUCAAGUGGAAACGGUUAAAUUCAAAGUUGACAUUCAAAGUUUUUCCAUAAAUGUUACUUUUUGAGUUAAUUAACCGUUACAAAUUAAAAAAGGAAAAAAUAAUCAUCAUUAAGUAAUACUUCAAUGAUUAUAAUUUUUUUAGAACAUGAAUGGAAACAAAAGAUAUAUUAUUUAUAAUUUUUUAUGGAAUCUUUUUGCUGUGGUGUAUCAAAAUUUGAAAAGUUUGUUUCGUUUUAAAAGAGGAAUCGAUUCCAAAAUUAACAUAAUAUACAGUUGGGCAUGAGUACACUGAAUAUAAACUUAGUUUCCAUUAACAUAAUGAUGGUAUCUUUUUAUUUAGUGUUGCACGAAAUUUUUACAAUGGAUGAAAAAACGUGUUCAAUUUUGAAUGCGAUAGAAAUUCAAAGUUGACAUUCAAAAAUUUUCCAUAAAUAUUUUCCUUAAAUUCAUUCACCAUAAAUGUUGACAUUCAAAGUAUUUUCAAGUGGAAAUGGUUAAUAACAUUAUUAAGAUACCAGCUCACUUAGUCAAGUGGAAAAAAUAAGAUUUUGUAGAUAGAGUUUUCGAAUGGCGAAAAAGCCUCAAAUGAAAAUCCACGAAAACAUCAACUUUCUAUCCCAUCUUGACUCCACCGUCUUCAAGUUCUCAUCUCCGUUUCAUACAUAGGUUAAGCUUCAUCGGAAGAUUCUCCAUCGCCAAAUAGUCAAAUAACGUUAAGCGCCUAAAUAACAAGUAGUAAACAUAAAGCGUUAACUCCACAAAAUCACUUCACAAAAAGGAAAAACAUGUCAUUCAAAUUUAAAUCUUAAUAAUAUAUAAAGCCCAUCCACCAAAGUGGACCACAUUGUAACUUAAUAUCCACAUGUUUUGAUUCUAUUGGUUGUUGCUAUUGAAUUUCCAAAUGGCAUCGUCUGACUGGUCCACAUUAUUUAAUUUUCAUUAGUCGAAUUUAAUGAGUCAAUAAAUCAAUGAAUUAAUUAAUUAAUAAAUCAAUACAAUACCAAUAUGUUUUCAAGUGGAAACGGUUAAAUUCAAAGUUGACAUUCAAAGUUUUUCCAUAAAUGUUACUUUUUGAGUUAAUUAACCGUUACAAAUUAAAAAAGGAAAAAAGAAUCAUCAUUAAGUAAUACUUCAAUGAUUAUAAUUUUUUUAGAACAUGAAUGGAAACAAAAGAUAUAUUAUUUAUAAUUUUUUAUGGAAUCUUUUUGCUGUGGUGUAUCAAAAUUUGAAAAGUUUGUUUCGUUUUAAAAGAGGAAUCGAUUCCAAAAUUAACAUAAUAUACAGUUGGGCAUGAGUACACUGAAUAUAAACUUANNNNNNNNNNNNNNNNNNNNNNNNNNNNNNNNNNNNNNNNNNNNNNNNNNNNNNNNNNNNNNNNNNNNNNNNNNNNNNNNNNNNNNNNNNNNNNNNNNNNNNNNNNNNNNNNNNNNNNNNNNNNNNNNNNNNNNNNNNNNNNNNNNNNNNNNNNNNNNNNNNNNNNNNNNNNNNNNNNNNNNNNNNNNNNNNNNNNNNNNNNNNNNNNNNNNNNNNNNNNNNNNNNNNNNNNNNNNNNNNNNNNNNNNNNNNNNNNNNNNNNNNNNNNNNNNNNNNNNNNNNNNNNNNNNNNNNNNNNNNNNNNNNNNNNNNNNNNNNNNNNNNNNNNNNNNNNNNNNNNNNNNNNNNNNNNNNNNNNNNNNNNNNNNNNNNNNNNNNNNNNNNNNNNNNNNNNNNNNNNNNNNNNNNNNNNNNNNNNNNNNNNNNNNNNNNNNNNNNNNNNNNNNNNNNNNNNNNNNNNNNNNNNNNNNNNNNNNNNNNNNNNNNNNNNNNNNNNNNNNNNNNNNNNNNNNNNNNNNNNNNNNNNNNNNNNNNNNNNNNNNNNNNNNNNNNNNNNNNNNNNNNNNNNNNNNNNNNNNNNNNNNNNNNNNNNNNNNNNNNNNNNNNNNNNNNNNNNNNNNNNNNNNNNNNNNNNNNNNNNNNNNNNNNNNNNNNNNNNNNNNNNNNNNNNNNNNNNNNNNNNNNNNNNNNNNNNNNNNNNNNNNNNNNNNNNNNNNNNNNNNNNNNNNNNNNNNNNNNNNNNNNNNNNNNNNNNNNNNNNNNNNNNNNNNNNNNNNNNNNNNNNNNNNNNNNNNNNNNNNNNNNNNNNNNNNNNNNNNNNNNNNNNNNNNNNNNNNNNNNNNNNNNNNNNNNNNNNNNNNNNNNNNNNNNNNNNNNNNNNNNNNNNNNNNNNNNNNNNNNNNNNNNNNNNNNNNNNNNNNNNNNNNNNNNNNNNNNNNNNNNNNNNNNNNNNNNNNNNNNNNNNNNNNNNNNNNNNNNNNNNNNNNNNNNNNNNNNNNNNGCACAUUUAAAGCCAUUUAUAUGUUUUUUUGCCAUAUCGAACCUUACUUUUGUGAAAUUUAAAGGGAAUGGUGGUUAAGGGCAAGGUGGGGCAGGAAAGGUUUGAGAAAAGUGGGGAAGAUGGGGGAAGGGUUAUUAGGGUGGGGAGUAGGGGUUGGGUGGAAGUUUGUGGAGGCUUGAUGGUAGUUGUGGAGGUUAGAUGGGGGCAAAAAGAAGGGAAAAGGAGAGCGGAAGGCAAAAAGUGAUUAAAUAAAAAUUAAAAGAACUAAAAAUAAUGUAAAAGGUUCAUGUUGAUUGGCCAAGUAAGCAUCAUGACGUCACUUGUCAAUAUUUAAAUUAAAAAAAGCAUCACGGAUAAAAGGCAAUGAAAAAAAAUUCUAAAUGCUUAUUUGGAUUUGAUUCUAUAUGUCAGAGACCUAUAAUAUAUUUAACCUUUUUUUAUUUUCCACUUGUACCAAUAAAUUAGGAUUUAUAUCACAAGAAAUGCAAUUCAUCUAUAUAUAUAUAACACAAACCAUGCAUUCACACCAUACAUCAGAACACUUGUUGAAAACUCAAUGGUAAGAUAAUUGUAAAGCUCUUAUAUUCCAUAAGGUAUGGUAAUAUUAUGGUCUUAACUUUUAAGCCUGUAAUGAGAUCUAUCACAAAGGAUGGAUAAUAGGCUUGAAUGAGUUAAAACAAAAUUCAAGUGGUGUAAGAUUAGCAAUUUAAACCAGUAGCUUAUGAAAAGAAAAUAAUGCUUUUAUCAUCUCAAUGCAUGCAAAUGAACAAAAAUAUUCAAACAGAAUCAAAUCAUGUCUUUUAUAACAUAUAAGCAUGAGUGAAAUCGCACAAGAAGGAAGAGAAUGACAAGAUAUAUUCAUUCGAGCAUAAGACCAAAAAAUUAACAAGGUAUGCAUAUACCACAACGCAACAAAUCUUUUUUUUUUGAAAGAUGACUGAAUCACAUUAAACUUGGACUGGCAUAGAGGGCAAAAGGUCCGCAGAAACAAAUGAGUUCGCUUCGGAAGGGACUUCCUCAAUCCACACUAAACCGGCGAACAAAUCUAUUCUCCAAGAAACCUUGAUGUAAUCAAAAUGCAAGAACUACAUCCAAUCAAAUCUUAAGAUGAAAGGUUUGAUUCUAAUCAUAACUUAUUAUUCCUAAUACUCAAUGAAAACGUGUGAAUGAUUCACCUAAAAAGCAUGAAAAACAACCUAAAAUCAGUGCAUAUAUUUUGUUCUAAAUUAAAAUUCUCUCUGCACACUUAAAUCACACAUUAUUCUUAAUGUGAAGCAAGACCCAAAAAAUGGAAAUAUGAGAUAUAAGAGAAAGGAAAGAGUACAUCAGAAGGAUUAAAAGAGGCUUGUAGCCUCGAAAUGAUCUCUAAAACUUCUAUAUAAUGGUUUGGUGGAGGUAUACAGUUAAGGGAUAACUUUUAGUAUUGAGGAAUAACAAUGAUAGUUCAUAAGCGUAGUGAUAACUUUUAGUAUUGAGGAAUAACAAUGAUAGUUCAUAAGCGUAGUGACUCUGGUGGAAUAUCUUUCUUAACAAUGGAAUUUGAGAAAACAAAAUUCAAUGCUCUAAUCAAAACAUGGAAAUCUGGUUGUUUGGAUGAAUUGUCUUUGAAACAUAUAGGAAGCCUGAAACCAUAAUAGUUAUUCACUUAUUAGUAUACCCAACAUGGAAAUCUUGGUCUGGAGGUUUGGGAAAAAGUUUCAAAAAAAGUUCCUCUAUUAAAGAUGAACCCAUGCAAUUAAAAUUACCUGCAUCAAAGAUCCUAGUUACCACAACUUUUUGAAUAGUUAGAAGAAGCUUAUAUGCAAUAAUUCAUCAUUCAAUUCUACCUAGCAGCUACAUUAUCUACUUCAUGCCAUGCAAAAAAUUCAAAACUACGAAUUGAAAUAUUAGAACUUGUAAGUAUUAUGACAACAUCACAAAUAUAACAUUCACUAACAUUGCAACAUGCAAGAUAUUUAAAAUAUUCACCAAAUUUAGGGACUUUGUAAUGUCAAUAAAGUACGGGUAAAAUAUUGACUGGAAAUCUAUGGGUCUUUGAAAUUGGCAUCCAAGAGCUCAUUUUCUCUCUUAUUCUUGUCCAUGUUCUUCGUCUUGACAAGGAGAAACCAGACUCUGAACAUAACUAGUAGCCUCCAACCAAAAUUCUUGGUUAGGAUUUGGAAUAUACUCUACAUUAUCAUCUGUUAUAUUAUACUUGAUAAACUCCAAGUCCUCAGUUAGUGCGAGCAAAAGGAUGUUGCCAUCUUCAGACAAGAACAUCGGCAGAGGCCUAAACAAAAAUCCUUUACAUUCAAGAUUCUCAUAACUGAAACUCAUCCACUGAGUCCAAGACUCUCGUACUCCAUACUCUCUCAUUUUCCACACAACAAAAUGGGUUCUAUUGCGGUCAUGAAAAAGGCACAUGUGAUUUCCUAGAAUCCCGAGAUCUGGCUGAAAAUGAGGCACCUCAGUAACACCCUCAGGAAGUAACAUAUACGUAUACUUCUCCGUACUCAUGUCAAGGGAAGCAAUAACUAGCUGAUCGAGAGUAACAUUGUCCCAUUGGUAUUGGGGACCCUUCAUAUUUUUAAGAGCUAACCAGUUAACACAACCACACACAAAUUUUCCCGCGAUUUGGUGUAGCAUAAGAGGGGAACAAGGGUCACACAAAAUUUUUCUCCAACAAAUAUUAUUCAUGCAAGAAAUUCUUGUCAUAAUUUUCUGCUCAGUACAAUCCCAAUGCACCACCACCACCUAGCAAAGAGUAAAAACUAAAUUUAACCACAAAGGAUCAUACUUUUGAGAUGUAUUAUGAAAAUUACACAGUUUACAUUAGUCAAAUUAAAUUGACUAAUUUCUUCUUAAAUCCAUCUUUAUAGCUCAUUAUCUAAUUAUCCUCUAAGGUAAUUAAAAGUAGGGAUCGACUUGAUCCCAAAAUUACAUCAUUUUCACAAUAAUGACUAACUUAAUCGGUAAAAUUAUCCUUGAUGUUAGGAAUAGUAAAUUUGAUUGCUUGAGUAAGUUAAUCAAAAUUUUAUUUUAGUUUUAAAUUGUUGUCUACAAGGUGGACGUUUUCUGGCCAGAUCUUAAGUUUUCAAAUGAUAUUUCAUUUUUUGUCCCAUCGAUGAAAUUCAACCAUGGACACUAUUUUGGAACAUGAGAUCUUGAUCAUUUAGAGGCCAUCAUGAGUGUAAUUAUUGUAGAUAUGGUCAUAUGUAUCAUCAGUUUUUCAAAAUAUGAAGGAUCUAGAUACAACCACUAAUGUAACAACACUAACUUAAAACAUUGGUUGUAGUUCAUCACAUAUCUCUAGAAACAAGUUAACUUCAAAUUAAGCUAUCAUAUACUAUUAUAAAUUCUCAAAUAAUUAUCUUCAAAAGGGCUGGACUUUAAAUUUUUACUCACCUUGUAUGUAUCAUGUGAAUUAUCAUAGCCGAACCCCAAAUUCGUCUUACCCCGCGGAGCAUCCAUUGAAGUUCGCAUGCUCGGAUGAAAGGUUGGUGACUUCUUAGACAUCAAGUGUGUGGCCGAAUUCCAAAGUUGAACCCAAAUUUCUUCAAUUGGGGUCAACAUCAUAAUAGUUUCCCACACAAACCAAUCCAUUACAAGAGCCAAUUAUCAAAUGGAUUUCCUUUCAAAUGGUAGCCCCCUUCAACAUCGAUCACAGACGACGGAUCCUCCGUCAAGCAACGCACAGAGCAUGGAACAACCCAACUGUCUUGCUUUUCAAUUUCAUAGGGCUCGUCUUCUAUAGCGAGGAGAAUGUGUGUGUUUUUGGGAGAUCUAUUGAGGUGCAGUUUUACGAAUGAUGGAUCAUGGAGGAUAAGUGAUUUCCAUGAUUUACAAACGAUCACGAACUGCAUUAGGGUUUUCACGGGUAGUCGUGACAAAAUUUCCAUUUCGAGUUCGAAAGGGAGAAUCGGAUCUUCACGAGGUUUUUUCAUGAUUGGGGGAAGGAAACCAAUUGAGCCUAUGAACACGACCCACAAAAUAUCAAAUAACCUACAAAUCUGAAACUCUUAUGCCCCUUUUGGGUACUCAAACAUUGUGACUUUUUUAUCCACACUUUUUCCUUCAUCAUUAAAAUAAUAUUUUAUUUAGUAAACUUAAUUAAUAUAAAUAUGAGACAAGGGCACGUGUCUAAUUAAAUAUUUAUAUAAAUUUAAAAUAAAAUUUAAGUAAUUUCAAUAUAACAAUUUUUUUUAUUGACCGUUUUAAGUUUGUAAAUUGUAAAAUAUUUGCACUUUAAUUUUAUAUUAGGCUUAAUACAUUAGAAGGCCCCUGAAAUUGUAAAGGGAAUCAAUUCCAGGGCCUGUAAAAUUUUCGCAUCAAAUUGGGUCCCUAAGAAUUUUUUUUAAUUCAAUUAAGGCCAAAGUGUGUCUGAUGCUGAAGUAACUUCAAUUUUAGCCUACUCAGCUUUUCCACGUGGCAUUUUAAUUUUUUUUAAUUGAAAAAAUUCUAGAACUUAAUUUUUUAAAUCCAACUCAUAUAUUAAAGCAUAAAUAAAAAAUAAAAAACUUAAUAAAAUCUCUAAUGUAAAUAAAAACCUAAAUCUAAUUUAAAAAACCUAAUCUAAUCUUAAUUUGUAUCUUCAUCCUCUAAUACAAAAAAACUUUAAUUACUAAAUUAAAUUAAAUCACUAAUAAACUAAUUCCUAAUUAAAUCCUUCACCCAUCUUCUUCAUCAUCCAUUCUUCAUCUCCAGAUCUGUAGGUUACCCUUUCAGUCCUAAGAAAUUUCAUCUUCUCCAUCAACCUCCAUCGUACCACUAUCUUCUUCCCUCUCACCACCGCCGCCGCCGCCAUAGCCACCACCAACGUCAGACCUACAUCAUCCUCCCCCUACCGCACCUUCUUCACCAUACCCAAACCACCAGAUACAGAUCUAAAUCCUCCUCCCCUCCCUCACCUCAUACUCCUCCUCAACUACUCUAGGUCCAUCUCCGCUGGCCUUUGUCUCCCUCUCGAUCUGGAUCNNNNNNNNNNNNNNNNNNNNNNNNNNNNNNNNNNNNNNNNNNNNNNNNNNNNNNNNNNNNNNNNNNNNNNNNNNNNNNNNNNNNNNNNNNNNNNNNNNNNNNNNNNNNNNNNNNNNNNNNNNNNNNNNNNNNNNNNNNNNNNNNNNNNNNNNNNNNNNNNNNNNNNNNNNNNNNNNNNNNNNNNNNNNNNNNNNNNNNNNNNNNNNNNNNNNNNNNNNNNNNNNNNNNNNNNNNNNNNNNNNNNNNNNNNNNNNNNNNNNNNNNNNNNNNNNNNNNNNNNNNNNNNNNNNNNNNNNNNNNNNNNNNNNNNNNNNNNNNNNNNNNNNNNNNNNNNNNNNNNNNNNNNNNNNNNNNNNNNNNNNNNNNNNNNNNNNNNNNNNNNNNNNNNNNNNNNNNNNNNNNNNNNNNNNNNNNNNNNNNNNNNNNNNNNNNNNNNNNNNNNNNNNNNNNNNNNNNNNNNNNNNNNNNNNNNNNNNNNNNNNNNNNNNNNNNNNNNNNNNNNNNNNNNNNNNNNNNNNNNNNNNNNNNNNNNNNNNNNNNNNNNNNNNNNNNNNNNNNNNNNNNNNNNNNNNNNNNNNNNNNNNNNNNNNNNNNNNNNNNNNNNCCAUUGUUGUUUUACAUAUCCAAAGCACUUUAUCUCAUUCUCUUCCAUUCAUGCCCUCAUUUAAUAUUACAUCUCCCAAGUAUCACCUCUUACUUCCACCAAUCACAAUUCUCACCAAUUAGUUGACCAAUGAUUUUCAUUCUCUCUCUCUCUUUCAUAUAACUCAUAUUAAAUAAGGAUGUUUCAGUCAAAUUAUAACAUCAAUUAAUGAAUUCUUAAUCUUUACGCAUAACCCUUAAACUACAAUAGUUUUGGAACAGAGGAAGUACUAUACCUUAUCAAAUACAAAUAUUAAUUGCUAGGAUUCUCCAAUGUUAGGUGGAUGGGAAAGACCAUGAUUGGGCUGAGAUGUUGGGGUUCCUCUUCAUUGUGGCCAACAAAUAGUCAAAUAAUAUAUCAAAGAUUCCAAUUUCCAAGUACUGAUUCCAACUAAAGAUUCUCCUCAUGCCAGCCAAUUAAUUUCCCCCCUUAUACUUCCCCCCCGAAAAAACUUCUUUAAAUGAUUAAAGUUUGGAAAUAAUACAUGUAUGAGGUUAGCCCUUGAAGACGAAUAGGAAGAAGAUCGACAUUGAGGAUAUAACAACUUUUAACAAAACUACAAGACCUCCAAAAGAUAGAUGUUUACUUGAUUAAGGUGAGAAUCUUUUUUGAACUUUUUGCAUAGUACGUGGUUUCCAUGUUGUAAGUUUCCUCAGAUUUCAUUUUCAAAAAAAAAAAAGUUUCCUCAGAUUUGCUUCCAACCUAAAUAAAAGGAAUAUCACUGAACUUGAGCUCUAAAUUAUCAGUUGUGCGCUGCAGAAUUCAACAAACUUUACUUGAUAAAUGGUGGGACAAAUUAAACAUGAUCCUUAUAAAAAUUAACCUUUAAUCCUAAUACUAGUUCAAAGAGCUGCUUCAGAAUAGAUUUCAUAGCCCAAAUAUAUUUUGGAGAAGCUUCCCCUAUCAAUAUCAUCAAUGCGAACUGCAAAUGCGAGACAUCUACCUUAUCAUUCCCACUAAUACACAAAAAAUUCCUUAAAACAACCUUUUCUAUCAUUUCCCCCAAACCAUCAGUUACAAUGAGAAAUUAGAAAAGGGAAUAGGGGAUCCCUUGUCUUAAUCCCCUGUCUUGGUGUAAAUUAUGCUGUUGGACCUCCAUUUAUAAGAACAUAAUUUUUUUUUAGAUAAGCAAAAAAGUUCAGAACGGCACCAUCUGGAACCAUUUAUAAGAACAUAAAUUGAGGCAGAUUUUAAACACUCCAUAAUUCAUUCUAUAAUUUUUUUUUGAAAAAACCUAAAAUCUACCACAUCAUGAUGUAGUACAAAAAUUCCAACUGACUAUAUUAUAAGCCUUCUAAAAAUUCACCUUAAACAACAUACAUUUUCUCUUAUUGAUUUUUUGAACUCCUCUAUCACCUCGUUAGCAAUAACGAUUCUAUCAAAAAUUUGUCUUCCCUUAAGAAAAUUGUUUGAGAUAUUCUGAAAUCAAAUCCCGGCCCGCAAUAACAUUCAAGCCCCAUUAGAGAGAAUCUUUGCCAAUACUUUAUACAUAUAUACACCUAAUAAAUGAAUUUGGUCUAUAGUCCUCCAAUUUUUUAGGUCUAUUUUUAUGGGGAUCAAAAGGAUAAAAGAACACAAACCCCCACCAACUUCCUAUUUGAAUGAAACUUAUUAAGGAAAUUGAAAAAAGCCAAACUUUGCUACCACCGAGAAUUCCUUAAUAAAGUGAAAAUUUAUGCCAUAUGAUAUGGGGUGCGUUUAACGUACACCACCCAAGUAGGUGGUGUACCCGUACUCCAGCAAAAAAACUUAAUGCUGUGGGUUUUACCGGUUGUAUUGUCUUUUUUUGUAUUUGCAAAGGAGGGACUCGUAUGUAUUUGAUGUGGGGUCCUGAUACAUAUUAUAAAUUUGAUAAUGGUACUUUUUGGUGAACAUAUUAUUAAAGGUAUACUGAUACUUGGUGGGUUUAAAAGGGAUAUUUACAUUAUGAGUGAUGUUCUUGGUGGUACAGUGAAAAUUGAGAAACAACAGUGGCGGUGGAAGCGAAAAUCGGUGCCUACGUUCGUGGGGCUAUCUUUGUAAGGUGGAUCUAGAUUAGAUUGGUAGUUUGGGUAGGUCGCCAGUUGAGAACCUGUAAUGUGUGUCUUAUUUUAUCGCCGACGCAACAGAGGUAACCCACGCACAUACUUUGAUUAGGCGAUUUCGUCUUACGGGUUACGGGUUGUGUAGUUCAAAAAUGGGUAUCAGUGCUUAAUUUGGUUAAUUUGUACUUGGGUAUGUUAGAUAGUGAGUAUCUGAAGCAUUUAUUUAGUUUAGGGUUGUUGUAGGCUUGGAACAAAAUGUGGGAUUUAGGCUAAAUUUAUGAUCUCGGAGUUUAGGUAAUUGUAUGAUAUGUUAUGUUGGGUAACUGUAUGAGCUAGCAUUAUGUUUAGAUGUAUGAUAAGGGAAUUAGGGUAAUUUUAUGAUCUGGGAUUUGUCCAUUUUGUUGUUGGGCUUAUUUUGGAUGGAAAAUUUUGUGCAAGAAAUUGAGGUCGAUGAUUUUCGGUGCAGGAUAUUUGAUUAACUUGCAGGGUUCUCCAGACUGUAGUUAUGGAUAGUUGCAACGAAGAUCAUGGAUUUCCAAUUGGAGGCGAACAGGAUACGACAUCGCAGGUAUGUGAAAAUGUAUUUGUGCAAGUAAUAAAAAAAGGUAUUUAGAAGAAAUGUUAAGAGAUUGCGUAGGUAUUAACGACAUUGCUUCAGUGAUUGUGAAUAUUAAAAUUUGUGUUAUUGUAUUUUGUGAUAUUUAACCUGAUAAUAUUUAUGACAGUAGGGUUUGGAGAAUAUCUCUGAAGACUCUAUUGAUGUGGAAGGCCAUGAUGAAGUAGUUGUUAUAAAUGGGAUGGAUGAUUUGUUGAAGUAUGAUAUGAAGAGUUUGAGUAAUGAAGCAGCGCUGAAGUUUCAAUUCUGUAAUCGUGAGGCUGCGUUUGAGUUUUAUAACCUAUAUGCCAUGGGGAAAGGGUUUGCAGCGAGGAAGAAUAAAAUUUUAAGGAACAAAAAAGGGGAUGUUGUGCAACAAUCAUUUGUUUGUUUUAGAGAAGGAUUCCGCAAAGUGGUAGCAAGAGAAAAUCGAAAAAGAAAGAAGCAGGCUGACCGACGAUGUGGUUGUCCUGCAAACUUCCGGGUGCAUGUUGACAUUGGAACUACUCAUUGGUAUGUUACAAAAUUUGACGAUGAACACAAUCACGAGUUGUUAAGUGAAAGGCAUGUUGGAAGGUUGGCCCUCCAUAGAAGGUUAAGUGACGGUGAUGUGAUAGGAAUGCGGGAAUAGGUGUAACUGAAGUUUAUAACUUGAUUGCCAGUCAGUCUGGGGGAUUUGAUAGGGUGCCAUUUACGAAAAGGAAUUUACACAAUCAGAUCGGCAAGCAAAGGAGGUUGUUGAAGUGUGAUGUCCAAACCGCUAUUAAGUACCUUAAGGGAAUGCAGAAAAAAGAUCCACUAAUGUUUUGGCGACAUCAUGCAGAUGAGAAUGGGAAACUAGAACAUUUGUUUUGGUCUGAUGGUAUAAGCCAAAAGAACUAUGAUGUAUUUGGUGAUGUUGUAGCGUUUGAUGCUACCUACCGCAAGAACAAAUAUAAGUACCCAUUUGUGAUGUUUUGUGGUGUUAAUAACCACAACCAGACAACGGUUUUUGGAAGCGCAAUAAUUGCAAAUGAAACUGAAGAGACAUAUAUCUGGGUGCUUGAGCGGUUGGUUGAAGCAAUGAAAGGUAAAUGUCCUACAUCUUUUAUCACUGAUGGACAUCUGUCCAUGAAAAAUGCUAUUAGCAUUGUAUUUCCAAGGGCUCAUCAUAGAUUAUGUGCCUGGCACUUGCUGCAGAACGCCACAAGAAACAUUAAGGUUCCAGGAUUCACUCAGGAGUUCCAAAAAUGCAUGUUGAUUGAUUAUGAAGUGGGUGAAUUCAAACAUAAGUGGGAUGACCUGGUUUCCAAAUUUGGUGUGGAAGACAAUGAGUGGGUGACAGAAAUGUAUGAAAAUCGAAAGAUGUGGGCAGUAGCUCAUAUUCGAGGUUGUUUUUUUGCUGGUUUCAGGACCACUUCACGAUGUGAGAGUUUGCAUUCAGAAAUAAAAAAAUUUAUACAUUCAAGAUAUAACUUGACUGAGUUUUUACAACACUUCCAUCAAUGUUUGGAUUUUAUGCGGUUUAGGGAGGUUGAGGCAGACCUGGCAUCUGUGGUUGGGAAGCAACCCCUUGAAACCCCCUUCAAGCAACUGGAGAAGUCGGCUUCUUCUGUGUACACACCAGCCAUUUUUGAAAAGUUUCGUUCAGUUAUUGUGAAAGCAUUCAUGGUUUAUGUCAGUGGCCGUAAAUUGACUUCUAGUUUCCAGAUCUUCACAGUUUCAAAGUUUCGCAGACCCAAUAAGGAGUGGCAUGUGUCAUUUUAUCCACCAACACCAAUGCUUAAAUGCUCGUGCCAAAGAAUGGAGUCAAUUGGGCUUCCAUGUGAGCAUAUGGUGGCUGUCAUGGUUAUAGUGGGUAUGAAUGAAGUUCCUGCAAGUCUUUUGCUGCACAGGUGGACAAAACGGGCUAGAGAUUCCAUUGAAAGUUAUGCUGCCGAUGUAACUGGUGAGUGGGGUUCUGUUAACAUGGCUCGUCUUGCAGAGAAAUGUGCAAAUUAGCCGGUGCUUCAUUAAAUGAUUUCACAAGCACAAGAGAGCUAGUCCUUGCCCACAUUGAGCGGCUCAAAGCUAAGAAUAAUGGAAAUGAGGGACUUAACGAGCAUGAUGAAAACAAUGAUUCAGUCCCGUUCAGGAACCCUGAACCUGCCCGUCGCACAGCUGGUGGUGCUAGUACCUCUGGCACAAAACGUACUCGACGUCGAAAGACUAUGUGCAGUGUUUGCAAGACACCUGGUCAUAAUAAAGCUUCAUGCCGCCUAAAGAGUAGGAUCCACGAAAUGGCUGAUGAAGUCUACGGUGUUCAUAAUACACAACCAGCUGAUGAUGAAGAACCACCAUAUUACAGCCAGAACUUCAUGACAAAUUUGGUAUGACAUUCGUAUUAAUAUAUAUUCUAACAAUAGUAUUCGAUGUAAUCCACUAACUGUGUUGAAACAAUUUGUUUAUGUUUAGGGUUGUUCCAGGUGAAGUUUUUCCAUCUAACCUCCUCAUAUACUGAUGGAGCUAUUACAGUUGUUACGUAUUUUGUGUUUGUCAAAGCUUUGUUGGUGUAGGCAAGCCAGGGUGGAAGGAGCUUUACUACUUCAAAUUGUUUACCCUAAGUCUUGUUCGUUUUAGUUAUAAAUAUGUCAUUAUUAUAUUUAAGGUGAAUGAAUGUCACAGAAUUGGAAGGUUGUAUUGUUGCUACUGUGGUGCCGUAGAAUCUGUGUAACUUAAAUGUGAUGCAAGUUUAUUGACUCUGUGAUGUUGUUCCUGAUUAUUAUCAAACUUCAAACUUGUGAUAUUAGCAGGAAAAAUAGUGUUGCCCAAAGUCUACAACCAGAUUUUAAUGUAGUAUUUAUUUUUUGAAGGUUGUUGGAGUUUGUGAUGACAAACCUACAGGUUGCCAAUUAACACUAAACAUUGGCCGAUCGUAAUUUGGCAAAGUGUGUUGUGAUGGACGUAGUUUCUGCCCAUGAAACCUUGUGUUCCUAAAUCGUGACAUAUCAAGUAUUUAAAUUUAAAUUGAAUUGAAACGAUUGGCCGGGUCCGGGUCUUUUACUUAUUUAUUGUAUGACCCUAAUUUCAAAGAAGAAAAAAAUAAUUUGGUCCAAUGAUUGAAGUUAGGCCAGAAAUAAUACAUUUGCAUUGGUAUUGGGUGAUGGGACAAGUACAGCAUUGGGCCAAAAUUUGUACAUUGUGACGAAUAAACAUCUGGGAAGUUUGGCCCAUUAAGUUUUGACAUUGCUUACGGAUUAUGAACUGCUACCUGUUUAAGUAUGUGCGUCACGGAUUAAGGAUAAGACCAUUUGAAUCAUAAAAAUCGUUCUCGAAUUAAUCUUAAUACACAAGUAAUGAACAGGGUCCAAAGUACUUUCAUUAUGAUAGCAAUAUUCAUUACAUAACAUUAAGCCAGUCAUUAUACCGCAAUAGUGGCAUUACAUGACCAAAAGCACCCCAGUAGCAUAGACGACCACCUAGUAUAUUACAACAAAAUGGGUAGUCGCAGACAUAGGUCCCAUACACACAUAAAUAACCUUAGCAAGAGCACCCCAGUAGCAUAGACAUGGCGGUGUGAUUAAGUAAUUAUACAUUGGAUUACUAAUAAGAGAUAGAAGACCACCUACUAUAUUACAACAAAAUGGGUAGUCGCAGACAUAGGUCCCAUACACACAUAAAUAACCUUAGCGAGAGUGGUAUUAGUAGAUUGGCUUCAGGCUUUAACGUUCUUGUCCCCUUCAAUGAUGCUCUUCCAAUAUGUCAUGACCUUUUUAACAAGGGAAUCAUAUAACUCGUUAUGCCCCCCAAUUGCAAUACUCAAAGCUGCUCUCAUCCUCACAACCUUUUCCUUCAACUGCAUAAAAUGUCAUAAAACAUUUACAACUUUGGUUCACAUUGCAUCAUAUGUAGAUAAUUACACAAAAGGAAGUCUCAACAAACCACGCCAAUCAAGUUCUGUUGAAAUGCAUGCUCCAUGUCAAUCCAAUCAAUUACCCAUAUGGAUGAGUCUUCACUGAAACAAUAGACAACAUAUGAGGUUGAGGGUUGGUUUGAUUAGGAAAAAACCGGAAUUAUUGAAUGACAAAAAGUAUUGAACUAAAGUGAACACCUUCUUCCACAAUUAGGUAUUCCCUUGGCAUCACUAAUGUCCCAUGUUGGCAUGCCAUAUGCCUGCUGCAUAUAUCCAGUAGGAUAACCGUCAGACUGCAGCAUUUUUGCCAUAACCUCAGCCUGUAAUUAGUUCAUUGUUAGAAUUUGCAAUUGAAGCAAACUGCAGCAUUUGCACAAUAUAAUCAUAGUGUUUUACCAUGUUUUGGAUGUGCAUUUUCCUUGAAUUAUUUUUUUCAGGUGGCAAGUAAGAGUCUAGGUGGCAUAUUUCUUCGUCUUGUAUAGAGACCACCAUAAGAUACCAAUGACACUCAUCUCUCACAGGGACAUAAAUCUGCAAACCCACAAAAAUGCUUAGUUAAGAUUCCUAGUGAACAUAUUGUCACGAUAAGUACUUGUUAUACUUGAACUUUGCAUAAGAAAACCACUUACGUAUUUCAACUGUGGGUAAGCUGGCAUCCAUUUGUCCCUUGUGACAAAGCAAGCAACCAUAUCCUCAACUGGAACACCAUCCUUAACAGCUUCCUGUGAUUAACACUUAUAAUUAGUUGUGGAAUUCGUAAGACUAUAGGUGGUGUAUCUGUAUUGACAAUUUUGGAUAACUUGUUGCACUUAGUUACCACUUACAGAGAAUGAGGGUGGGAGACACCAAACUGUUGGUGUCUGUGCCCUGUACUGAUUCCAUGUCGCCUUAAGAGUAUAGACUUUCAUUAACUGUUUAAAUAUAGAGGCAAAAAUUUUGUUAAACAAUUUAAAUCUGACAGUUAAUAUACUACACAAGAGUUUUCACAAAGGUUUUACAAAUAAACCUCAUCAGAUAAACGUUUCCCUGGGAUAAAAGAGUCAAAAUCCAUUCUAAGAGCAACGGUGUUGCUGCACUUGAAAAUUAAUUCAGUUGCUUCACAGUCUGGACUAUAAAGAUAUGCGCAUAUCUGGACUUCUUUCUGAGUAAGUACCAUUUCUGGUGUGGGUCUGAACUUGCACUUAAAGAUCUGCAUACAUUAAUGAAAAUGUUAACCACAGGUAUCUGUCCAAAGGCACCAUUUAAUUAAUCAUGUUCACCUAAACUGGAUGUUAUUACCCUUGGAAUGGUGUAUCCGUAAGCCCUCCCACUUUUAACAACUGGAGCUGCAGCAAUGGUUGUUUUUCGCUUUGGCAAUGGUGCCUUUGGUGUAUGCACGUUCUUUAUUGUAGAACCGGUUAAUGGGGUUAACUCAGUUUCAUGUAUUGUUGCUGACAUACUCAAGACCCUUGGAUUUGGAGGAGAUUCAAACAAUGUUUUACCAGUCAGGGGAGACCGCUGGAGAUACACUUCUUCACCUAUUCUGACUCCCUGUUGGCAAAAAUCAAAUUCAAAAAAAUUUUUAAUGUGCACAUGGUUGCAUACAAGUGGCCUCCAUUAAAUAUUUAAACACAUGUUAUAGAUUUGUACCUUCCCAGAGGGUGCUCCCGAAGAUUCAGAUUGUACCACCUUCUUCCCUUUGUCGCGCUGUGCCACAUUGAGGCCCAGUUUCUCAACCACGUCAAAGCCGAAGGUGUCAGUGACAUCCAUGUCUUGGCCAGCGUGGUUACUCAUAAGAUAGCAGUCAUCGUCAUUGUCAGAAUCAGAAACCUCUAACACAAUGUCUGAGUACGUAGACAAUGGCAUUUUCAUUUUCAGCUUUUUAUUUGACCCAGUAACAGUAGAUGGAGUACUGUACGGAAACUUUUGUGGGUAGUUCAACAGGCUGUCAGUGAAUUGAGACUCUGUCACAUUGGCAAAUGAAUUGAUCUCCUUAGAUUCGAUUUUCCGUUGCAUUUCAUGAGUCAACCAUUUCAGAGUAGUGACUUGAGUUAGUACGUUGUUGGACACUUUGUCCACGUCAUUAAUUCGCGAAGUCAAGGUCUGCACAUAUAGAGUAUUCAACGUACUCAGCAUGUGCACAUACACAGAAAGCUAAAAACGUUAUUUGUAAAGCCUAUAUUGAGCACACGUUGAAGGUUCUUGUUCCACAUGUCAUAAAUAUGGAAUUUUUUAACUUAAAACUUUUUUGCCAUUACAAAACGUUUGGAUCAACGUACGAAACCAUUCUGGACCGGAUCUGUGCAAUAAAUUUUGGAAUGUAACGCAGUCCAUUACUGAUGAAGGGGUUGCAGAGAAAAACUUAAGGUUUAUUCAUUCUUAAACGCUGGAAGAGACAAUGUACAUUUAAUCAUUUAUAUAUGCCUCAGAUAGACUCCAUUAAUUUUGGGCGGUUGAAGGUAAAUAAUUUGAAUAUUAAAAAUUUGGUCUGCGUUCAUUGGUUCGUACUGUGAUUAAACGGGUCCCUACCCUUAGUCAACAACCUGCACAAAGUAUUCAACAACUUAAUCAAUACACCCAUGAACUGGCCCCCACCCCCAUGUGAUGCGUUUUACCGCUUCCAAUCCAAUUUGCUUCCAAUCCCAUUUAUAUAUAUAUAUAUAUUUAUAAUUAAUCCAGGAAAAAACUUAUAAUUUCACUUGGUUUCAAAAUGGUGGUUACCAAUAGAGGGCCCCAUCAACUUUCCCGCAGACUGACUUGAUGUGAUGAGAAAUGUCUUGUAGAGUUUACAAAACACUGACAGUUAGUAGCCCGCGUGCCCCAGUUACAAAAAUCGUGCUGAAAGCCACUUUAAUAUCUUCUAGCAAUCUCUAUUUAUAUCAUUAGUCAAGUCAGUUGUCUGUCUACUGGUACUGCCCAUUAAGACAUCCUCUCGUUACUUCAGUGGGAAAGAGUUCACGUGGACGCAAUAUUAACCACUUGUGAGUAACCAAGGGAACUGGAUUUUAAUUACACAGUUCAAUCCUGGAUAUAACCCUUCAUACUCGUCUUCGUGAGGUCGAAUUUACAUGUGGAUAUUAACAUAAAACGCAGCGCUGCCAUUUUUUAAAAUUUUCAUGUCGACCUAUUUGCCAACUUAUAUUGUUCAACAUUUUUCCCUAAACCCUAAUUUGAUGUGUCGAACUAUAUAUAAACAAUAUUUACUAGUAAUUCAUUUUCCACUAACGAAUCUAUAACUACUACAAAGAAGGUUAUAUAUGGCACUAUUAAUCCAAGGGUUUUAUUCCAUGUGAUGUAGGUGCACCAUUAAGUUUUAGGGUGUUAUCUUUUCAUUUCAUGCGAAAGUACAUUUUCGGGGGACUUUUAAUAGGAUAAAGUGACUUAAAAUGUCUUGUGUUAGUACGUAGACUUAUUGGGUUGUUUUCCUUUUCAACCAAAAAGCGCCACAUUGCACUUGGUCUUUGGACUGGGCGAGCCCCUAAAGGGGCAACGCCCAGGGUCUUGCCCGCCCCGUGGCGUGUCCCCAAGCCAGUAGUUGGGCCUCGUUCAGCCAAGCCCAUAUGGCCCACUAAGGACAUUAGCAUAUGGGGGCCCAACACCGCCCCUAUAAAUAGGUAGCGAUACCAAUUGUAAAGUAUUAUGGCUCAUUUGAGAAAUAAACACAUCAAAUUCAGCAUUUCUCUCUCUAACUCUCUCUCUCUCUUUAGUGCAAUCUCUCUACACUCUAGGGAUUACUCUUUCCUUCAAUGUUCGAUUCAAGAACAGUCUUACAGCUACACCAAGUGGAUGUGAAAACAACCUUUCUGAAGGGAAAUCUUGAAGAGGAAGUUUAUAUGGACCAACCUGAAGGUUUUCCAAAUAAGUUAUAAGAGACCUUAAAAUCUGUGAUUAGUUUAUCCACUAUUUUGAAUGUUAUAUCUUAUCUAUAAAUCUGUUAUUUGAUGGACAUAUCAGAAUUAAGUCAAAUACACAUUAAGUUUGUCCUCUCUAGGCCCUAUAAAUAGAUACACAGUUUAUUGACUCUAUAUGACAAAUUGGAGAUACCUCCAUCCUUGAUACAACCGGAUGCCCUGUUAAUAUAGGCUAGAUUAGAUAGGUAUAGUUCUUCUCCACCGGGAAAUUCGCAUUCACGAUACUCAAUCUAGUCAUACGAGAAAUAUAGUUUUUGCACUCAUGAGGAUGAAGCACAACAUUUGCGCUUAAGAUGCUAUUAGAGUGAUAAGAACACGGUUUUGCCAAGGGGGGUGACCAUCCUUUUAUAGAACGUUACUACAAGCAGAACUAGAAAAAAUAAUAUGGCGGGCCCAAAAUAAGAUAUUAAAUAUAAAUUAAACUUUUUUAUUUGGAAUGGAGUCAUAUAUACAAAAAAUAAUGGUUAAAAUAUAUACUCAUUGAAAAUUUAUAGUAAGUUAUAUUUUUUAAAUCUUUCUCUUCAAUAAAUAUAAUUCUUUUCGUUAUUAGCUUUUUAUAGACAUUUAUAUAUCAAUGUUAUGCUCUAAAGUCAUAUUAAUUUUUGUUUACACCAAAACAAAACUAUUAGCCUUUCUCUUGCAAUAGAAUAAUUUUAAUUCUUGUAAUAUUUAAUUGUGUCAAAGUUUCCUGUAAAAUAAAAAUUGUGUCAAAGUUAUUAAGUAAUAAUAAGUGAAAUAAUAGUUGUAAAAAAAACUGAAAUAAUAGAAAAUAUAUUUUUGUCAAAAUGAAAAAAUAAUCAAAGAUGACUUGGUGAGGAUUUGAGCUCACAGCCUGUUGGUGAGAGAUCACAGGUACCAACCAACGGGACAACACACUUUAUUCAUCGAAUUGCACAUUGUUUUAUAUAUAUAACAAAUAAUUAACACCCAUUGGGGGGGCAGCAACCGUCACCUGUUUAAACGUGGCUCCGCCACUGGCUACAAUACAAUGUUAAGGCUGCCAGAAAGAAAGUGACGUCUCCACCUACAACUGGGCUUCACUUCGGCUGACAACAGCUAUAGUGACAGUCCAGUUUAACGUUUCUUGGAAAUAUCUGGGCCAGAUCCGUCGUCUUUUUUUUUUCUACUCCUUCUCAACAUUGAACUGUUUUUUUGGACAUGCCCCACCGCCCAUUAUCAACCUGCACAAAGUAUAUGUUCACACUCCAUCCUAAGUUAAGGUUAAUCUAAUUAUUCAUGAGUAAUGAUAUAUACACACCUCAUUUUUUAAACACUCCUUCUCCACCUUUUUUAUUUCUAUCUCUCUCAUCUUAUCAUCUAUCAUAUCUCAUACUUUCUCUCUCUUACUUUUUCUUUUCUUCCUAUCUCUCUCCUCAUUCCACCUCUUCACCUCAAAAGAGAGGUGUAGAUGAAACAUUAUCCAAUUAAUAAUUGUAUUUGUCUCAUACCAAUGUCGUGCAACCAUUCAUUGGUAUGGGAAACAUAUUUGCAAUAAACAAUUAACCACCUAUUAUAAAUACAUUCUCUUAGAACUUCUCAUAACAUGACAUUCUUUAUCAUACGAUACUUAAACAGUAUUGCAUAGUUGUUACAUUCUUUAAGCAUUCAAUUAUGUCUUACUAGGUAUUACAGGGUAGCAUUAUAUCAACUUGGAUAAAUAUAUAUACACAUCAUAGUCAUUCUUAAAUGUUACUAUGACCUGCAGAAAUAAUAUCAUUUCCAUUAUAUUCAAUUUUGCAUACCCGCGUGUGGAAUUCCUACACCAACAGUAACCAAACCAUUGAAUUAUGAUUUUAACUAAAACACUGUUCCGCACUUCCGCUCCAAUCCAAAUAAGUGUAUUUCAUUCCGUUCAAUGAUAUAUAUAAGCCUUCAAUCAACAUAUAUUGUACCUCAUCAACCCUAACCCUACCCUACCCUAAUGACAAUUCCAAUUGCUUGUUCCCUAACAACAUUCCAAUUACAUAUCAUGAUUUUUAGUUCUUACCUAAGAUUCCAUUAAUGCCAUAUUGCAACAACUUCUGUAACCAAUUAUCAACCAACUUUUGCAUUAUUUUCUUCAUCCCCAAGUUCUUCACUUCCCCCAAUUCCUCCACAAGUACCACCUGAGGUGUAACUACCACCUGGCUUGGUCGGGCCUAUGCCUAGGCUCCAAUAAAAAUAACUUUUUCUUUCGAACAAGUAGGCCAAAAUUUGGGCAAAAUUUAAAGGGUAGGGCAAAAUACAUGUAUUUCUUAAUUUUUCUAGGCUUCCUAAAAUUCCUUAUCCACCACUUAGUACCACUAUACCAUUCAAUUUUAGUUUCAUAACUCAAUAACACAACACACAUAAAGUACUCGGAAUCAUAACUAAUCAACUAAUUUGGAUGGGAGAUAAAACUUUUCAGUAUCUUACCUUACUAACUCAUAAGACCCGACAAAUUUUCCUACAUAACAACUACAUUAGAUCUGUAAUUCUUACUAAUUCUUACUUUUAACUAAUAUACUCACCUUUAAAUACUUAAUUUAGAUCUGCCCAGUGGCGGAACCAGUAAUUUUGUGGACCCUGGCCAAAUUUAGACCUAAGCCGUCGAGAUCUAACGUCUGAUGCAGGCUUAUAAAUUGCGGUUGUGGUUGCAGACAUUAUGAUGUUGCGGCAUGAAUAUUAUGUUGCAAUGACAAAUAUGUCUCAUUCUCAAUUAAACACUGAGUUAUCCUUAAACACUCAACCCAAACAUAUAGGUACUGUCCCCAUAUGCCCGGUACAUGAGAAUACAUAAUCAGUUCGCAAAUUGUUCGUUCUAAUUAAAUUAAAAUAAUUUUAGAUAAAAUAAUUUUAGUACAUAUAAGAUAAUAGGUAUAAUAUUAAUUUUAUUAUUAAUUUUUCAUAAAUAAUUUCAUCUAUCUUAAAGUCUUCUAAUACUUUUUUAUACAAUUUUUUUUUUAUCUUAUAUCAGUAUAUUGACAGGUUGUGUUAUUUUGUUCAAGGAUAUGAAUUUAAUUAAUAAACGAUGGCCCAAGGCCCUACUACUACACAGGUAAAGACACUAUACCGUAUACCCUCUUAGAAUUAUUAUUCCAUGGAAAAAUAGAAAAAUGGGCCCAACUUUUAAACUUGGACGGCCCAUAGUUAGAGUCUCAUAACUUUGACCCAAAAAUUAAAAAAGCCUAAAACCCUAAAGGUCAUCUUCCUUAUUCUACUGCGCAGCCUCAACAGCAACAUGUCAUCUUCAACUUUUCGUUUCUUUUUUGGCUUUCUGAACUCUAAAGCUCUACCUGCGUCUUCAUCCUUCUUGGUUCCAUGGCAUCUACUUGCGUCUCUACCCUUGCAUCAGAUGGCAACCCCUCAAAAUGCCCAUGCGGCCCCUUAAAAAGACCUCUAAAAAUCUGUGGCACUGCCCACGGUACUGAAGGCGGAGCAGCCAGGGAGCCAGGCCAAGUGCCCAGGGUCGCCGGGCGGUGCCUCCGCCACUGGAUCUUCCCUAACAAGCUCGUCAAUGUACUGAUAUACAAGACCCCAAUCAAUGUUUUUUUUCAAAAAUACUUCAUUUAUGGGAAAUUCAAAUUCUAUUGCCCAGCAAAUUAAUGUCUGUUCAUCUGCUACAAAAACAAAACGUUUUGCCAAUGCGGUGAUCACGAACCCAGUAUUAACACGCAAGUUUUAAAAUGUUAUACUCCACUAUAAUAUUCACCAUUUAACAACUGUCUUCAACUCAGGAAACACAAGGCCCCACCGCCACCCCCGUCCCCUAUGACCGGUAUUCAAUAACCUGUCUUAUACCUGUUAAUAAAUCUAAUAUAAUAAUUUUUAGGUACCAGUUUGCAAUUCUUAGUAAACUUUUCAUAACAGGUCUUUUUUAUACAGUAACCAUUUUCAUCUCGUCCGUCUAAUAUUAUAUCAUUAUAUCCAAUGGUGUUUUUUGCUGGAGUACGGGUACACCACCACGUUAAACCCUGCCAUAUGAUAUGAACUUAGACUUUUGCUACUUUCACAAUUCCAAACAGCUUCUGUGACUUGUUCCUCCGGAUAAUGUGCUAUUAAGAAAUUAUUCCGCUCAUAUUAUCUAACAUUUUGAACUUCAAACCUUUAAGCAAUGGUUUACCCCAAUUUUGACAUUCAAAAAACUUAUGAAAAUGAUCUCAGUGCUUGCUUUAUGUAUCUAUUCUUUACCCCCUCCAUCCAGGGGCGGAUCCAGACCUUAUAAAUCAGUGUGACUAAACAUAAAAGAAAUUAUAAACUAAAAUAUAUUGAAAGUAUUUUUUUUGAAAAAGAGAAAUAUUAUAGAUAAAACAAUGAGAGAAAGUUUCUCAUGGAAAUAGAAGAGUUUACAGUCCAAGAAGGACUAGGCUUACAACGAAAUAUAACAAAAGAAACAAAGUGAAAACAAGUAAAGUAAAGAAACAAGAACAAUAAACUAGGGAAAAUGCAUUGUAUUGGAUGACAUGAUAAGCACAAUAAUUUGAGUGAACAUUAAUUUCAUGAUGGAUAUGAACAACAGACACAGUAUCAAACACAUUCAGGAAGAGAAUAUAAUGAAAGCAACACACAAUUUUAGAGACUUGAUUUUUUUUUGUAUCAACUAAGGUAAAAUGUAUUAAAAUGGGAGUACUGUGCGUACUUCAAACCCAUGCACUUACAACAAGAAAGCAUAGAACUAUUAAAAAUAAAAGAACAGACACAACAAUUCUAUUUUACUUACACAGACCUGCUACCUACAAAAAACCAAACUCAAACAAAACUACCUAUACAAGAAGCAUGUUUUCUUCAAAUGUUUUUACACCGUAAAUAGAUCUGACUUCACUUUGAUUGUUGAAUUCCUCUAAUUCUUCAUCAAGACCAAUUACAACUGAUUAUCAUAUUUGUCAUAUGGAGCAUUUGUUUUGUAAUCUAGAAACCCCUUCUGCCACCAACACAAGUUGCUAUCUUUUUACCUCCACAUAAGAACUGAAGCAAUUCUAAAUAGAGAAAAUAAAGAUUGAAGCUAUAUGAAAGGGAAACAUAGACGGCACCAAAAAAAAAAAAAAAACUGGUGUGGCUCAUGCCUUAAUGUGGGUCCGCCCAUGCCUCCAUCCUAAUACCAUAUCGGCAUAUCCCACUACAAUAUUGUUUUUUUUUUGAACAGUACAAAAUUGUUAAUAUGAUCCUGCUUCAUUAAUUUUUUUAUGCUUCUAUGAAAAAAAUUGAGUUUGUAUAUUUUUCUUGUAUGUACGUAAUUAAAUUUCUAUUACAUUCAUUAUUUUUUUUUUUCAAAAUUUAGUGAGAUAUGAACUUUGGUUGAAAGUGUUUUAACACCUAACCAAAAUUGAAACACACUUUGAGACAUACAGGCAACUAGAUUGUCCACCCAAAUUCAUAAAAAAAAAAAAAAAUUAGUUUGUGCUUUCACUCUCAGAUGCUUCAUCACGUUUAAUAUAUAUGCCAAAGCAAGACCAAACAUCCUUUUUCCUUUUCUUCUCCAUUAUAUAUUUGAAUUGAGAACACGUAAGAACUGAGAUUAAUGCUGUUUUUAUUUUAUUUUACUGCCCUUCUUGUAAAGUCCAAUACUAAUAUUGCUUGGUUGCAAUCUGUUCUGUUUUGUUCAAUUCCUUAAAAUCACUAGAAAUUAAAAGGCACCAUAAAGUAAACAAUAAUUAUAAUUGAAAAAGAACCCAAGGUAUAUAAAUGCCUUCUUUACCAGUAGAUACAGGUAAUAGAUUAGUGUUGAGAGGAAUUGUUUUUUUAGUGAAUUUAUUCACAUUUUUUAAUUAACUUUUCCUUCCCACCAUAUUAUUUGAAUAUUUCUCUUUUCUUCCAUGUAGAGAACAAGUGUCAAAAGUUAAAACGGGCAUGAGUUGAGUAAGACUCCAUUGGCAAGACUUGCUUUUGUUAGACCUGAGUUUGCCUAGGCCCAUGGAUUACCAUAUUAUUUGAUAGUUUUUAUUUUUUGUCAUUGAGCUUAUUCUCAUUUUUUCUAGUUUUUUCCUCUAUUUUUGUAACUUUUUUUCUUUUCUAAAUCACUUAUAAGAUUUGGAAGUACAAACCCAAAAUAUUGCCAUAGGUCUAGAGUGUGUUGGAUUUGUUGUGAGUGUGACUUAGCACGAUUCAAAAUGUUAAAGGUAUUUGAACUUUGGUAAGUGAUUAUAUAUGAACAUAUAAUUUUUAGUACGUGUACAUUUAAUCAACAUAUUAUUUAGCGCCAACGUAUUUAAAUUUAUGGCGAAUGCUUAUAUAUUUUAUAUAAUUUUCAGUGGAUAUUCAUCAAUCAACCUGCAAUUUAGUGGUGACGGUUUUUAACUAGGAUUAGACAAUAUGUUGAUUGAAUGUCGCUGAAAAUCAUAUAUCGGUAUAACAUUAGUGACUUGGGGUCCCCAAUCUUACGUACGAAGUCCUUAAAAUUAUCCAACUUCUUUAGUUUCAAUAUAGUCACAUGCAGCUUAGUGGCUACACAUAUUGAAAGCACAAACAAACAAACGCACUUUCAAAAUUUGCUUAAAGCCAAACCAGCUACGAAGUGGACCUGAGUGCGUAGCUAAGACCAAAUCUUUAAUACACUAGUCAUGCAGAAAGGAACACUAAUAUUUAGGGGGAUAUGAUUGUCAUGCUUGUACUAAUCAUCUUUCAUACAUAUAUGUCGCUCUCCACUAUUGGCUCAUUGGACUGGAUUCAAUAAUGCAACUGAAUAAUUCACAACACUUUUUAUCAUGAUCUUUAAGAAUACUCUAUCCUUUACCAUUAAGUCCUCAAAGAAAAGAAAGUAUACCUGACGAAAUUUAAGGAAAUACACGAAACAAGAAGAUAUUUGCAAUUCGAACUCAGGAGGAUAUUAGGCCUAAUAGCGUUUUGGGCCGACUGAAAAUGUUGGCACAUGGUAUGAGCAGUAUCAUGGAUUGAUAAUUCAUAUUAAGGUCUCAUUGAUUAGAACAUACGUAAAUCAGUCUAACUGAAAAAUAAUCACCGCUGACCUAACUUUUGGGAAAAAUAUAGACCAUAACUCAAAAUUUAAGAGCGUACCAAAGCAUGUUAUAGAUUCAUUUACUGGACCACCUAUAAAUGAGUAUUCGGUGAUGCAAACUUCACGUUUUGGCCUCUAGGGAAGCGGAGUUAGGCUUCAAAAAGCCGGUAACCAGCCGCUUUGUGGAUGUCGGGAGGUAGUCUUCCCGACUACCAGAACAGUAGUCCCUAACUUUGGGUAUGUACGAACGUGGAUCACAAGAGGCAUGAGGGUAUAUUAUUUGUUCCUGGUGAGAUGUUGUGGUUGGCCUUCGUAAGCGCCCAUGGUUUGUGUGCGUUGUUUCCAGGGUUCGUUGCACGAACGUCAAGUGACGAGGAGGUCACCAUUAGGCUUGCAUCAGGAGGUAGUCUUCCCGACUACGGGACAAUCCUCACCACCGAGCUAACUUUUAGGGUAGACUGAGACUUAGCGUCUGAAUGAUAAGAUUUAAAAAAAUAUUCUAUCGGUUCAUAUGAAAUCACACAUUGGAGCACUGCUUUUCCACCUCGUCUUUUAUGAGAAAGUCAAGUCCAGACAACUUCUCCACAAGAAAUCUUCACAAAUAGCAUGCCAAAAUCAAGCAAGCUACAACACAGGCAUCAAAAGGAAAACAAAACAAGUGAAGGAUAUCAUAAAAGCUAUUCCAUGAUGAAUAAACAUUCAACUAGGCAAAAGGUAAUAAUAAUUGAAAGCAGACACCGACCUUACUGAGUAUGUUGAUUACUGGGACUCCCCACUUGGUUACGUAAAAUAGUUGAGCUCCACUAUAUAUAGGUAAUAGGUAUAGUGUACUAUAAUAUUCAACUGAAUUUUGAGCACUAGUUUAACAAAUACCACACCCUCUUAUAUAUAAACAUGAGAAUUCAGUAAAUUGGUUAUUGAGUUCCAAGCUGAAACGAGAUGGACGGUUAUAGUCCAAAAUGGUUUCAUAAAGCGAAGCCAUUCAUAGGUGUUGUGUUCAUUCAAUCUGGAUACGCAGGUAUGGAUGUUCUGUGCAAGGCUGCAUUGAACAAUGGAAUGAGCAAUUAUGUUCUUGUUGUCUACCGUCACGCUGUUGCCUUUGUUGUCAUGGUUCCUUUUGCAUUGAUCUUGGACAAGUAUGUAUCUCUCUUCCAUGUGUGUAUGAAUUGUGAUAGCUUUUAUUUCUUCAGAAUCAAUUACGGAACUCAGAAACUAUGUAUUCACAAAAGUUUCACACUCAGAAUCAAUUCUUAGAAUCAAUUGUAUAGCAUGUUUAGAUCAGUUCUUUCAUAAGAAUCAAUUCUGAAAUGCUUCUCACAAAUAUAUCUGCUGCAGAAUUGACUCUGGCUUCAGAAUCAAUUAUAGAAGAGUUUCCAAACAUUUAGGUAGAAUGAUUUCCAAAUAUUCAUUCUGACCUGAUGCUACAUUCUCUUAACAGGAAAAUAAGGCCGAAGAUGACAUUUUCAAUCUUUGUGAAGAUAGUGUUACUGAGCUUGUUAGAGUAAUAAUUAUUUUCUUACAUGACUAAACUUACCAUAUUCUUCUGUCCUGUGGAAAAAACAUGCUUAACAUUAAUCUUGCUCUGUUAUGGCAGGCCAGUUAUUGAUCAGAAUCUGUAUUAUUUGGGAAUGAAGUACACAACAGCAACCUUUGCAGUUUCCAUGUACAAUAUCCUUCCUGCCAUCACUUUCCUCAUGGCUUACAUUCUUAAGUACUGUUUCUAUUCCCUACCAUUAAAGAAUAUUUCAGAUUUGAUAAAAAAGCUAAACAGAACAUAGCUCAAUAAUGAGGAUUAUUAAAUAAGUGUGCAUAACAUCUUUUAAUACAUGUUGUCACUCAAAAUUAUGUACAACUCAUCUCUUAUUAACUUGGUUUAGGAGGCUGAGUUUGUAAUCAGUGUUUUAAACUGUGAUUGCGGUACCGUCACGGUUGCGCUGCGGUCCUUUCUAUUGCAGAAAAUUGUGAAUAAAUGUGAUUGUCGCGACAAAAAUCACCGUCGCGUUACGUUUUGAAAACCUCCAAAACUUUGAUGUCGUGGCCGAUCACAGUCGCGAACCUUGAUUGAAAACCAUGCUUAUAAUUAAAAGAGUUUCUUGUGCCAUUUGUACUCAAUUUAUAAAAAAUUUAAUUUAAGCAUUUUAUUUUCAGGCUAGAGAAGAUAAAAAUAAAAAGUAUACGUAGUCAAGCAAAGGUGUUUGGGACUUUAGCCACUGUUGCAGGUGCCAUGGUGAUGACACUAAUAAAAGGCCCUGAACUUGAGCUUUUUGGGACUCAUGGAGGAAGCAGUACCCACAUCCAGCAUAAUGGUGGGGUAAACCUUCAACAUGCAAUAAAGGGAUCAGUGAUGAUCACAAUUGGGUGCUUUAGUUUUGCAGGUUUCAUGAUUCUCCAAGUGAGUUUUUCCUCUAUCAACUUUCAGCUAUGAAAAAAGUAAAUAUAGUGCUAUAAAGCUCCCGUUAUACUCGAGAUCUAGAGAGAGACCAGAUCAAUUUUUAAGAAUUUAAUAUUGGCAGUCUUAUACCUUGCAAAAAUGCAAGAGACUUAUUUCACGGCUCAAAUCUGUGAUCGACUGCAAAGUCACAUGACAACAACCUUACCAUUGCGUUGAGACUCGCACUCGUGUUUUUCAUCUAUCCAAAUAAAUAAAUUUUCUUUUAGUUUGAUGGGGUACCCUAAUCUGAUAUAGUUUCACUUUCAUCUUUUUCUCUAGGCUAUUACCCUUGAAGCCUACCCUGCUGAUCUCUCUCUCACAGCAUGGAUAUGUUUGUUGGGAACAGUUGAAGGUGGCAUAGUUGCCCUGGUUAUGGAAAGGGGUAACCCUGCUCCAGUUUGGUCUUUGAAUUGGAAUACAAGUUUGUUGGCUGCUGUCUACGGUGUAAGUUCUUUAAUUUUAUACUGAACAGUGAAAACUGAAAACAACCUCCAGUUCUUGACCAGCCAUAAAAUUAAAGAAUGCACAUUUACCACCGAUAGAGUUUAAGAAGAUAAUCCAAAAAAGUCCAUAGAAUCAACACUGAAAUCCAACUGCAUUAAAAAAAUAUACUAAAACAUAAAAGAGAUUUUGGAGGACAUGAAUUAUACAUGUCAACUGCUUCUUCAUGAAAUUUUCUUCUCACCAUAUUAGCAUCUUCCCUCCCAAUGUUUCAAGUUUAUAUAUGAAUAUAUGACAAAAGAGCUGUUGUGUUCGGAAGAGCUUACCUUAUAAUAUAAGCAUUUAAAUAAUUGUUUGAGUCAACCGACGAAAAUAAUUCAUUUGUUAUACACUUAUAUACUCUUUUGAGCUUAUUUUUAUAAGUUUCUUCAAAUAACAUAUGAAUAAGCACUUAUAUAUAUUUUUAAGCAGUUUUAAACUUAUUUUAAUAAGUUUUUAAAAAUAGGCUUAUGAAUAAUCAAGCACUUCCGUGAUAAGUACUUACUGGCAUAAAUACUUAAGCUGUUUGCCGUGAAUGUUCUUCCUCUAUAAAUUUCUAAAAUUUAUUUGCAGGGCAUAGUUUGCUCUGGAAUGACUUAUUACAUCCAAGGAGCAGUGAUGAAAUACAAAGGCCCAGUCUUUGUAACAACAUUCAGUCCUCUAUGCAUGAUCAUUGUGGCUAUACUGGGCUCUUUUAUUUUGGCUGAGCAAAUGUAUCUUGGAAGGUAAUCAUAAAUAUCGAGUACAACUAAUAAAUCAUCUUUUCUUGUUUAGUGUUUCCAUCACUGUUCAACUAAUAAAAUUGUGUCAUGUCAUUCAGUUGACAUUAUACAAUUUUAUUGAUGGGAUAGAGGAUGAGACACAAACAGAGACAUAAAAUCUUAACCCCCACAACAUAUGCCUAAAGACCUCAAUCAAAAAAUAAAUUUAUGAAAAAGUUGAACUGAAGUAUAUAUCUUGUGCUAAAUUUUACAGGGUGAUUGGAGCCAUUGUCAUUCUUUUAGGGUUGUAUCUAGUGGUGUGGGGUAAAAACAAAGAUUAUGACUCACCACCAAGUCCAAUUAUUAACGAGCAUGUAUUGCCAGAUAAGCAAACUACAGAGAGCAAUGCCAAGGACAAGGAGAAGCCUUCUAAUCACGAGCUUAUCACUAUUAGUAACAUUGGUGCAGGAAACUUAGCUCAAUAUGAACAAGUAUGAAGGGAUACACUAAAUUAAAUCCAAAAAGUUUAGUUAUCCUAUGAUGUUCUACUUUCAGUCUACCAAUCCAAAUGCCAUUUAACAAUCUCAACUAUAUAUAGGCUCCUAGUUAAUUGUUCGACCUUUCGAUUAUGAUGUAAUAGUUAAGGUUUUUAUGUAACAACAUAGCAUGUCAGAAUAUGACAACAAAAUACCAUGUAUUGGAGGGGAAGUGCAUCCAUGUAUUGUAGGUUUGAGAAAAUAUUCCUUCAACAUGCCUAUUGUUGUCAUGCUGGAUUUGUAUUAAGGUUGAAUUGUAUACUUCUUUGUUUUGGCUUUGUUCAUGGUUUUGAAUAUUUGAGUAAGAAUAAUGUUUGGCUCCCAUCCAUUUCCACCUCCAUCUCUUUAAAUGUGAAGAGAAAUUAGAAAAAUAAGGAAUAUGAUAUGUGAUGUGACAGGAAAUGCAGAGAGAUAUAGAAAGAAAAAUGAGUGGAAAAAAAAUGGAAGAGAAAGUGAAGUGUGAAUGCAACAUUACUCAACAUCUCUUUGAGUAAUGAUGCUUAGCACUCCAAAGUUGGACAAUUUGACUAUCUGUGUGUAAGACGGCAUAUAUAUAUAUAUAUAUAUAUAUAUAUAUAUAUAUAUAUAUAUAUAUAUAUUGGAUGUUUGUUAAAUGAAGAGUUAGAACAUGGACUCUAAUCUCCUACCUCCCGCAAAGAGUCACUGCACAAACAUUAAAAAAGAAAAUUAAUUAAGAAGAACUCCCUAAAUUUCAAAACGAGAGCAACGUCCAUGACAACCCAAUGGAAAGAGGAAUAACAAGAAAGUCUUUAGGGGCGUUUAUUACAAGUUAUCAAAAAUCAUUUUCGGGUAAGUGGAUUCCCAGGAAUACUAUGAUGAGAAUGUUAUUUCUGACAUCUUUUAAAAAACUGUUUGAUUGAUAAAUUCAAUUCCUAGUAUGUUUUUAAAAUUCAUUUAAUUAAAAUAUUUAAAAAUAUAAAAUUUAAAGGAAAAAGAGAAGUUAGUGGGAAAUAACUUCUAUUUCCAUGGCAAUGCAAGAUAUCAUAUCAUCCAUCCUUGAACAUGGAAAUAAAGUUUGGAGAAAAACAAUGUAAAUUGCAUGUCUGAGAAUCCACAAUAUCUGAGAAUACUUUUUUCUGAAACUUAUACCAAACAUGAGAAUGUUACAUUCCCAACCUAACUUACAUGAGAAUGUUUAAAGAUCCCUUCUACCAAACGCAAGCAAAAUCAUCAGAUAGCAUUUAUUCAUGAAAGGAACCCAUUUAUAAAACCAAAUACAUCAAUCAAUCAAUAAAAGUUUAAACUCACCAAUAUGAAUUGCAUUCAUCUGCUACAUAUUUCAUUCGUGUGAGAAGAAAUAAGCUAAUUAGUACAAGUUUUGACUUGUUUUGACUUUUGAGGUGAAAUGGAUUGUUAUUGUUGAGUAUGGCUCAUGGCGAUCAAAUGCAUUUGAGACCAUCUAUGAUCGCUGGAAUGUACAUGAGACCACCUUUGAGAAGCUUCAACAAUUUAAGGAUGCUACGAUGAUUAUAAAUUAAGAGGGAGUGUUAAAUGAUAGUUAAUUUAUAACUUGAAAAGUUAUGAAUGAGUUAAAUUUUGUUUAUGUCCUUUUAUGCAUUUCUUAGUGGUUACAAGCAUAAUGAUGCUAGAAGUUAAUGUCCUUUAUGUAGUUGCAUAACUUAUAUCCUUUCAUCUUCUCUAUUCACUAGUAUUAAAUAGAGAAGCAUUCUAACUUCUACAUUAAGAAAUAUCAGAAAAAUAAAAAAGUCUCUAUCAUUUUCCUAAAUUUUCUACUACUACACUUCUGCUUCUCCAAGAGGCAUCAAAAGGAAAACAAAACAAGUGAAUGAUAUUAUAAAAUCUAUUCCAUGAUGAGUAAACAUUCAACUAGGCAAAAGGUGAUAAUCAUUGAAAGCAGACACCGGCCUUACUGAGUAUGUUGAUUACUGGGACUCCCCACUUGGUUAUGUAAAAUAGUUGAGCUCCACUAUGUAUAGGUAUAUUGCACUAUAAUAUUCUACUGAAUUUUGAGCACUUGUUUACUAAAUACCUCACCUUCUUAUUUAUAGAAAUGAGAAUUUAGUAAAUUGGUUAUUUUGUUCCAAUUAGCUGAAACGAGAUGGAAGGUUAUAGUCCAAAAUGGUUUCAUAAAGCCAAGCCAUUCAUAUGUGUCGUGUUCAUUCAAUCUGGAUAUGCAGGUAUGGAUGUUCUGUGCAAGGCUGCAUUGAACAAUGGAAUGAGCAAUUAUGUUCUUGUUGUCUACCGUCAUGUUGUUGCCUUUGUUGUCAUGGCUCCUUUUGCAUUGAUCUUGGACAAGUAUGUAUCUCUCUUCCAUGUGUGUGUGAUAGCUUUUAUUUCUUCAGAAUCAAUUACAGAACUCAAAAAGCUAUGUAUUCACAAAAGUUUCACACACAUGUUUAGAUCAGUUCUUCUUUAAUUUCAUCAGAAUCAAUUCUGAAAUGCUUCUCACAAAAAAAGCUGCUGUGCAGAAUUGACUCUGGCUUCCGAAUCAAUUGUAGAAUAGUUCCCGAACAGUAGAAUGAUUUCCAAAUAUUAACUGACCUGAUGCUACAUUCUCUUAACAGGAACAUAAGGCCAAAGAUGACAUUUUCAAUCUUUGUGAAGAUAGUGGCACUGAGCUUGUUAGAGUAAUAAUUAAUUUCUUACAUGACUAAGCUAAACAUAUUCUUCUAUCCUGUGGAAAAAUCUUGCUUAACAUAGAUCUUGCUCUGAUAUGGCAGGCCAGUUAUUGCUCAGAAUCUGUAUUUUUUGGGAAUGAAGUACACAACAGCAACCUUUGCAGUUUCCAUGUACAAUAUCCUUCCUGCCAUCACUUUCCUCAUGGCUUACAUUCUUAAGUACUGUUUCCAUUCCCUACAAUUUAAGAAUAUUUCAAAUUUGAUAAUAAAGCUAAACAGAACAUGGCUCAAUAAUGAGGAUUAUUAAAUAAGUGUACAUAACAUUUUUUAAUACAUAUUGUUACUAAAAAUAAUGUACGACUCAUCUCUUAUUAACUUGGUUUAGGAGGUGUAAAUAAGCGUGACUGUUAUGAAAAAAACAUGGCCGCGUUCCGUUUUAAAAACCUCCAAAACCUUAAUGUCGUGGCCGAAAUCACAUUCAUGAAUGUUGAUUUAAAACCAUGCUUGUAAUCAAAAGAGUUUCUUGUGCCAUUUGUACUCAAUUUAUUAGAAAUUUAAUUUAAGCAUUUUAUUUUCAGGCUUGAGAAGAUAAAAAUAAAAAGUAUACGUAGUCAAGCAAAGGUGUUUGGAACUUUAGCCACGGUUGCAGGUGCCAUGGUGAUGACACUAAUAAAAGGUCCUGAACUUGAGCUUUUUGGGACUCAUGGAGAAAGCAAUACCCACAUCCAGCAUAAUGGUGGGGUAAAUCUUCAACAUGCAAUAAAGGGAUCAGUGAUGAUCACAAUUGGCUGCCUUGGUGGUGCAGGUUUCAUGAUUCUCCAAGUGAGUUUUUCAUCUAUGAGAAAAGAUAAAAUUUAAUUAGUGCUAUAAAACUCCUGUUAUUUGCGGGAUCUAGACAUAAUUUAGAUAUAUUUUUACGAAUUAAAUGUAGGUAAAUUUUGCAUUUUUGCAAGAGACUAAUAUCAUAAUUGAUAAUUUAAAUUUGUGACCGCAAAGUCACCAGCAACAUUACUGUUGCAUUGAGACUAGAGAUUGAGUUUUUCAUCUAUCCAAAUAAAUAAUUUUUCUCUUAAUUUGAUGGGUUACCCUAAUCUGAUAUAGUUUCAUCUUUUUCUCUAGGCUAUUACCCUUGAAGCCUACCCUGCUGAUCUCUCUCUCACAGCAUGGAUAUGUUUGUUGGGAGCAAUUGAAGGUGGCAUAGUGGGCCUGGUCAUGGAAAGGGGUAACCCUGCUCCAGUUUGGUCUUUGAAUGAGGAUACAAAAUUGUUGGCUGCUGUCUACAGUGAAAGUUUUUUAAUGUUAUACUCCGAUACAGUUCUUGACCAGCCAUAAAAUUAACAAAUUCACAUUUACAAUCGAUAGAGUUUAAAAAGAUGAUCAAAAAAGUCAUUAGAAGCAACAAUGAAAUCCAAAGGCAUAAAAAAUAUACUAAAACGUAAAACAAAUUUAGGAGGUCACUACACACACGGGACAUAAAUUAUACUCUGCUUCUUCAUUAGUUUUUUUUUUUUUUUUUUAAAUAAGUAACAUGAUUCAUCCGCACACAAAUUUUUUCCAUUUCAUUUCCACCUAAUUUUACUUCUAUUUUUCUCUCCAUUUUAUUUUCUAUUUUAUUAUUGUAUUAUAUUUCAUUCUUUCUAUUUCUUAUUUCUCUUAUUCAUCCACUCUUUUCCACUUAAAAUGAGGUGGUUAAACAAAAGUAUAAAUACCACCAUAUUAGCAUCUUCCCUCUCAAUAUUUCAAGUUUAUAUGAAUAAAAGAUAAAAGAGCUUGCUGUGUUUGAAAAAACUUAGCUUAUAUUAUAAGCAUUUAAAUAAGUGUACGUCUGAGUGAACUAAUAAAAACAGUUUAUAAGUUAUAAACUUAUAAAUUAGUUGUCUAAAUGACUGAUGAGAAAUUUUGAGUUAAAUAAGUCAUCGUCCAAUCACAUUGGAAAUAAGUGAGUUGAAAUUUAAAUAUUUUAUUUAUUCAUUUAUUUAUAAAAAAAAUCUUAUUGAUUCAUUAAGUUGGGGUUAGUAACCCAAUGGGUCAUUUAGACAUCCCUCAUUCUUUUGAGCUUAUUUUUAUAAGUUUCUUCAAAUAAACACUUUUUUUAAUGUAGUUCUCAACUUAUUUUAAUAAGUUUUUGAAAUAUGCUUAUGAAUAAUUAAGCACUUCGUAAGAAGUACUUACUGUAAAUACUUAAGCUGUUUGCCGUGAAUAUGUACAUGUAUAAUAACUAUGUUCUUCCUCUAUAAAUUUCUAAAAUUUAUUUGCAGGGCAUAGUUUGCUCAGGAAUGGCUUAUUACAUCCAAGGAGCAGUGAUGAAAUACAAAGGCCCAGUCUUUGUAACAGCAUUCAAUCCUCUAUGCAUGGUCAUUGUGGCUAUAUUGGGCUCUUUUUGUUUGGCUGAGCAAAUGUAUCUUGGAAGGUAAUUAUAAACAUCGAGUCCAACCAAUAAAUCACAUGUUCUUGUUUAGUGUUUUUAUCACUGUUCAACUAAUAAAAUUGUAUGUUGACCCAAAAAAAAAAAACUAAUAAAAUUGUAUCAUGUCAUUUAAUUGAUAUUGUACAAUUUUAUUGGUGGGGCAGAGAAUGAGACGCAAACGAAGUCAUAAAAUCUUGAUCCCUACAACAUAUGUCUAAAGACCUCAAUCAAAAAACAAAUUUAUGAAAAAGUUGAACUCACGUAUAUAUCUUGUGCUAAAUUUUACAGGGUGAUUGGAGCCAUUGUCAUUCUUUUAGGGUUGUAUCUAGUGGUGUGGGGUAAAAAUAAAGAUUAUGACUCACCACCAAGUCCAAUUAUUAACGAGCAUGUAUUGCCAGAUAAGCAAACUACAGAGAGCAAUGCCAAGGACAAGGAGAAGCCUUCUAAUCACGAGCUUAUCACUAUUAGUAACAUUGGUGCAGGAAACUUAGCUCAAUAUGAACAAGUAUGAAGGGAUACACUAAAUUAAAUCCAAAAAAUUUAGUUAACCUAUGAUGUUCUACUUUCAGUCAACCAAUCCAAAUGCCAUUUAACAAUCUCAACUAUAUAUAGACUCCUAGGUAAUUGUUCGACCUUUCGAUUAUUGAUAUAAUAGUCAAGGUUUUUGAUGUAACAAUAUAGCAUGUCAGAAUAUGACAACAAAAUACCAUCAAAGAAAGAAGAAGCAAUAACUUUGAGUCAGAAAAAAAACAUUAAGUUAGUUUUAAGUUGUCACGACCUGAAAUCCUAAGUCGUGACCGGCGCACAGACUAACACUCUAGUCUGGCAAGCCUGUUUCUCACAAAAAUCAUUUCCCAAAUUAUUCUCUAAAUUUACAUAUGUAUCCCUAUAUUUAUAAAAAUAAAUAUACAAGAUCUCAUCUGUAUUACCAAUAUCUCAAAUGACAAAACCUGUCAAAUAAUGAUCUCCAUUUUCAUACUUCCAUAAAAAGGAAAUUCUCAAAUUAAGCACUCAUGUGCAACUUUUACAAUAAAACAAUAAAUAACAAUCUCAAAUCUAAAUCCUCCUAAGACUCCCUAUAGCUGCAGAUAACUAGAAUCAAAUAGAAGACACCAAUAUGUCAACCUGUCAAAUGGUCUGAAUUUGACAACAGUAUGCAGUUGCCUGAAAAUCUGUGAAUGGAAAUAAUGAAUGGGGUAAGUCACAAAGACUUAGUGAGGAUUUAACAACCACCAUGAACAGGAAAGGGGAAACAAAUGAAGCACGAGUUUUUCACUAUCAGUUCAGAGUGUAUAAUAUAUAUAAAAUUAAUAAGAAUCAUUUCAAAUAAGAGAUGAUUAAACUGCCAAAGUUUAUAAAUAAUCAUUUCAAUGAAACUGAAUAAAAAUCAUGUCAAUCAUAUGAAAGCAUUUAAAAAUCAGCAAUAUAAUUUAAUAGGGUCACACAUGUAGAACCGUGAGGCGGCUCCAUCUCGUUGAUAGCCCUCUCCUCCUAAGGGAUGACCUAUCCGAUAGGGGCGGCUCCAUCUAACGGAUAGCACUUUCGUCUCUCGUAUCACAUGUCGUAUCGUAUCAUCGGGGGAAGCUACAUCUCGUUGAUAGCCCUCUCCGUGCACUGGCGGCUCCAUCUAACGGAUAGCCCUCUCCUCCCGGAAUCAAACUAGCUAGGUGCACCUAGGCCGUUACCUCCGUUAACGGCUACGGGGUUCUAUCAAGGAUCCCCAAAACCGUUUUCUCAAACCAGUUCAAGUCUCAUCAAAGUCUCAAAAUCAGCUUUCCAAGUUCAUAAUCUCAGUUUCACAUAAUUUCCAAAAUCAAGGUAAUAUAAAUUGUUUUCUCAUGUCAGUUCAGAAUCAGACUCAUAUCAUUUUCAUAAAACCAGCUUUCAGAUAAUUCACGAAUUGUAAAGCAUAUUUCCCCAAUUUAAAUAAAUAUGCAAUAUGCUAAAAUAAUCAAAUCAUCAAUUGUAUAAUUAUUAAAAGUAAGUCACAGUGAUUGGAAAAUCACUCACCAUGAAUUAGCCACUAUAAUGAAUCAAAUGGAUUGCUCCCAUCAACAUCAUAAUACCCGAAAUAGCUAGUAGCAGAAAACAUUUGAAAGAUCAACUCCAAAUAUAUCCAUUUGCAUCUUUCUUGUGCAUCAUCUAUAAUUAAUCAUAACCAAAAUAAAACAUAUUUCACUUUUUGGUCCAUGUGAGCGAGCACAACAAGCUAAAGCACCAUAAUUUAUGGUCUCACAAUCAUUAAAGAGACAACACAUAAAUAUUGAGUGCACCUGGCAUAGUAUCCUUCCAUGCGCUGCAGCAAUCUGAUUUGAACAGCAAUAUGCUCUAGAUAUUGCAAGGACAACUCCAUUCUUCUCAAUUUCUCACUAAAUCAACGAAAAAUUAACGAGCCACAACAGAUCCUUUGCGCCAAGGGCUUCCCCAUCAAAGACAUACCUUUCAAUUACGACACAACACCACGCCACACAUCAUCUCCACCAUGCUUGGGUGCUACAGUCGCAACUCCACUCUGAACGUGUGGGCGACACAACUAAUUAAAGAAGGACAGAGGUUGGAGUGGGUCAAGGGAGAGGAACACAGUUUUGCUGCCCUUGAUAGCAAAGAUGAAGGGUGUGGGGAGAUCGUGACAUGCGUGGGGAAAAUUGAAGGGGAUGUUAGGUUUCUUCUUUUGUUUUUUGCAAUGGAGAAUGGUAAUUGGGGUGUGGGGCUGCAGUGUGGGUUAGGGUAAGUUAGGUUUAGUGAGUCUUUUUUAUUUAUUUUCAAAUUUUCUAAUAAUAAAAAUAAUUAUAUAAAACAGGUCGUGUCAUAAGUCUGUUAGCAAAGCUGUAUGCAAAUGAUUUACUUGUAUCACAAGUCAAGCAUCUUCCAACCUCAUUACUUAAACAAUAAUCAAGCCUAGUGUUGUUCUGAAAACUGAGCUAUUGGAUGCGUUUGAUCUUCUACGGUGGUGCACUAUGUUGAUAGGACUUCCCAUGCACUUUUACUUUUACAUUGCAAACCGACAGGGGAGGCAGGAAUUUCGGGAAGGGGGACUAAGAUCUAAAGGAAUAUAAUUUGUAAGAAAAUUUCAAUUCUUAAAAAAAGGAAUUUGCCAAAAAAAAAAAUAGGAUUAACAAGAUAAUCUAAAAUUCGUGGACGUUUUCCAGGAUCACGAAUCAAAGCAUCAAUAUUGAUUAUUUCGUGUUCAAUCCUCAAAGCUUUUGAAGGAGGUGGUUGGAUAAGUUGCUCUACGGUUGAUUGUGUUGGUUGUCCAACUUCAACGAUAUUUGAAACAUUAAUAUCUAUGGAAGUUGGUGAAACAAAUGAAGGAAAACAAUUUGAGUAAAACAACACAAUGUGCAAAUAAAAGAUAAAUUAUAUAGUAAAGCUAUCACAACAUGUCUUUCGAGCGUAUUGAGGCUGUCACCGCUAUAAGUGUACUAAAAAGGCAGACAUCUCUCUAUUGAUUAAGUUACAACGUCCAUAUUCUGAAAAGUGCUAUAGAUAUGGAAAGAAAAGCAAUUGGUGGAGUGUUGGAAACAAAAUUGAUUAUCGCUUCUUUUUCAAGUAAAACACAAGCACCACAAAUUCUAUCACAUACAAUAAGACCAAUUAAGCAACAAAAAAGAGAAUUGAACCAAUAAAUUCAAGUUUGAACUCAUGAAAAUUUGAAUAUUCAUAAAAAGUCAUAAAUGAGAAAGUGAAGAGCAAGAGAGAAAAUUGAGAGGUUUUAAAUGUUGUAUCACCUAAACAAAAUCCCUUAUUCUCUUGUCUUGUUUGAGUUGUUUUUUAAUUAAACAAAUCCAAACAAGACAAUUAACUUUUCUUUUCUUUACCUUGUUUUUUCCUUUCUCUCUUCUAUUUCCUUCCCUCUACUCGCUUCUGUUAAUCAAAUCACGGCUUCACUGUUAUAGUAUUAUCCUAAUGUUAUGCUUUUUAAAUAGUAUAACUUUGGAUGUAUGGUCCCAUUACAUGUGAUUAUUAAAAGGAAAUAAAAAAAAGAGAGGUGCUGUGCUGUGCUGUGCUGUGCUGUGCUGUGCUGUGCUGUGCUGUGCUGUGCUGUGCUGUGCUGUGCUGUGUGUAUAAACGUAUAAAAGAAAUAAGGGGUGCUCACGUGCUGUUCAUCUCUGCCUCUUGCCUUUAUAUACUAUGCUUCAAAUUUUUUCCUUUAGAAUUUUCAAGAAGCCAGGGGUGACUAAGCAGGGGGAAGUCACCCCUGUGCUUCCGCCACUGCAAACCGAUAACCGGACCACCACCAAGAAGCAUACAAUGAUAGUCUUAUUAACCUUCUCUAUUCCAAGAGCCACUCUAAGAUUUAUGUAGCUCGUUAGAACCAUUUGUUCCCCAGUGAAACUAGUUGAAUUGGUCAUUAAUGAAAAUGAAAUCCCCAUGAUUAUAUCCCAACGUCACAAAACAAUUAUAAGACAUCAUGUCAAGCUUCCGGGAUUCACCAAAACUUCUAGAAUUUCCAUUUCAGCUAUAAUGGUUGAGAUCAUUAUUGACGUAGAUUGAUUACCUUCACCAUUGUUAUUUUUUUCUUUCCUUGAAAAUUCUAGGAGAAUCCUCAGAGUUCUUUAGAGAAUGUUUUCUACGAGCUUCCUCAGAGUUCUUUUCCCCUCAUUAAUGAAGUCCAUUCUUCAUACUUGUUGGUGGAAAGUAAAAGCUCGAUCUUCCUCUAAGCGAACGUACUCCAUACUCGAAAUAAAUUUAAUUGAAGUGAUAUGCCUGAUCAGUUUUUCCAAAAAACGACUCCACAUUUACUUGUUCUAACAUGCGCGAUGGAGGAUCCAAACCAUAAAUUUCCUCGGAUAAAGGAUCAUAAUUUGCGGCGACUUGGAGGCAAUUAGCGGCGGUUUGUAAAUAACAUGUAAAACAAAUCACUGUUUUCCAUUCACUCUAGUGCUUUCCCUUCCUCGCCAGACUUGGUCCUCUUCCACUUCCUCACCGGCCAUUUCGACCUCUACCACUCUUCCGACUCCACCUCCGACCACCGCACUCUCUGCAUCUGGUUCGUCACUGCGACAACUGGAACCCUGAGCUCAGUUACAACGCCAAUGGUUCCAGGUAUUUGAGGUUUGAGAAAUUUACUGCUUUAUUUUGUGUUUUUUAUGAUGUUUAUUCUUCUUGUUGUGCCUAUUGUUGUUGUCUUGCUGGAUUUGUAAAGGUUGAAUUGUAUACUUCUUCUGAGAUAUGCCAUUGGAGAUAAAUCACUGUUAAAUUUAAAACUGUUUGAGAUAUAUAUUUGAUAGUUUCAUCUUGUAUAUAUGAUCCAGUAGUUUUGUCAGUAAAGGAAACUAUUUGAUUCCUAACAUGCAAAACCAUCUUUAUCACUCUAGGUAUUUAUGGAGAAAUUAGAUGAGUGUUUGAAAAUGUUGAGGUGUAAAGAUUUUAACCUACAGAAAAGUUUGAUUUAUUUUAGUACCUUUUUGAUUCAUUUUUUCUCUUCUUACAUAAAUACUUGUUGAGAAGUUUAUCCUAACUAACUCAAAGCCACCCUUUUCCUAAGUCUCAGAACAACAGACAAAACAGAAAGACCAUCCAGAGGAAAUAGAAUUGAUACUUUUCUGUAGAAGCUGCGGACAUCACUGUAAUUAUGUACUCUUGGAUAUAAAAGUAGUCUUUAACUUAUCCAAGUACCUCUAGAUCUUUCACAAUUUUUUGUUUAAUUUUGUCAAAAUAUUUUUGGCUGUUAGUUAUUUUUGUCAAGUAUCAAAGGAUUCUGUUUUUGUAACUCUUAGUAAGUAAUAGCUGUUAGUUAACCUUAGUUAAUUUCUACUAGAAGCUUUUGAUGUCUUUGCAUCUAUGUAAACAUGUUUUUCUGGUAAGUCAGUUUUACAACAGAAACACCAUUCUACUAAAAAAUUUCUUUAUGUACUUUGACUAAGUUUUCUUUCUGUGCAGUUCUACAAGAAUCUGUCUACUGGGCUGAAAGAUUAACGUUUGAAAAGCAGGGCCUAUCGAUGAAGAAAAAGCUAAUGGUAAGUUUUUGAUAGGAGCUAGCAGAAUGAGAAUAGUAACAAAGGAAAGGACUGUAACUGAGAAUUUCUAUGUAACAAAGGAAAUACUACAACUGUGAGUUCUUCUGGAAUUUAGAAGUAAGAUUCCACAUUGCAUCCCACACCCUUUGGCUCCCCAAUUCCUAACUUACCCUCACUCUUUCUCUUUUUCCUACGGUAUACCACUAUACCCUCAGUGGAGUUCCAACAGUUUUUUGAUAUGUUAAUCUAAUACAGAACAUGCAAUGGAGUGAUGUGUGCUAGGUUGUUAUGCCUACCACUGUUGGUGGCACUCUAGAUGAUUUGCAUUGCAUUGUAUGUGUCACCAUGUCAGUUGCUAUCUUUUUCAGAUUUAAGAUUAUGAUUUCUCUCCAGAAUUUCAAUUUCUUGAUAUAUUUUUAUUUGUACUAAACAUUGCUUUGUUAUUAGGACUUGAACCAAAAAGUAAGUGAUCUGGAGCCUGGACCUCUAAUCUCCACCUCUGUCUUCCUUUUUUCCCUUACAUGUUAUAAAAAAGGAGGAAGAGAUUUUGAUAUGAAGAAGCAUUUUGAGAGUUGUGGAGGUGGCUAAACAGUUUGACAAAGCAUGUGGGAUGGCUAAACAGGUCAGUGUUGAAUUGAUCUGUAUUCUUUUUGUGCUGUGUCACAAGAUUAGUUUAGUCCAGCUACAUAUAUUUGUUUGACUUAACUGUCACCUUCACUGUUUAUAUCCUGAGUUAAGUCAUGAAUAUCAUCUCUAAUUACAUGAUUUUCUGGUUUAUGAAGUCAUAUCAGCUUGCUUCCUUUAAUUCAUUGGGCUUAUAAUAAUUUGUUGGGAAUACUGAACAGUACUUGACUAAUAAGAGCAUCUCCAAUAGGGGUUGCUUAAAUCCAGUUGGCAACUUAAGCAACGUUGUUUAUUUUGAAGCACCACUGGAGCAACAUGACGUGGCAGUUGGGUUGCUUAAAUUUAAGCAACGGUUGCUUAUUUAAGUAACGGUUGCUUAUUUUCUCUCUUCUUACUUUUUGACUAAAAAAUCAUAUUUUCUCUUUCAUUCAUGUACUUGUAUAGUGUCAUUACCUUGAAAUAAUAUAAAUAUAAGAGGUAUAAUGGGAAGUAAACUAAGCAACCGUAGUUGGAGCGAAUUCUGCUUGGGUUGCUUAAAUCCUAUGUGUCAGUCUGGACCCACCGAAAUAGUCUUUAAGCAACCCAACUAGCAACUAUGCAUUGGAGAUGCUCUAAGAGGUCUAUACAUGUCUGUGUGUAUCUAGUGAGAAAAUGGGAAUUUUAUAAAUUUCUGUUUUUUGGCUUGCAAAUUUUAAUGGAAUUACAGCUGAGCUGAAAAUGAUGUUGAAAAUGGAAUCAAUCAAUCGGUUGGCCAAAACUGCAGCAAAUUGAUCGUGCAGCGUAACUGCAGCGAGAAACAUUUUGAAGUGUGAAUGUGUGAUUUGAUUGAUCUUCAAGAAUAUAUAUAUAAUAUUAAUCUCAGGAACCCCAGAUAAGAAUUUGUUUAAGUGACUGGUAAGAAAGGUAGAGUAUCAUCUCUUAUCAUGUAUAAAGAGUCAUGUUUUGGAUAAAGAAAAGGUCAAGCAAGAACUUCCUUGUUAAUAGAAUAAAAUACACUCACCCCCCUCAAGGUUUGCAAGAAUGACACUCCACCCCAUUGUUUUUUAAAAUCUACACUUCACCCCAUUUUUUAUAAAGGCAAAAUUUAGUGACGAAAACAAAUUCGUCACUAAUAAAAAAUAAUUACUAAUUAGUUAAAAUUUAAAUAAAUUAAAUGCAUAUACACUAUCAUACAUCAAUUUAUGAAAAUAAUUUUACUGAAUUAAAUUUAAAAAAACCAUCUACUCUGCCUGUUAAGUCCACGUCUCAUCUAUCUCCAAAUCGUACUUCUCACCACAAACGGUCACCACCAAACCUUUGCUUCCUUUAACAUGACGACAACCAUCCCAGAAUGUGAAACCCCAUGGCACCACCAUGCCUCAAAGUUUUGUUGCGACCUGAACCCCAGAACGUGAAUCGCACAUCCCCAAAGCCACUUGUUCAACUACUUGUUGUGAACUUCACCCCUUUAAGUUGUGAGCGAACACUUUGUUGGUUUAAGAUGUUGUUGGAUUUUGUUAAAAACGGUGCUCCACCGCAUCGUUGGGUUCUAAUAACCUUCGAUCCACUUCAUAUUUCUUAAUUUUGUUUCUCUAUUUUCUUCACCACCCAUUUGUGUUGCUUUUUGGAACGGGAGGCAGCAGUGGGGAAUUUUCUACAAUGGGCGAAAGCCUGACGGAACAAUGUCGCGUGGAGGUAGAGGGCCUACGGGUCGUCAACUUCUUUUCCAGGAGAAGAAGCAAUGACGGUAUCCGGGGAAUAAGCAUCAGCUAACUCUGUGCCAGCAGCCGCGGUAAGACAGAGGAUGCAAGCGUUAUCCGGAUACAAUCCAAUUUUAAAAAUUGGAGGUAUAAAUAGAUUAUUUUGAUUAAAAUUGAAUUAUUACCAAAUAUGAAAACACAAGCAUGUUUCACUAUGUUCGAGAUAUGGUUUGUCAACCGGUCUUGUGUGCUAUUGCAGAAUUUGCAUUGUGAAUUUACGGAGGAAGAACGCGAUUGAGAGAAUGAGGAGGACUGUGAUGUUUUCAUUUUUAUAUUUAUUGGAUUAUAUUGAAAAUAUUUUUUGAAAUUAUUGAUUAACAAUUUAAAUAAUAACUAAUUAUUAAUGAAGAAUAUUUUUCGUCACUAAAUUUGCCUCUAUAUAAAAUGGGGUGGGGUGUAGAUUUUAGAUAAGAAUGGGGUGGAGUGUUAUUCUAACAAAACUUGAGGGGGGUGAGUGUACUUUACUCUUAUUAAUAAUAUAUAUUUUAUAAUUAUAAAAUCCUUCAUAAACAUGUUUUGGAUGUGUGUGUGUGUUAAGUGAUGAUAAGAGCAAUAGAUUCUCAUCUCCUAGCUCCCACAAAGAGUCGCUGCAUAAACAUUAAAAAAGAAAUAUUAAUGAUGAAGAACUCCUUAAUUUCAAAACGAGAUCAACGGCCAUGACAACCCAACGGAAAGAGAAAUAACAAGGAAGCCUUUAUAUAUAGCAGAUUCAUCAGUUAAAAUUUAUUCAUGAACGGAACCCAUUUAUAAAACCAAAUACAUCAAUCAAUCAAUAGAAGUUUAAACUCACCAAUAGUGAGUUCGUCUGCUAUAUAUUUCAGUCUUGUGAGAAGAAAUAAGCAAAUUAGUACAAGUUUUGAGGUGAAAUGGGUUAUAACAAAAUGAAGUUUGAUAGAGUGAAGCCAUUUGUAGGUGUGUUGUUCAUACAAACUGCAUAUGCUGGCAUGGAUGUUCUGUCAAAGGUUGCACUAAACGAAGGAAUGAGCGUCUAUGUAUAUGUUUUCUACUGCAAUGCUGUUGCCUUCAUUGUCACGCUCCCAUUUGCAAUAUUUUUCGAGAAGUAUGUAUAUAUGUUUCUCAGAUUGAGAUCCUUUGUCUCUAAAUGGUGUCUGCUCUUCUGUGAUUAAUUGUGUGAUUGAAAUUGAAGUUCAUUUCUUUUAACUGCAGGAACGUAAGGCCCAAGAUGACAUUUCCAAUCUUUAUAAAGAUAGUGGCCCUCGGCUUGCUUGAGUAAUUAAUUUAAAUUCCCUAGCAAGCUAAACACAUGAACUCUCUUAAUUAAUUAUCCAUGAAAAUUAGUAUAAUCUUGCUUAAUUGACUCUGAUAUUUUUGUAUUUUAUGGCAGGCCAGUUAUUACCCGAAAUUUUUAUUUUUCUGGAAUGAAGUACACAACGGCAACUUAUGCUGUUGCCAUGGCCAAUAUCCUUCCUGCCACCACCUUUAUCAUGGCUUGCAUUCUUAAGUAAUAAACAUUCACUGUCACUGGGAUGUAUAAAAGUAAUUCGAAUUUGGUUAUCACAAUAUUAUUAACAGAUGAACACAACUUAUGUGAACUAAUUAAUCAACACUGCAGUGGAAUAUAGCGUAUAAUAAAUUUCAUUUGUCUGGUUUUACCCUGUAGGCUUGAGAUGAUAAAAUUUAGUAGUAUACGUGGUCAAGCAAAGGUGGUUGGGACUUUAGUCUCUAUUACAGGUGCAUUGGUCAUGACACUUAUUAAAGGCCCGGUGCUUAAGCUUUUCGGGACACACCGCGACGAUAGCAACAGCCACGACGAGCAUGUUGAUGGUGGUUUAAAUGUUCAUCAAGCAGUAAAAGGAUCAGUGAUGAUCUUAACUGGAUGCAUUUGUUGGUCUUGUUUCAUAAUUCUCCAAGUAAGUGUUUCUUAAAAUAAAACUCUCAAGGUUUCAUCAGUGUCAAUUUCUUUUUAACUUGAUGGGGUUCCCUAUAUAAUAUAGAGUUUCAUCUCUUUAUCUAGUCUACUACCCUUGAAGUCUACCGUGCUGAGCUCUCUCUUUCGGCAUUGAUGUGCCUAUCUGCAACAACUGGAGCGGGCAUAUUGGCCCUGGUUAUGGAAAGAGGCAAUCCAUUGGCUUGGUCUCUGAAUUGGGAUUCAAAACUUCUAGUUGUUGUCUACAGUGUAAGUUCUUUACAUUUAUUUGCAAACAUUUAUUACAUUGUCCUGAAUCAAUUUUAAAAAUAUUGAGCUGCAGGGCUUAGUUUGCUCAGGAAUGGUUUAUUACGUUCAAGGAAUAGUGAUGAAAUAUAGAGGCCCAGUGUUUGUAACAUCUUUUGAGCCACUGUGCAUGAUCUUUGUGGCUAUCUUGGGAUCCAUCUUUUUGGCGGAGCAACUGACUCUUGGAAGGUAAUUUUGCAAAUUGAAUCCCAACCAGAACACAUGCUCAAUGAAAAAAAAAUUAAACUAAAUUAAGGAAUCUAAUUAAUUUUUCAGGAUGAUCGGCGCCAUUGUCAUUAUUAUAUGUAUCUAGUAGUGUGGGGGCAAAGCAAAGACUGCAAAUUACCAUGUACAAUUAUCAAAAAAGAGAAUACAGUGCUGGCUAAGCAAACUGCAGAUGAGAGCAACACAAAAGAAGAGCACUCUAACCAUAAGGUCAUCACUAUCUGUAACUCUGGUGUUGGUGAAGAAGUAUGAGGUUGUUUAUAUUAGUUAUUAGUUAUAAGUGAUGAGAUUGUUUAUACUGCAUACAAGUGAUGAGGUUGUUUAUAUUGCUCCUCACCUGUGAUUAAAGUGAAGAAAGGUUCUGGACCAUUAGGGAUCUUUGACCGACCAGGUUGCCCGUAACCCGCUUGGAUCUCCAUCUCCGCCGGCUGACCAAGCACACGCUACUUUAGUCAACCGUCUGAUGGCAGAAAUGUCUUCUGUGUAUAGUACCACCACUUAAGAGGCUCUGUUUAUAUGAGGAGGCCCUCACACCUUGUAUCAUCAUGUUCAUAUGAAUUCUUUGAUUUUAGGGGUUUUUCAUGAGUAGGUUCAAUUGGAAAUACAACUACAAGUGAUCUAUGACUUACUAAAAAUAAUGGUUCUAACUUGUUGUCAUCAACUGCAAUUGAGACCGCAGCAUCAAUGUUUUUGGGGCUCACAACAACUGCAUCAUGACUGCAAUGACAACCUCAUGUGACUAGUGAUAAUUUAAUCAAGUAGACAUUUAACACCAUUUUUUAAUUAGAUUUAGAAUAACUGCCAUAUGGUCAUACAAGUAGAUACCCAGAAAUAUAUCAUAUAUCAUUACUAUACAUAUACAAGCGAACCUUCCCCAGCACAUGAUGCUAGUGAGGCAUCAUCAGUCCAUAAUCAGUUUUAUGAAUACAAGUUUUAUAAUUGUACUAAAAACUGUAUGUAGCAUAAUAUUGUACAAUUUACAAUCAUUCUUACUAUUGCAAUUUAAAAUUUACAAAUAUGAUAAUAACAUCAAUUUUCUCUACCUCAAAAUUUGCUGUGUCAUGUUGCAUAUUGACAGCUCUCCUAGUUACCAGAGUUGUGGUGUGUUUAAAGUGGUGAGAUUUUCUGUCCACUCCACAUUGAUCAUCAACUCUCCACCUAAAUUCCACCAAAAAUCUCUUGUAAAAAAUUACACUAGGAGAUGUUUAUGGUACAUGAAAAAGAUACCAUAAUGUACCCCAAAAGAUGGAUCCUAAAGUACUUAUUUUUUUAUCCAUUCUUCUAAAAUUCCUCAUCAGAUUAAUAUUCUUCAUAGAGGUAUCCCCAGUUCUGGAUAUAGAUGCAUGAUGAUUAGCCAUCCAAUUCCACACACUAGGCCCACCAGCUGCGGCAACUUAGUGAUUGAGCCAACCUUGAAAAUCGCACGGUCUACAUGGUUGAAAAUCCAUAAACAAUAGAUUUUGGAGCCAGAAUCAAUUUUGCGGAGAAGCUUCUGUGAACAGCUUCUGGACCAUAGAAUUACCUCGGCGCGCUGACUAUGCAACUUUGAGCUCUUGUUAGCAACAUAAGCUGCUCUUCUGCUUGGACUUUAGCAGCGCAUGUGGAUGAAAAUGCAGCACUUGUCAAUGGUUUUAAGGAGCAGGACCUGGUGACAGUGGCAGCAGAAGGAGUGAGAUUCUUACUUGACUUGUCCACUUGAACUGAGAAUAGUGAAGACACUGGCCUGUGGUCUGAGAAUUUGGACUCUCCUCGCACAUACCACAUCUGAUUGAGGCCUUCCCCUUUCCACAGAAUUCGAUCACACCUGUUUUGAAUAAGAACUCAGAUAUAAGAACUCGAUCGGCUCAAGGGUGAAGACUGCUCUACCUUUUUUAGGACUUAUUUAGUCAUAUUUAUUGUCAAUGUGUGAGCUUAACAACAUUGCACGGUCAUCUGAUUAACGUUUCAAAUGGAGUACGAUUCUAGUUGAUGACAAAAACAGGUAUUUUACAUUAGCAAAAAUCUCUGAAAGCUUACCAAGCAGGGGUUCUUGGUUUUUCCUUGGACUUGGAGGUUUGGGCCACAUAUUGGUCAGAAUUGGUCAAGUACUUGUAUGUAGGAGCAAAGUAUAUGCUUCCUUCAUUCCACCCUUUGAAUACUCUACCAGCUCUCUGCUCUAUCCUUAGCUGCCAAUAGUGGAGUCAAAACAACAAUGUGUUAGGGACAAAGAGAUAGAUUAGCCUUGAAGAACAUGCUACUAACAAAAUUCACAUGUCAAAACAUAUUUGGGACACAAGAUUUCAAUCCAUAGUCAACUAAAUUACCUGAUCCUUCUCUAGUAAUGCCUCCCAAUCAUUCUUCUUUAGAAGCUCGUGUGUAUCAUCGUAACCAGCAGCAAGGCGAUAAUUCAAAUCCCCAAGCCAAAUAAUAAUGCUAUUGACACAUGAAAAUAUUAAAUAGACUAUCAGAACAAAUGCCAUCCAUGGUGAGAAGAAAAACACAACAUUAAAAGAAAAGUGCAUAGCAAUGAAUCAAUGAGGAAUGAACUUACUCAUGUUCUAGUAUGGUUUGUGGGUGAAGAAGGGACUUAAAGGAGUGGCAAAAUUUAGUUUUCUUCAAGAUUUCAGACACAUCCAAGUUUCUUCGCAACUCGUCACCAAAUUUCUCUCCAGAGGCUAAGUGGGUGCAUACAAAGCAGAAUGUGGUGUUGUACAAUGUCAUGCUAAUUGAUAUUGAACCCUGUCAUAUCAACAAGAAGAUAACAUAACAAUGUAAGUAACCAUAAAGUCAGUUUCAAAAAAAAAAAAAAACCAUAAAGUGAAGGGUGAAGGGUCCCGAGUUUGAACUCUGAGAAUAAACUAAUUUACUAAUAUUACUAACAUUUGCCUAUAAAAAAAAAGCAAUCGCAAAGUAUAAUCAAGCAAGGAAUUAUGAGAUACCUUGUUUCCAAGAUAGCCCAUGAUGCCUCUGCCAACACAGGAGAGUUUUAAAUUGGUGAGAUGGUUGCAAAGAUCAGCUCGGACCCACACGGACAAGAAGACACCAACCAUUUGCUUGCUUGUUACUUGGCAAUAGUGUCUGGAAUCAGAAUCACUCGUGAGAUACGAGGUAAGAGGAGAGGUUGUUUCUGUAUCAAUAAUAUCAUUGGUGUUCAAGGCUUCACGAAUGAGGGCCAGCCACUUUGAUGCUGGGCCACUGUCCUCCGGUCCAAGCACGUUCCCUGCGUUUAGGGGCACAAUUUCUUGGAACCUAACCAACCACGUCCAAUGAAAAAAAAUAUUCAUUUGUCUUUGUACAAUACAAGAUAAAAGUUACAUCAAAAUAGUAAGUUAAUUUUAUUUUAUUAAAGUUGCUUGAAAUUUGUACACGUUCUAAUAGUACAAAUAGGAAGGAAGAGAGAAAAAAAAGCUUUAUGGUAAAUGUGUGUGAAGUGUCUACAAAUGUUUAAUGUUUAGAUGUCUAGUUAUUUUAUAAAAAUAAUUGUAAGAAUACACUAUUGGACUUCUUAAAUUAUACUAAUAAACUAGUCUAAGUAGGUGAAAACUGGUAGUGCAUACAUAUGGUGAGUUUGAAUUAGUUUACUCUUAAAAAUUAAAAAAGGUUUAGUGAUUGAUACAUAAAAGUUAACAGGUGGAGGAGAGAGUAGAAAUUAAAGAAAAGAUACAGAAAAAGUAAAUACCCACCCAAUAACAUAAAUGUCAGCUGGAGAAUGAGACGUCAGCCAACUUUUCAAGUUCAAUCCUUCAUUCGGUGACUUCCCUCCAACAUUCCACGUCCCAGCAAACAUCCUAUUCAACACCACCAAAUCCCACAUCCAUCAUUUUCUAUUUUUGAAGUCAAGACUUGAAAAAUAAGUACAUAUAACUUGAAAUUUCAGGUUCAAUUGAUGGAAGUAUUUACCUAAGGUUCAUAGCAUUAGUAGUGACAUGACUUGUUUCCUUCUCUCCUACUGCUGAACCUUUCAUUCCAUUUGUAGAAUCCUUCAACCAAUCUUCAUUGAAAAUAAAGCAAAUACUAAUUAUUUUAGCAGCCAAAAGGAAACAAGAUACAUUAACAUGAAAAUAAUAAUAAUAACAUCAGCCAUUAAACCUAAUAAGCUAGGCUUCUGCCUGCAUCAAGUUGUUGAGGGCUGUAUGUAGUAUAGCGGCAAUCAAGCUUUAUUUCCGCCUAAAACUACUUUAAAAAUAAAAUUUUAAAUAACAAUUUUAUGUUAGGUGCAAGUAUUGUUAAAUGAGUACUUGAAUAGAUAAAAUAAGAAAAGAGUAGAAAUUAAAAUUAAAAGUAUGAUAAUUCCGAAUAGAAUGAAAAAUUGUAGUAGCCGAUUUUUUUUUACUUAUUGAAAUUGAAUUUGAGAAUACUAUUUUAACUAACUUAUAAAUUAUGGAUUUAUUAAAUAAAAAAAGAUUAAAAAAUCUGCAAAGCGUGUAUAAGAGAGAUUAUAAUCCUCUCAAUUGUUAAAAAAAAGAAAAAUUAACCAUGUCAAAUUUCAUCAUCUAAUCAUUGAUUUCAGAGUGGUACAUAGAAAAUUACCUGAGAAAUGAUCAGGUACGAAAGCGUUACUAUCUUGGUCGGAGCAACUAUUUUUCCUCUCUGUUACACGGCAAUUAUCUGAAUGGAACUUGGCAUCGGAAUUGCUCUUUACAUUCAGCCACUUCCUCACAGCUAACCAAGAAGACUACAACACAAAAUUGAAAAAUAAUAAAUAAACAAAAUCCAAACGAUAGUUUUCAAGAGAACAUGUGAAAAGAGCAUUUUAUUAGCACACUUGAUGAUAGCGAGUUAUUGCAUGCAUACCUUGGAUUUCCUUGACUCUGUUCUCAUUGCUCCUCCACCUUCUGAUCUUUUCACUUAGUUAAACUGAGCCAAAUCAUAACCAAUUCAACAAUCAGAAAAAAAAUUCGAUAUAUAUAAUAUAACAAGUGACAGUAAAAUAGCAAUGGAUGCAUAAGAUUAUCCAAAUCCAUGAAGGGAAUCUUAUUUUAUAUAAAAAAUUGAAUCAAGGGAAAUUUUUUAUUCAUUGAAGGACACUAUAAAUGGAAAAAAAAUAGAAAGGUUUCCUUGUACGAGAAAAUUGUUAAACUAUUACUGAUCGGCGGUUUUCAACGGCAAUAUUAUAAGACCAAGUUGCAGGAGGAACGGGGACAGUUUCUGAAUUCAAUAGAAAAAAAAAAGGCAUAUAAAUAUUACAACAACAAAGUGAUAGAGAAGAAGAAAAGGCCAGGUUCAACGUUUUCUAUAUAAGUUUUGCACUUUACAGACAAUAAAACAGUGUAAGCGUUAAGAAAACUAUUGCAGAGAAUCACACAACACAUGGCGGUUGCUCACUAGUAUUUUAAAGUGAUCAAGAUUGGAAAGUUAUUGCACCUUUUUUUUUUCCUGACAGAAAGAGAGAAAUUAGACUACUCAUGAAAGAAGAAAGCACAUACAUGAAUCAAUGAAAGCAAAUCAAUCUCACAUGACCCACAAUCAGAUUCUACAAAGUUUGCCUACUCAGUGUUUCUUAGAGGGUGGUGCAAAUGAAACAAGACUAAAAAAGAAACAGAGAAAACAGGACAAUAUAUAGUAGUUAUUGAACAGAAGGAAACGCAGGAGGAACGGUUAUUGGAACGUGGGUCAGCUCAAUGGCAUUGCAAAAGAGAGUAGUAGUGAUAUACGUGACGGUUUUUGAGAAGGAAAAAGAUAACUACUGAGUGAAGAGUGGAAGAGAAAUUAUUAGUCCUGCUAAAAGGAAAUGGCAAGGUAAUUAAACAGAUCAAGAACAUAAUAAAGAAGAACUUACAAGAAUGAUCAAAGAGAAGGCUAUAAUUUCUGAUCCCAGCUUGGAUGAGUAAUGGAACAGGGGAGCACAGGAGAAGGGAUAGCGAUGUACUAUAACGUGUUUUGGCUUUCUUGGUUUGGUGGUGUUUGGGAAAGAGUGCAGAAGAGGAGUUUGGGGGUGUUUCACUUCCUCGGAGAAGGAAAAAAAAAAAAUAGUAGUGAUGUGUUGUGACUAUCAAAUCUGUGGAUUUGGCUUUCAAGUCAAAUUUUAUUUAUAUAUAUGUGCUGAGAUUUGAGACUCACAAAGAGGGUGAAAAAGCACCUUUACACUUAUCCACGAUCCACCUCAUCAUUUCUUCAAUUCCUAUUUGGGUUUGAAUAAUGUUAGGUUGAGACUCUAAAAAGGCCAACACACUAACACCUAGCAACAUAAAGAAGAAAAUAGAGAGGUAAAAUAAAUAUGUGAUAGGAACAAAUUAAAUGGGAUAAUUAUGAAAAGAAUGUGAGUGAAUAUGAGAUAUAAGAGAGAGUAAAGUAUGUGAAUGAUAAUACUUUCUUUUUGGUUAAUCAUAUAUUUCUUGUGUUAGAGUGAAUACGCAUCUAAGUCUCACAUCAGGCAGCGUGAAAAAUAAAGAAGUGGAGGAUUUUAGUUUGUCGGUUUUUAGCUCAUGUGUUCUUAUCCUCAAUUUUUAUUGUAUAUUCCACUUUUUAUUUCCUUUGUAGAUGGGUUGAAAUACCUUUAGUAUUUCUUUUUAAUACAAUUUUACUUAUCUAAAAAAUUGUAUUGAACUUGUGUAAAUGUGUGUCAUUUUAACGGUUUGUAAUACUGUUCUUAAAUUUUGUAAGAGUUUGCAAUUUUAUUCUUUUAAAACUUAUUGCAGUU